ACUUUGUAGGAUUAUCUGCAGCAUUUGUCACUGACCUUUUAAUUCCCAGCUCAUUCAUGAGCCAAUGUACUAAUAGAAUUCAUAAAAACGUAUCAAAUAUAUAGAAUACAUGUACAUAUAUUUAGCAAAAUGCUCCUUAAGAUAUAUUAGGACAUUCAAUAUGCAAUUGUGAGGAAAAUAACUCCAAGAGAAAUAUUAUUUGUUCAAGUAAAUAAAGUAUUUUCUUUAUGUCUGCUUGAUUUAUUAUGAGUUCAUCUUUGCCUUCAAUAACUUUCCAUUCUUGUGUAUAGCAUCCAAUAUAUUUUAAAUUAUGUUGCUUAUUCUAUGAAUUUUGAAAGGAUAUACUUCGCUGUCGAUUAUAAAUAAUAUGAUGUGCGAAUCACAAAUUCGUUUUGAAGGCAGUUCAACCUUUGUACGCAUAUCUCCUUUUUUAGGCAUCCAGAACUUAAUAUUUCUUGGUUCUACAUACUCGAUUUUGAGUCAUCACUUGACUUAAAGUGGGUCUGGACAUGAUCAUAUGCUAGACUUUAUUGCUUAUCUUUUAUUUUAAAAUAAAUGAAUUGUAAUUUAUUUGAAAAGAAAGAAAAUUAUUUUAAUACAAACCCACUUUAAGUCAAGUGAGCACAAGCGAUCCCUGAACCUUACAGUCGAACUCAAUCCAACCUUAUGGUAAAGCCUUAUGGGUCUGUAUUAGACAAUCUCCAAAGGUACACCAAAUUUACACAAAAUUUGGUGUUAAGAGUAUUUUCAAUGGUUGGUGCUCUAAGAAAGCCCAAACUUACGUCCCUCAGGUUGCAGUCGAUCCGUCCCGAUAGCGACCGCAAAACAGCGCAACAAAAUUAGGUCCGUGGCACCACGGACCCUUGCCAAGCCUGGAUGACACCGUAGAUUAAUUUUGAUACCUCUAUUCCCAAUCAUAAACUCUAAUGUACCCAAAUCAUGAAAAUUUUUGAAGCCACAAAUUUGCUUUCACUAUUCAUAGGUAUAUCUUGUGAUCUAUAUGAAAGACAUACAUUAACCUCAAAUGCCAAAUCACUGCAAGAAUAUAUAGGACAACACACAUUUCCGACCAUGUGGCACUCAGUGGAUAUAGACGAGAUUCCCCAACAAUAUCCAACCUAUAGAAAAGAGUUUCAUUGACAUGUUGGCAUUUCUGAUAAAUAUGGUGGAUUUAAAUAAAUAAAUAAAAGGAAAAUAUAGUCAUGAGGAGGAAUAGAGUUACAAACAGACAUUUACAACCACAGCCAUACAUUGAGUGAGAGGCCAUUCUAUUUCUAUCAUUAAUAAUCUGAUCCACUUCUCUUUCUCUUCAUCUUACACCAUUAGAAUUCAAACUUAAACACACCAUCCAUCACCCAUUUUUAUCCCAUUUCACUCUCUUCUUUGCUACUUACUCGUGCUGCUUCUGCAUUGUUUUGGUGCCAUUUGCAGUCAUGGCUUCGGCUGCUCUUUCUGUAGCCAAUUCAACUCUCCAGGUUACACACUGAACAACCAUAUAUAUAAAGUAUAAUUCAUUCAUCAUCUGCAUGUGUUCUAAGCUAUUUGGUGCAAUAACGUUUGCAGGUUGGGAGCAAGGGAUUCUCCGACUUUGCUGGGCUUCGCAGUUCGUCUUCCUCUCUUCCAUUCGCAAGGAAGACAAAUGAUGAUUUGCUCUCUGUUAUUGCCUUCCAGACCUCUGUUGUGAGUAUCGUGGAAUUAAGCAAGAUUUCGUAGCAGCUAGUCUUGUUAAUAGAUUUUACAACUUUUUGUACAAGAGUAAUUGCAUUCAUAAUCGCUCAUUACAGAUAGUCGGCCCAAAGUAACAAUUUAUUAUUCGAGGCAAUAAUUUCUUGUAAUUUCAUUGCCUAAAAUAAAAAGUUAAUUUUCAAAUAACAAACUGCCAUGUAGGGUAAUUAUCGAUAGUGAACUACUAUGAAUACUAUUAUUCCUUGCGAUUCACCACGUAGAAUUGUGUAGUUAAACAUUGUUAGCCUCGAGACAGGUGCUUUGGCUUUAAUCCGGCUAAACUUUCUUGUACAGUACAGUACUUUGACUGAACUAUUUUAGUGAAAUUCAUGACUAAAGAGUAAAUAAAUAAGUUUUAGAAUAAAUAAUUUUUAUUAGUCAAAGUUGAAAAUAAAUUACUUAUUUAUUUAAUGUAACCCCUUUUUUCCUUAAAAGUAACUCAUUCAAAUAUGCUUGAAAAAAAUAGUUGUGUAAAAGUUCGUUCUAAAUUUUUUAAAGCUUAUCCAACCAUGCUCGAAUUCUUCACAUAUUUAUAAGCCCAGUCAUGAUUCUAAAAGUUCAGUUGUUUUGAUAUAGAUCUACAAUAAACGGAAUGGAAUGGCCAAAAAGGAUUCACACAUUUGGCCCAAAUUUAUUGGAAACACAUCUUAGUUUGUUGUGUUGUUGUCGAACUUAUAUCUUCAAUUAAAUAGGUUAAUCAGUGCCAAGCUUAAAAUAAGAAGAAUAAUGAAGAUUAAAAUGCUAAGCAAUCAAGUAAUGCCAGGCAUCAGAACAAAACAAGUGUUUUGAUUAUGAAAGAGAUGACUUUACUGAACAAUUACAUGCACAACUUAGGGGAUAAUGUACACAAUGGGGGUUGUACCAUAUCUUUGAACACUGUUUACUCGUAACCUACCAAUUCAAGUGUAGAAUGAGCCUUAUUGAACAUCUAAAUGGUAUAUGGUUCUGGUUUUUAAAUCAUUAAAGGAACUUAUAAGUUGGAAUUAAAGUGAUCAUAAAGCUGGUAGUAAAUUUGAAAUUUCAUUUUGAGUGCUAACAUCUGCUUGUUCGGUUUUGGUAUUUUUUGUUCAGGUUGGUGGAGACAAGAACAAGAGAGGAGUAGUCGAGGCCAAGCUGAAGGUGGCAAUUAAUGGUUUUGGAAGAAUUGGAAGGAACUUCUUGAGAUGCUGGCAUGGAAGGAAGGAUUCCCCUCUUGACAUCAUCGCUCUCAACGACACUGGUGGUGUCAAGCAAGCCUCUCACCUUCUCAAAUAUGACUCCACCCUGGGUAUCUUUGAAGCUGAUGUCAAACCUGUUGGCGAUGACGGCAUUUCUGUCGAUGGCAAAAUUGUUAAAGUCGUCUCCAGCCGCAACCCCGUCAACCUUCCCUGGAAGUAAUACUUCCUUCUUAUAUACAUAUUUUUCAUUGCAUUCUCAUACAUGCUCAGGACUAGAUAAUAUUGGAAAGUAAUAGACAAGAAAAAGAAAGUAAAAGCCUGUUUUUAUUGUACAGUCUAACCUUGUCCAGUAUUACAUACUAAACAUGCCUAUAUUAUCUUGUGAUGUAUUUAUCUCAAUCACCCUUUUUAGCCUCAUCAUACUGCAACUAUAAUCUACAGGAGUCAUGAAAACUUUGCUUCCUCGAGCAAAAGCUAUGUAUUUUCCGCCCUAAUAAUUGCUGUUUUCUUUGAACAAAUAAUUUCAUUUCCAGAGAUUUGGGGAUUGAUCUAGUGAUAGAAGGUACUGGAGUUUUCGUAGACAGGGAGGGUGCCGGUAAACACAUUCAAGCCGGGGCGAAGAAGGUUCUCAUCACAGCUCCUGGAAAGGGUGAUAUUCCUACCUAUGUUGUUGGUGUAAAUGCUGGUGAUUACAACCAUGAUGAGCCUAUUAUCAGCAAUGCUUCUUGCACCACCAACUGCCUUGCACCUUUCGUCAAAGUCCUCGACCAGAAAUUCGGUAAUGCAACACUACAACGCGCGCGCAUGCAGUACUUGACAGUAUAGUUUGCAACUGUUUGAUAACCAUUAUAAUGAGUUGGGGAAAUUAGUUUAGGAAUAUUGAAUUUUUUGGAGAAUGCGUGGCUAAAAUUUUUGAAAAAGUUAUGGGUUUACAGUAAAAUAUUUUAUUGUGAGAAUGUGUGAUUGAAAAUGAAUAUGAAUUUUGUUUUGACGGUUAUCAAACAGGGGCUUAGUGUUCGUACUAUUUAUUUGCUCAUAUUGAUUGAUAUGACGAGGCUGAUAAAUUUUGAUAUCAUAGGCAUUAUUAAGGGAACAAUGACGACUACUCACUCCUACACUGGAGACCAGAGGCUUCUUGAUGCGAGCCACAGGGAUCUUAGACGUGCACGAGCUGCAGCCCUCAACAUUGUUCCUACCUCGACUGGUGCUGCAAAGGCUGUGGCGCUCGUCCUUCCACAACUCAAAGGAAAGCUGAACGGCAUUGCUCUUCGUGUCCCGACGCCCAAUGUGUCUGUGGUGGAUCUCGUCGUCCAGGUCGAGAAGAAGACAUUCGCCGAAGAAGUGAAUGCUGCAUUCAGGGAGGCUGCUGAUAAGGAACUCAACGGUAUCUUAUCCGUGUGCGACGAGCCACUCGUGUCUGUGGACUUCAGGUGCACUGAUGUUUCAUCAACAGUUGAUUCUUCAUUGACAAUGGUGAUGGGAGAUGACAUGGUUAAGGUUAUAGCUUGGUAUGACAAUGAGUGGGGUUACUCACAGAGGGUGGUUGAUCUUGCUGACAUUGUUGCUAACAAAUGGAAAUGAUGAAAUAAAUUUGGUAUCAUGUGAUUCUGUAAAUUUUCUUCUUCUUUUUUUUUUUUUUUUUUUUUUUUUUUUUGGGGUUCCAAGUGUCUGCAGAUUUUAAUGUACUUUUUUGAGAAUUCUGAAGAGAAUGUAAUCAAUUAAUUUCAAAAAAAUAGGUUUCUAUUGAGGCCUGUAAUUGCAUAGCAUCCUCCUUGUAUCUAAGGGAAAAUUUUAUUGGAUUAUAAACUUUAAAGUGUUUCAAUCGAAUCACCCAAAUUCAUAACGGUCAUUCCAAUUGACGGCACAUACUUGAUUUGCUGUUAACAUCUGACCGAGUUCCCACGUGGACACCUUGACAAUCUAAAACGAGAUCAUUUAAACUUUACCCUUUUUGCCUAUCUCAUCGUUUGAGAAACACUACUUCGUUCAAACAAGAAACUUCGGUUUAUGUUUACGUUCGCAGUCGCCGUUCAUCUUUUAACCUCGGUUAAAUCGAGAUUAAUCCAAGGCCUCGAUUUCCCAACUAUAGGCGACUGAUAUGUGCUUGGGAUAGAAAAUAAUACUAGAUAACCACGAUAUGAAAAGGCAAGAAAAAUCCAUCACCCUCAGAAUAUUUUCUUGGAUAUUGGCUAAAUAUUUCCUUGGAUGUUCAUUCUACUAAAAAUUGACAGGAGAAAACCAACUGUUGAUGAUAUUCACCAUAAUGAACAUUACUUGAUCUUCGACGAUCUGAACUAGUAAUACUUUUGAAACUUUAGGUAGACUAUAUAAAGCCAUAAUGCUCUCCUGAACCUAAUGCCGCCACAUCUUUGCAAUUGUCUAUACAGAUGAAUAUCGAUUUCCCUACGGCUUAUUUAGAUUUAAUAACAAGAAUGCAAAAUGACCCUCAUUCUACAUCUUUCUGCAACAACAGAGAACAUUAUUCCUUCUCAAUUUUAGACGAGUCAGAAAAUCCCAUCUGAGAAAUAACUAGGUUGGGUACAAUUCAUAUACUUCUGCUUGUAUACUUGAAUCAUCUAUGCGCAGAUGUGUGUGGCAUUGGAUAAGUCAUAGGACCCAUGCCAGUCUGAGGGUCGGGUCCUGGAAUUGGAGCUCGGAUACCAUAUGCCACGUGAGAGGGUGGUGGAACAUUCACUGGCACGCCGACUGCGGAAACAAGGGGUCCUCCUAUUGGUUGCCCAAUAGUUGGUGCUCCUCCAUACAUCCCAACUCCAGGAGCAGCAUCUGGGAUUUGAGGACGUGGUUGGUUUGAUUUGGCAGAGGAACUUCCCACAGCAGAAGCAUUUGUUUGGCCAGUGAUUGGACCUUGUGGCACUGAAACUUCUCCACUGCUGACACUAGUGAUGUCAUGAAUGCUCGACCGCCUCCUAUCUUUGUUCAUAGAGUUCAAACGGAUGAAGUAUUUUUGGGCAUGGCUCGCCACUUGCGUAGGAGUUCUCGUCACCACAAAGUUCCGGGAAAUGCUUCGCCAGUCACCUUUUCCAUAUUUAUCCAAACCAAGAAGAAACAACCUGAAUUAUAAUAAUCAAUAGAAAAUAUACGUCAUGCUCAAGGAUAAAGCAAAAUGUAAUGUCAGAAACAAGUAACCAAAAAGCAAACACAGAAUGCUGUUAAUUUGUGUCUCAAAUAAUUAUAUGAAACCAUUACAGAAAUAGGCAAACAAUCAGAGCACCUUUAGUAUAAUCACCAUAGCACAAAAUAUAAGUAAUUCCUCCGAGUAUUUAAAUCUCUCUGACAGCAUACGCAUCCAAUAUUUUGUCUGCUCUAAAAUACACAGAAGAUCAGUAGAAGUCAUUCAAGGAUGUAGAAUGAAGUAUACGAAUAUAAAGAGCAGAAGUGCAGAGACAAUCAGUAAUUUGGGAUAUCACUAGACAUGUUUUAAUUCCCUUUUCAUUCUUCCCAUCUUUCAAAUGCAAGAUAGAUUUGCGUGGUCAAGAGCAGGUCUUUGUGGAAUCACAGGAAGAAAAAAAAAAGAUUAAAUUCGCUUGUGUAGCCAAGCCAAACCGUUUAAUCUUUCAACAAUAAUUCUUAAGAAAUCGUCAAACAAUAAUUCAUUUGAAAAGGAUUACCUGUUUUCCCUUCUCAACAGCUUUCAGCCAUAAAAUUGUGAAUGGCCAGUUUGAAAGACAACUAAUAAAGAAGCUUUCAGGCAAUGAACCUUUAUAAAUCUGACAAGGUAAAAACAUAAAAUUCCAAACAUUAUGUCAAUGCAACAACUCCCAUCCCCAUCACCCAUUAAGUAGAGAGCACCAACUUCAAACUAAGGUUUCGCAUACGUCUGAAGGAUUCAGUAAAAACCAGAAAAGGGUUACUCCCAUCCCCAUCACCCAUUAAGUAGAGAGCACCAAUUUCAAACUAAGGUUUCACAUACGUCUGAAGGAUUCAGUACAAACUAGAAAAGAGUUCAAGGUAGGCAGCAAAAGAGAGAGAGAUAAAAUACUUUGUUAACGAGAACAAGCCUUUUCUUUUUCUGUGCUUGAUUUAUUCUCAGCCAACUUUUGCUUCCAAACUGAUCAGCCACUAGUUAGUUUCACAUGAUGCGUUUUCAAUCUAAGUCAUUUCUUUGCCUUGCUUUUGCUUCCAUAAUCAACCAUGAGCUUGUUGAGAUGCUUCGAAACUGAAACAUCACUUUUAAUUUUGUUCUGUAGAAAUCUAGAUGAAUUUUUCCCACUUUUUAUGCAUAUAUUUGUAAUUGAACACGGUAUUUGGUAUUAAAGUUUGAUAGGUUUGUUUUCAUUAGUUAAAAUUCUACCCCCUCCCCCUCCCCCACCGACAACCACACAAACACAUUUGGGGAGAAGAAGGAAAAUAAUCAAUUAUCUGGUGGCUGUUCUUUUUAACUUGGUGACUUGGACUAUUGUAUGCACUGUUGGCUUGUGGAUAAUGUUUGGCACUUUUAUUCCUUGAAUGAGUCAAGUCUUAAUCAAUCAGCCAAUAGGUUAUUCCAAGGGAGCUUCCUAAUUCACCAUUGUGUGGCUUUUCAGUACCAUGUCUUUAGAUAGAAUUUCAAAGCAGAUCCAUUUAUUUUUGGGUUAGAGACUUGUCUCUUUAACCAUGCUUGUGCAGAAUAGUUUAUUUGGUAUGACAAUUCUUUGUAAUGAUACUAACUCCUGAAAUUAGUAUUUUCAUUCACUCAUCUUCUUGAAAGAGUAACAGUAUAGUGUACAAUCCUAUCUAAUAAAGGAAACUAAAUUACACAAUUAAACAAUUUAAAGGACCUAGACAAUCACAUAAAUCAGGGAAUUAAUUUCCUCAUUUUGUGAUUGAUUGAAAAAAUAAUAUUAGAAAUUAAUUCCAUGAUUCCUCCCCGAUUUCUGUCGUAGAUAGAUUGAAAUAAUUAAGAUUUUAGAUGAAGUGGUCAACACUAACUUUGGUAAUACUUUGGAAUAUUUUAUUUCCUGGUGUGGCAACCUUGCCUAAACCCCUCCCACACAAACAAAAGUGAAAACUCUUCUACCUAAAAUCCUAUAUGAGUCAAGAAUGUGCUCUUUAUUUCUGUUCUUUGUUUUUUAUUUACUUUCAGCGUGGAAUUGAGCAGAAAUAGGCCCUACAUCUCUUCUAAUUACGUGUAAUCCCAAAACCAGCCACUUCCAAAAUUUAACUCGGUAGGAAAGACCCUCAUAGUCAAGUGGAAGAAGAGAAUUCAUGCAACCGGAUCUACGACCAUAAAAGGAUGGAAUGAAACAUUAUUGUGUAGAGUAAACUUGAGGCUUAAAGCUGAGAGACUUCUCUAUCAGACUUGGGAAUCCAUUAGUUAGUGUCUACCUGCUUCAGAUGUUUCAUAAUACAUCAAGUAUCAUCCAAUAUAGUGUUUAAUAUGACAAUGGAAAAUGAGAAAAGAACCAUUUCUUCCAUAUUUGUCACUUGAUGAUACCUUCUCAAAUCGUAAACGAGUGAAAACUAAAGUAUGAUUAAGAGUUUUCUGACUCUCUCAACAUGUUUUCCACGUAAGAGCUCUAAAUCAAUUAUUUAUUUCUGCCUUCUAUUUGUUGACAUGGAAAUUUCCUUCUCUUAUGUUUAUUUUGGGAAAAAAAAAAAAUGUAAUGGAGAAAUAUUCACAUGGAAAUUUCAACAACUAUAAUUAGAAGACAAAUUGUUUAAAAAGUGUGGUUUGAGGCUUUCACCUCAGGUCUCGCCUCAUGCAAGGCUUUCAUUAAAUGCCUCAAGUACCAUUUUUGAGGUUUAUAUCUCAAGGUUAGGCCAUGACAACUAAGGUGUUUGCUCAUUUGUCUAGUCUUUUCUAAGCAUUUUAUUACUGGUUUUAGCUUUUGGGAAAUGUUUUACUGGGUUUUUGUUUUUCUUUAUCUGCCUUUACAUAGAUGGGAAGGGGUAAAGAGAAGAUAACAUCGCUAACAACAAAUAAUAGGAAGAAAUGAGAGUGAUGAGGGUGAUUGGUAAUUAAAUAAAUUAAUUUCUCCAAAGAUAUUAUUAGUGAGGAAGUAGGAGAUUUCUGGGUUGUUUCUACUUGUAACAUAAUGCAUUUUGUCAUGUGACUAAAAUUUUCGUAACUUAUUAUUUGCUACUUUAGUAUUGAUUUUAUAUAUGUUUGCAAGUUAGACUUCAAAUUUUGUCAAUGUAUUAUACUAUGGAUUUUUAAGAUGGUUUACAGUUUAUUAUGAGCAUAUUGUUGUAUUUUUAUAUUCUUUUGAAUUAUUGUAUCAGUUGUCUUAAGGCUUAUGCCUUGCCCCCGGUACUAAUGAGCUUUUUCAAAUACUAAGAAGGCACGGAAAAGACUUUACAAGGUUCAAGCAAUAUUCAAAGUCAUAUGAAGGCCCUCAGAAUAUUCGAGGCUGCGAAAAUUUAAUGUCCCUUUGUGAAUCUUAGACCCUGUUUGGUUCCCAUUCUUUCCUCAUUAAAAUGAAAAAUAUGACCGUUAUCCAUCACAUCAAGCCACCAAAUUUGAAUUUCUAUCUCUUAUGUGGGACCCAUGAUGAUUAUAUUUUUUAUUCUUAUUCUUUCAAAAAUGAGAAACAAACGAGGGCUUAAUGUUUUCUUCAACAGAGUCGAGGGUUAAAAUAUCAUUCAAUCAGCAAUUUAUCAUCUUUUAGGAACUUCAGAAAUUCAUGUUACAGGGCUUCAAUUUAAUUUUGAAGAGCUUAUUAGAAGUCAUAUUUCAGUUACAAAAUGACUAUUCCACCCAUUAUGGAAGAGGUGUCUAAUCCUAAUUUUAAACGUUCUUAGAGCUCAACUAGUUGUGUAUUUCUAUAGCUCUUAGGCUUUCAUUCUAUUAUCUAAGAGAAAUUGCUGUUUUGGUUAUUUUGAACUUCUCAAAACACCCCACUUAUGUUAGGGCAUCAUAUUAUCCCUAUUUGACCAAGCAUGUUUUUGAAUACUUGUCAAUGGAGAAGCUGCCGAAGUGUUACUUCAAACUGUGCCAAAAAGGUCCUCAUUGAGUUCACAUAAUCUUAAACUUUCAGAUACUAUUGGAAAAGUUGCCUAAAAUGACAGUAGUUUUGUACUCAACCACAUCGAAGAGCAGCAAUUUCACCAAAAUAUGCUGUGCAGGACUGAUUCCUUGCUCUGUUCUUAGAAAACAGUAUUGCCAAAUUAUGUUAGGGUUCCAGGUUCAUUUGCAAGAAUUUCAUCUAUGCACAUAACUUACCUUAACUCCGAAGUCCCUUCGCAUUGAAGAACACAUCUGAUUUGAAUGACAAUACAAAAAAUUUCAUAUGAAUAAAAUCGUGAAAUUUACUCUAGGCAUUGAAUUCAUGUUACAAUUUUCUCCUCAUAAUUACAUUCUCAACUUUAAUGAAUAUUAAAUAGAAGUUGCAAAUGGAAACUCAUUCCUACAAGCAACACAUCUAAGAUAUAAAUAUUUAAAUAAUCUAUUUACGAUAUUUGAGUGAGUGAUUCAAGAGCUGAUAGGUUAUGAAUAUUUUAAUUAGGCAUAAUAAAAUGCAGAUUAAAUUUUUGCAAACCAAGAAGAUACUUCCACUAUAUCGUAAUUAAGUUUUGGCGUCAACCAGAAAUUGUUGGAGUGGUAUUCAUAGAGAACAAAUAGGCAUAUUCUUCCACAGUGAAUUCAAUAAAUUUAUAUUCAGUUCCUUUCCUCUACAGGAUGUCAUAUAAAUAUUGGAAUUCAAUUUUUCCAUCAUUCCUCUAAUAUAACACGAAGCUUAGUAGUGAAUCACAUUGUGAACAAACAUUUGGGUAAAGAGAGCCACCUUGAAAGCUAGAAAACUAGCUAGGACACCAAUCAAAAGGAAGAUGUAGGCCGCGCUUCAAAUAUAAAUUCUAAGUCCAGAAGGCACAGCAAAAAAAGAAAAAAAUCCCGUCAACCAUGUACAAGGACGCAGAUAAUAUUGAGAAGACCUUGAUCAAUCAGAUUACUAUUGUCUAAAAAUGAUUAUUUGCUCUAAGAUGCAAGCAGGACAUGAAAAACUAUAUGAGCUAGUAAGCAUUUUGUUUAUGAAUUGACUUCAAAACUUCGCAAGAUAAGAAUGCAAAGAAGCACAAGGGCAAAAUGUUUUAGGAUGUGCAAAAUUUCUCACCUAAUAUUCUACAAACAUAAUAGUUGAAUGCUGUGUGAAAAGAACUAAUGAUAAGAAUUGACAUUUUCUGAAGGAAAACCAAUUAGAGAUUAAUUUAUGAAGUUGCAGCUUAGAUUGGAGUUUCCAUUACAUAAAAAAGGAAAAGAAAAGAAGAGAGAGAGAGAGAGAGAGAGAGAGGGUACCCAUUUUAACAGGAGCUAACCGGCAUCAAAGUGAUAUUAUACUAUCCAUAAGUUAAUUAGAAUACAUUUAUCACUCAAAUUUCUGUCAUAGGAUUAGAGUAAUUAUAAAAUUGAACUCAACAAUACUUCACCUGUGCUCUUCCUCUGUCCAAGCAAUCCCUUUGCGGCGCUCCUGAUCUGACUUUGAACCCUUGCCUCCAUGAUUGGAAUCUCUAUUCAAGUGCCCAAAACUGCCACCCUUUUUACCAGUUUCUUCAUCGCCGGCAUGGUUAGUCGAACCAUCUGAUGAAGAAUUAUAACUAGGAAGCGGCACACAGCCCGACUCAAUCCGGUCGACAUCAUCAACUAAAAGGUCAUGGUGAUGCUUAACCUCUUCUAGGGAUUUACCCGGAACAUCGGCUGCGAUUUUCUCCCAUCUAUCUGAACAGUCUUCGGGGUAGGUUGCCAGUGCUUUCUCAAAUUGCCUAUCUUGCUCUCUACUCCACAUAGAGCUACUUGAUUCAUCAGUCGGCAUCUAACCUUGCUUAAAUUCAAUACUGGGAAAAAGGAAUUCUGAUCAAUGCUCUAAAAUCCCAGGAAAAGAAAUGGUAUAAAAAAGAUCCAGAAAUAGCUAACUGAACUUCACUACAGCCCCAGCUGCAAUAAAUAUUAUUACUAUGAACUGCAAGCAAAUGUGAUGCUGAAUAAUUCAAUGGCGAUUCGCCUCACAAUUGAAGAAUGGUACUUUUUUUGCAAAAGUUUGACCCUUUUAAUGAACAGAAAAAGCAACAAUUCAGUUAGAGCAUGAGAAAUAUCUGAAAACAAUAACCCAGCGCCUCCGGUCUUGGCCUCGCCCCCACACCCCUAAAAAUAGGAUGUAUUAAAUGCCAUUGCGGAACAAAGAUAGAAAAAUGUUCAAUUUCAAUCGACGACGGUGAAUUCAAUAGAAUGGUAAAAGAGGCCACCAUAAUACCAACAAAAAAGAAAAAACUGGAUUCUGAAUCGGAAUAAAAAUUAUUAUCAAUUAACCCUACAAAUUUCCAAUAGCCAAAACCCAUUUUUGACAGCAGGUUUCUCAGCACCCGGCCAUAGCAAAAUUUAAACUUUUUUUGGGAAUUUACAAAAGUGUGUAUUUGCUCCUUCCCAUAAAGAUAAACUUAUUUAUGUUUUUACAUGAAACUAAGAAAAUUUAAUUAAUAAAUGUUAAAAACUACAAAAUUUUCUUACAUUUUUUUUAAUAUACCAUUACACUGAAUAAUGUUAAUUCAUAUUUGUUAAUAACAAGACAUAUUCGAGAUUGAGGUAUAUCACAAAAUUAAGACAUUAAAAAAGGAAGUCUAUUUUUGUGGGACGAAGAUAAUAUCUAAUUUUUAUAACUACUACAAAAAUGGUGAUUAUAUUUACACCACAUUUUAAUUACAGUCAAGUUUUUCAAUCUUUGUUCAUUAUAACAGUUAUUUUCUUAAUUUUUUUCCGUCGAAGUCUUAUCUUCAAUCUUUCAUAAAUUAGUACAUCUCGUCCUUAAUAAUGAUUUAUAUCAAAAUAUAUUAUUUUUAUGCUUUAAAAUCAGGGAAAAAUAUACUUUUGCACUUCUUCUUUUUAUUAUUAUUUUGAAAAUAUGAUUAAAAAUAAGUUAUUUUACACAAUUUCAACAUACUUUUAGAUAUAAAACAAUCAAUAAAGCCAUGAGUACAAAUUUUUUUUAACAACACUUGUAUCGACACUGAUAUGACAAAAUAUGAUUGGACAGUCUUUUCUCUUUUUUUCACCUUUUAAUGAUGUCACGCCAUGUGUUGUCCGUAAGAUUUUUCUGUAAAAAAAAAAACUAUAUUCCUACAGCAUUGUUCUAAAACUGUUAUCAAAUACAUAAUGUUUUAACUAAUGCAAGUUAAUUUAUUUAUUUUUUAUAACCAUGAGUAUCCGGGUCAGCUUACGCGCAUUUCAACUAAUUCCACGGAACCCUGAAAUUUACAGUCGGAUACUCACUUCAGUGGUUCUGAGUGGAUUCGAAUUGGAACUAGUGCAAAUUAUUAUAAUGAGCAAAGAUUAAAAUUUAUUAGUGUUAUUAAAUUGCGUGCAAGAAAUAAAAAAAUUAUCUUGCUACAUGUACAUAAGAGUUUACAUAAUGGAUUAUAUAAUGUCACGUGACAAUUUGCCAUUUGCAUAUUUAAAACACAAUUAACUUUUUGUAUCUAAUCUUUUCCCUCCAUAUUAUAUUAUGUAUAUUUUUUAUGUACAAGUAGCAAAAUCCAUUAAAACAAAAAAUGUGAUAUGAGUAUAAUUACCCUUAGAAAAAUGAUCAAAAUUGGUAUCAAAUUAUCCGUUAUACCCUUAAUGAAGGAAAAAUAAGAUUUUUUUAUUUGAUUGAGCACAGUCCUCGAGGCAAUGAAUUUGCUUCCAUGAUAAGCUAACAUGAUGUACAUGUUACUGCCCAUUUGUUCGAUUUCUUGCACCAUCUAAUAGGUAAUGUGACCAAUUGAAGAUGGAAAAAAAAGGAAGAUGAUACCAAAUAUGAUUUAGCAUUAUUGCAUUGUGAAAAAAAAAAAUUAUAUGUGUGACCCAAUAAAGUAGAAAAGCAAAUAUUUUCAUUUUAAGGAAAAUAAAAGAAUAAAUUUACGAGUUGAUUCGAUUCUCCACAAUCCAAUAAAGAGGUAAAAUGUGAUAUAAGUUGCACUAAAUGGAUACCCACCAAUUUCUUUUAAUUGCCAUUUCAUUUGGGUUGCAACCUAGGUUUGUGAAGUAUUUUUUGUCACUUGAAUACACUUCUUUAAGUAUUUCAUAUAUCAUAAAAUUGUUAAAAUAAGACUUUCCACUGUAAGAAGGAGAACCUUACCCAUGAUUUUUUCUCUAAAUGCUAUCAAAGUGAGCAAGAUAAGACAUCCUACUGUGAGUAAGAGAACAUUUUUUAUUGCGAAAUUGUUCUUCUGCCCACAGUGCCAAGAUAAAAUUACCCACUUGCCAAUGUGGUUGGAGAUUAAGACUGGUCGCUUGUUGAUGUAGCAGAAGAAUCUUAUUUACAAUUCUUUUCAAAUGAGAGAACUAGAAGUACGGUUCUCUCUAAACGGACAGGAUAAAACUUUCUAUUGUGGGCAGAAGAACAUUUCUGUUGUCAAUUAAUGCUAAAAUUUUGAUUCUAUUAAAUAUUACAUUCGUGUUAGUUAAUGCUAAACUUACUACUAUGAAAAUUUAUUAUUAUGAAAAAUAAUAAGUUCUAUACAAUUAAGACAUGAAGAACUGAAAACUAUUUUUCACAAAUCUAAUGUUAAAUUUGUUGUAAAGACUACAUCUAAUGUCGUGCAUCUCCCAUUUGCACGCACGAAACAAGGUGAACUAGCUGGAGAUCAGUUUUCGUUUUUUUUCUACAUUUCAUUGGAUUCUUAAUUUUUGAAACCUAAUUCUUGACAUUUGAUCUCUAAACGUCUCGAUACUUGACAUUUUAUCUGUCAAAAAUGAGGUUUUCAAAUUGGGAGAAGUUAACAUUUAGUGCUUGUUUGAUAGAGAUUUUAUUAAUUGAUUUUUUAACCAUUAGACAUAAAAUGGGUUUUACCUGUGAGAGAAGAAUUCAAAAAUGAUGAUUAAAAUAGUAAAAUAACGAUCAAAAAAUUAAUGUUAAUUGAAUUAAUAUCUCCAUCAAAUAUGCUCUUAAUGCAUGGAUUGAUAUUGCUACCUUUUCAAAUAUCUAGUACAAGUUAUGUAUCAAGCUUAUAGCUUAUGUGUCAAUAUUUUAUUUGCCAAAUCAAUUUUUAAUUCAUAAUGAAAAUUCCGUCUUUUUAUGGUGAAAUUUGAAAAUUGUUACUACAUCCUUGUUUGUCUACCAGUAUUUCAAAAGUUUUUUUUUUUAUACUUAUUUUCGAUCAUAUAUUCUCAUAAUAAAAGUAUUUUCCAUGUAAACCAUUUUUUUUAAUUUUUAUAUUUUUUUACAUUUUAACCACACAUUAUUCAAAAAUUCAUUAUUCAAAAAUUCAUUUUCCUACUUUAACGGUAGACAAACAUAGGCUAAGGACAUUUUGAUUUAAAUUUUAGCAAAAUGGAUAAAUUCGCAAAUGGAACAAAUUGGGGAUUUUUUGCAAACGAUAAUGUGAAAGUGGACUUUUUUGCAGUUUCCUCAUUUUUUUUAAUACUAUACAGUCAUUUGUUGGUUUUAUUAUUUCAAAAUAUGAUUUUCUUUUACUUUUUCGCAACCUGUUAAAAUCUCAAGAUUUUUUCUAUUUUAAAAAAUCUGAAUUUUUAUUUGUUUUUUUUAAAGGAAGAUAUAUGGCUAAUAGGCUGGAUGAGACUCGGCUAUGGAAAAAAGAGUCAGUCCGUAGCACGAACCGAAUACGGACAUGGUGUCAAUAGGUCCAAUUAGGCAUGCUUGACAUUGACACCCCUAAUUGCAAGCAUAUUUGCAUCACUAUAAUUUAGAUAUAUGUCAAUAAUUAGGUUGGUGGUCAUAUAACCAUCAUUUAUAUAUAUUUUAAUGGGUUUGAGUACAUUUUAAUUAAAGUUGACACAUAUUUUAAUUAUUUGCAUCAUUUGAUGUCUGCAACGUCGACAUUUGAAAAGUAUCCAAUUAUGUCAUUAACAUUUGGAUAAUAUAUUCUCAAUAUCACAACAAUUUAAUUUUUAUGCAAGUGACGCACUAGUAUUUCUUUUGCGAGUAAUGCAAUAGGGAUAGUGCUAUUGAUAGCACUGGUGACAACCCUCUCACAUUCAGUGAUGAGACCUGCAAUUAAAAUAAUUGUGGGACUCACAUUUUGUGAGAGGGCUCUGAAAAAAGUGUACAUCAGUUGCAUUUUUGUUCUUUCGCCAACUCUGUAACUUCUUCAAUUUAACACCAUGCUACUUGUACUAAAAGUGAACUCAAAUGCCCAACGAAGUUAAUAGAACAUUGCACGUCGUGGUAAAUUGAUGGAACCUACAAAAUUGGACAUUCAUUGCUCUUAGUCAUAAUUCUAGGCUUGAAGAUAUUAUAGACACGUCUUUUUCAGUGACCUAAAGUUAGAUCAACAUAGUGUAUUUCGGGUGAAAAUCCUCACUUUUCGAAGAAGAAUCAAUGAAUCAAAUUUUGUUCAACAUAGUAUAGUUAGGCUUUCAAUUAAUUAAAUUAGUCAAACUAUUGGUUUGUCUAUUCUUGUAAGGACUAAUCUCAAAUCAUAGAAUCCUACCAAUUAUCAGUUGAACUGUGCUACAUUGCCAGGGAGAAAUACUGAGGUUACAAACACACACUUGGCCAAAGGACUAAUCUCAAAUCAUAGAAUCCUACCAAUUAUCAGUUGAACUGUGCUACAUUGCCAGGGAGAAAUACUGAGGUUACAAACACACACUUGGCCAAUUUUAAUUGGCCGUUGAAAAAAGAAAGGAAGAAAAAAUUGCCAAUUUCAAGGGCUGUCAUUUCAAUCCCCGUAAAUUGUCCGAACAAUUUUCUCAGUACAAGGGGCUUAGUCUUAUUAGUUAGUACUCGAAAAAUUGAAUGAUAGCCCCUGUAAAUUGUCUCUGGCAAUUUCCCCUUUACAAGGGACUAAUUGUUCCUUAUCAGUUAGUUGCAGACUAGCCCAGUUUUUUAGAGUUAAAUUGUUCCAAUUGUCACUAAACUUAUGUCUAUAUUUUCAAUUGCUUACUAAAGUUUAAAAAGUCGAGUUUGGGUUACUGAAUUUAUGUCUAUGUCUUAAAUUGCUCACUAGAGUUUAAAGUAUUGAGUUUGACUACUGAACUUUGAAAAAUGUUUUAUGUUAUUCACUAGCAUAACUUUCGUCUCAAACCUCUAACGAAAUUGAUGAUGUCACCAUUAAACUUUGAGAUUGAUGAGUGUGAUACACUCAUCGACCUAGCACCUCUAAAUCAUGGUUUUUGAUUUAUUUUUGAGCACUUUAGAGCGUAUUGAUAUGUGUGUUUGUGUUGUUUUGUAGUUUGGAUAGUUUGGAGAAAAACAACGUUGUUCGAAGCUUGGAGUGAAGAGUUGAUCAUGGAAGUGGGAAUGAAAUGGAGAUAAAAUGAGAGAAGAAUAAGGUGGAAAAGAGGCUAGAAAAUGGGUAAAACGGGGGAAGGAGCAUUACGAGCGACCAAGAAUUUCAGCAAGAAAAACAGAGGACUGUGCGUCACAGAGAGGCUGGUGCUGCAGCAACAAAGAUAGAAAUUACGACGCUGCAGCGCUGCCAGCGAAAAGGAGGAGAAUCAAUUUUUUUAUUUCUUUUCGACCCAGCCCAACUCCAACUCGUCUUGAUACAUUAAGGGACUAUAAAUACAGACUAAAAGACCUAAUUGAAGGGGAGAAAAACAACUAAAGAGACAAGGAAGAAGGUAAGUGAUUGAGAGAAGAUUGACAUCCAUUAGGAGAAGAAAUCAAGCGGCAAAAUAAGUUUUUCUUAUUCUUUUCUUCUCCAUGUUCUUUCCUUUCACAUUAAUCAUAUCAUUCAUCUUAUUUAUGUAUUAAAAUUUUAAAUCUACGGUUUGAUGUAAUCUAACUUAAGACAUAUUUUGAUUCUAACAUAGUUAUUUCUUUUGAUUUUUUUGUCAAUUUAUUUAUGUUGAUUCUCUCAUAAUGUUUUCAAUUACUUGAUUAGUAAUUGAAUGAUUUGAUGCUUUAAAUUUCGACGCUAGAGAGAUAAAAUUUUAGGCAUGAUCUAAGAACAACAUAAUUUAGAUUUUGUAGGUUUAUAGAGAAUGUACAAAAUCUUUGAGACGCAUUUCAUUAAGAACCAUGUGUGUGAUAAUUUUUAUAUUAUCCAUUUGGAAUAGAGAAAUUGAAAUUGAAAUUGAAAUAUAGAAAUAGGUUUUAUUCGAUACUCGAGAAAGGGAAUAUGAUUAAUUGAGGGUUCUUGUCUAUAAAUUUUGGAAAAAUUGAUAGAAAUAACUAUAGAGGUUGAAGAACAUUGUUGAUAGUAUGGUGAAAUCAUUUCCUAGGCUUUCAUAAUUUGAUCAAAACUUCACAAUUUUCCUUCGUUAUUUGCAUUGUUCAUCCUAUUUACGUUAGAUUAUUAUAAAGACGGUGUUUCAAAAUUUGAUUUUCUAAAUAAAGAUAAAGUUAAAAUAAUUACAGUAUUCAAUAAAAUUCAAAUAGCAAUCCCAUAGGUUUGACACUUUUCACUUCAUUACUAUAUUACAAAACUUGAAAAUGUACACUUGCGAUAAUUUCACAUUAUAGAAAAUGAAUGAUAGAGAUGAUCGAAUUUUGGCUACUAAAUUUUAAAAAAUAUAUUCUAUUACUCACUGAACUUUGAGGUGGUUUAAUUUUGAGCACUGAACUUUGAAAAACUACGAGCUUUGGGCACUAAAUUUUGAAAAAUUUUCUAUAAAAUAAAAUAUUUUACAUGUAAGCUUAAAUUUUUUUUCAACUUUUUAAUCACAUAUUCUCUAAAAAAAAAUCACUAUUUUUAGAACUCAUUUUUUUUUUUUAAAAAAAAUAAUGGCCAUCAAACAUGGGCUAAAACUCGGAUUUAAUUUAAUUUUUAUGAUAAAUAUAUUGUGCGUUUCAUUACAAUUAGUAGUGACUUCAUUUGCAAAACUUUGCAAGCAUUGUCUUUUUCACUAGGAAUGGUUAUUCAAUCAUACAGUAAUUAAAUUAAGCCCUUUUUUGUUUCCCAUUCUUUCCCCAUUAAAAUAAAAAUAUGAUCGUUAUCCAUCACAUCAGACUACCAAAUUUGAAUUUAUAUCUCUUGUGUAGGGCCCAUAACGGCUAGAUUUUUCAAUAUCAUUUUUACAAAAAUGCGAAACAAGUGCUAAAUUUUUAUUUUUAUUUUUUGAAUUUGAAGCUAUUCUCAUCAUAAUAUUUGAAUUUUACAACGAAACACAUAAUAAAUUUGUUUGUUGUUAAAUAAAAUUAAAUCAAAAUUUUAAUUAAGGGGUUGUUUGAGUGCCCUUUUUAUUAAAAAAUGCAUUUUAAAAUAGUGUUACGAUGGAAAAUGUGUGAUUAAAAAGUAAGGAAAAAUUUUGAUUUAUGUGUAAUGUAAUAUUAUUGAAAAGUGUGUGGAUGAAAUAAUGUCAAAUCACUGUUGAAAAAUGUAUUUUGAUGAAAAAAUUGGGCUUAAACAAGGGCUAAAUCCAAAUUUAUUGCGAGCCACAGAAGAUGUUUUUCAAAGUUUUGUGGCAAGAACUCAACCAUACUCACUAAGCUUUGAGGUGGUCGAAUUUUGUCUGUUGAACUUUGAGGUAAUUGAAUUUUGGCCACUAUCGAGUCUUCAAAAUAGUGAUUUUUUUUUUUAGAAUGUGUGGUUGAAAAAUUAGAAAAAAUUUGAAUUUACAUUUAAAAUUUUUAUAGUAUAGAUGUGUGAUUAAAUCUAAAUUUAUAGUGACCAAUAGAAAUUUUUUUUCAAAAUUCAGUGGCCAAAAUUUCAUCACCUCAAAAUGUAGUGAGCAAUAGAAGAAAUUUUUAAAAUUUAGUGGCCAAAAUUCAACCAUCUCAAAGUUUAACGCUGUGACCGGGCAUCACAUUUACAUUCCUUUAGCCACGUCAUAAAUUCUGUUAGAGGUUUGAGAUGAAAGUUAUGUUAGUGAGUAACGUACAAUAUUUUUCAAAAUUCAGUGACCAAAAUUUAAACUUUCAUGAGCAAUCGAAAAUAUGGACCUAAGUUUAGCGAUCAAAACUCGACAUUUUAAACUCCAGCAAGCAAUCGAAGAUAUAAAUCUAAGUUCAGUGACCAUUGGAACAAUUAAUUCAAUAUUUUACCAAGUGUGGCUAGUGGGUUUGAGAUGGCCCGCCAAGUUAGGUGUUGACAAUAAUUAAGGAGAACAUGAGUUACAAGAGUACAACUUGGUUUAAGAAUUCCACCUUAGGGAGAGAAAUGGUCCCAUCCACAUCUCAUCUCAUAUCGUCUCAAUUAGACUAUCAAAAUCUCAAUCGAACAGCUCCGGCAUGCAUGCAUAGAAACGAUGAAACGUUACUGUAUUACAAUCUAUCCCCACAAAAUUUUAUUCAUUUUCGUCACUAAACCAUUUCAAGAGCAAUAGUGUUUGUUUUAGUAUAAGUUGAGCCCAUUUUCUGUCCAUGUUUGUUUCGUAAAUUUUUUUGUAGAUUAUAAAGUAUGGGUCUCACAAAAUGCAUGAAUUUUGGAUAAAAUUUUUUUAUAUAGUGUAUAUAAUCACGCAUAGUUUCUGUUUGAACACUUUUUUUAUUAAAAGAAAAAAACUCAUUUUUUAUAACACAUUUUAUGGGAUCCAUAACCUUUAUCAACUUAUUAACCAUAUAUUUAUUAAUUUUUGUCAAAAUUUACUAAAAAUCUAUUUUUAGCAAAAUCGAACCAAAUGCAGUGAGCUGCAAAGACGAUGUAUUAGGUAUUGAACUAUCUUCUGAGUGAGAAUUGUACGUACAACAACUUGUAUGACGUAAGAAUUGCAAUUUUCAGCCAUCAAUAAAUAAAGGGUGCAUGGGCGAGAAUUCAAAGCACACAACAAUUAGUGGACGGAUUUUAUAUGUGGGUUUGUUUGGCACAAAUUGAGUCCCAUCUGAUUUAGUUAAAAAUUUGAUAAAAAUAAUUAAUUUUAAUUAUAUAUUUUACGGAACUCACAAUUUUUAUAAUUUUUAAUCAUACAUUUCAUCAACUUUUAUCAAAUUCCACUUAAAACUGAAUUUUAAAAAACCAAAUAGGGCUAACUAAUAGGUGCCGGAGUUUGUUUGAAAGAUUAUUGUGGUGAGGUACCCAAAUUGCGGAACAGUGGAAAUAGACAUAAGACUGCAAUUUAUCAGGAUUGGAUUAGAGAUGAGAUCAAAGACACAGUAAUGCGUGCGUUUCACCAACUUUAUGCUAAAGAGUCAAGACCAGACCAUACUGGUGGCAAUAUUAUUAUUAUUAGAAUAAAGCCACUUGUCCGAAUUUAAAAACAUAGAGAAUAGACAUAUUGAUAUGUCAAAAAUGAUUGAAUGUUUUUGUUUUAAUUUUUUAAACUGUCCAAUCAUACGUCGACACGUGUUCCAUCUGGAUUUGAUCCUGAAUAUGUAGCAUGAUUGUUGUUGUUAUUAUUAAUUUAGGAAAUUCUCAGUCGACACCCUCAAUUUAUCAUACUUGUGCAAACGGGUCUCAAGUGUUUCUUGACCUUCAACUAUAUCAAUGAGUUAUUGGACAAGUAGAAUAUAAUCAGCAAUAAAGUGGUCAGACACAAGAUUAUUUUGGUUAGGUGAAAUGAUUUUGGGAAAAGUUUUACUCAUCAAUCAGUCGGCAAGAAUUAUGGGAAUAUGCACAACUCAACUACUUAAUAAUUGUUACGUGUUGUCAUACUUGACUAACCUAUUUGGGUCUAUGACCCACUCAAUCCGAACCACGUGGCGCUCUAGGCGAGGUGGUUUGUAUGGCCGAGGCCUGUGAAGAUAGCUGAAACCCUAAAGCGGAAGUACUACAUGAGUGGCAGAAGCCCCGAAUCCGAAUCCGAAUCCGAAGCCGAAGUAGAAGCCUCCGAACCAUGAAUGAACAUCUUCCAUGAUCACUUCUCCCAAGAAAUCUUCUACAUAAAGAUCUUAUUAGAAUGAUUGAUGGAACGUCUAUCAUAAGAAUACAUGUCAAGUCUUGUCAUUAGCAUGGGGGUUCUGCAUAAGCAAUAAAUGCGCAGCAAGCUAGCAAGUCAAGGAUAUUGCCUAGGAUUGGAUGUUUGAAUUAAAGAGAUGAGGCCACGUGCCAUCUCAUCCAAUGACUGUCAUUUCACAUGUACCACUAUAAAUACUUUCCUUGUGUAACAUUGAAGGAUUAGUGAAAGAAUCAAUACAAGAAACCACACUUUACUCUCUCUUUCAUAUUGCUUUACAACACAAUAAGAGUUCAUACAUAUUUACAUGCACAUUCAUGAGCACCGAUUGGUAAUUAUUGUACAAUCAGAUUACGAACAUCCCGUCGAAUUUCGAACGCUCUCGUCCCGCGUCGUUGAGCUACUCCCACGCCCCUGAUUCUUUCGUCGUAGACCAUCCAAGUGUCUUAGCGUGUAGGACCUUUGCUCACGUGUGCGCGGAUGGGUUCGGCAUCUGUUGGCAACAUUUUUUGGGGUCAACAGAUUGGCGCCGUCUGUGGGAAACCAUACCAUAACCACAAACAACUUUGUAGUGAAAGCUUAUUGAAGAACACUUGGGCAACCCCUUUGAAAAAGGAUUUGUUCUUGAAAAAGAACAAGAGGAAGCCCCACAACUUAGCAAGAUCUGAAGAGUCGAACAAAAAGAAAAUGAGUUCAAACGAAGACAUAUCCCCAGGAGGGUAAGAGAAAACGCAAAUGUACCUCCUCCACACGCUGCCCCAGCAGCUCGGCAAAGACUCUACCACCACCAAAGAAGAGGUGGAUUGCGGGCGACGACACGACUAUCAAGAGAAAUGACUGUCAUGGCGGACAACAUGAGAGAUAUUGCUAGCCAAAACUUGGCUAUGAGAAAGCUCAUGGCCCAAAUUCAAGGCAGGGAAGCUUCCCCAUUCCUCCAUACGCCCCUCAGGGGCACUACCAGCAAGAAGACGAAAUUGAAAGUCAUAGAACUGCCUCGCAGGCCUAUAGCCGAGGUAGAAGCCCAUUUGAAAGGGAAGUGGAAGUUGAUGUUUCCUCCAACUACGCUUCUGGCCAACCCACCGAGGUCCCAUUGAACCAUGAUAACUUCUCACCUCCGUAUGAGCAAGAGUCAAGACAUAGGAGGGCAGACAGUGUAUUUGACAGAAUUAGCCCCGCUGAACUGAGGCUUAGCCAACAUCAGACACACCAGCCUUGGACAAGGCCACUGCCUCCACCUCCGAUGCCCCAGCAGCCGGAGGAAAGGCAUGAAAAUAUCCCCCAUGUUGCUCCGCCUGGAAAUAGGCGUCGAGGAGGGAGGAAGAGGCUAGAAACCGUCCCGGAACCUCUCACCAACAACCACGGCAAGAGGCCGAGGAAUAUGAUUCAGAUGAACGGCAAAGGUCCUGUGACUUGGACGACAACGAUGAGAAUUUGCCAUUCUCGAGGGAACUAAGGAGUGCCCAGGUUCCAAACCAAUAUGUGAUGCUAAAGAUACCAAAGUAUGACGGAAGAGGCGACCCAAAGAAGCACCUGAAUGCUUAUAAAACUCACAUGAGCCUAAGGGGCGCCACCCCAGCUGUGAAGUGCAGAACUUUCCAUUUGACAUUUAGUGGAGCGGUUGAAAUUUGGUAUAGCAGGCUACCACCUAGGAGCAUAAGAAACUUGCCUGAGUUCAAGACAACAUUCUUGAAGAGGUUCGCGGUAAGCAUAAGAAGCUGGCCCGAGUGCAAAAUUUAGUAUUGGGUUAGAGUAAUAUUACACCAAAUAUUUGGUGCAAAAUAGGGAAGAAUGGUGUUUUGAGUAAGGGAUGGAGUUGCCCUUAGAAUACCGACAAGCCUAUUGUCUAUUAUAAGAACGAGAGAGUAUUCGACCAUGGCUAUUUGUAGAUGAUGUCAUUGGGGUGCAAGUUUAUGAUGUUUGUGUUGUCAAAAUUAAUGGCUUGUACAAUUAAAGAAAAAAAAAUUAAAAACGAUGAUGAAGCAAGGUAUGCCCUAGCAAAUCUACUUAAGACAAAUUUUGUCCCUUCACAACUACCAAUAAGAUUAUCGAAUGACUGUCUUCAAAGAUACAAUAAUUCUUUCAAAGUCAGCACCGUACUUUACCUUAUCGGUCGAACCAAAUUGUUAAUAGUAUUUUUCUCAAAUGGAAUAAAUUCGAACAAAACUUUCUCGGAAAAAAUUUUAUUUUUAAAAUAAAAUCGAAAGGAAAUUUAUUUCAGCAAAAUAAAAGUAUCAAAAUAUUUUAUAAGAAAUGCAAAGGUGUUAAAAAUUAGUUUUUCUUGAAUUUAUUAGGUAUAAAAAUUAAGAAUUGGGGAUCUGUAUUUAUAUAUUUUCAAGUUGUACAAGUGAAUGAGUACACCAUUUGGUCUGGAUCAAUCUGAGCCCUUAGAUUACACCACUUGAUAUUGUAUGGUCCAAAUGCAUCCCUUACGAUGGUCCAUGACUCACUUGUACGCCUACUGUAUUGGAACAAACGCAUCUAGGCAUCACGCCUUAGUCAUGCAGACACCAGACAUUGUAUUGUCAUUGAUACAUGAACGCAACUCAUAGAGCCACUUGCCUGCCACGUAAUUGAACCAUGGUUUCAUUUCUAAAAACUAUAAGGCUUCAUAGCUCCUCAUGAUGAUGCAUAUGCAUAAAGUGCAAAGUGCACCUCUUAAGCACCCAAUAUGACCUUUGCAAGCAGAGAUUUGUUAGAAAAACAGGCCCACGUUGACCCUAUUUGAGAAGAAUUAUUCUUGCAAGCAACGGUCCCAGGACCCCGUGACUACUGGCCAGUCAUGAAUUAGACAUAGGCUAGCCAUUAGGGUCGUAGGGUGGGUGGGCAAGUCUGCCCUCGAAGCCCAUUAAAAAUUGAAGGCAAAUUUAUAUGUAUCAAUCUAUUAGACCUUUAUUUAUUUAUUUUUACUAUUAUUUUUUAUUUUGGGGGUGGGGGUGUGGUUUUCCCUCUUGACUCCAUCCCUGCUAGCUAUGCUGUAGGUGGAUUAACAGUAUCAAAUUAUUGACCUAAGAGCAACUUCAACCACAACACCAAAUCAUUCCCUAGGCUCUCAUAAUUUGAUAAAAACUUCACAAUUUGCCUUCGUUAUUUGCAUUGUUCAUCAUAUUUACAUUAUAUUAUUAUAAAAACAUUGUUUCAAAAUUUGAAAUUCUAAAUAAAGUGAAAGCAAAAAUAAUUAUAGUAUUCAAUAGGAUUCGUAUAUCAAUCCAUAUGGGUUUGACACUCUUCACUUCAUUACUAUAUUACAAAACUUGAAAUCGUACAUUUGUGGUAAUUUCACAUUAUAGAAAACGAGUGACAGAGAUGGUCGAAUUUUGGCCACUAAACUUUGAAAAAUAUCUUUUAUUACUCAUUGAACACUGAGGUGGUUUAAUUUUGGGCACUAAACUUUGAAAAACGACAAGCUUUGGCCAUUAAACUUCGAAAAAAUCUUCUAUACAAUAAAAUAUUUUACACGUAAACUUAAAUUUUUUUUUUUCAACUUUUUAACCACACUAUCCCCAAAAAAUCACUAUUUUUAGAACUCUCUCUCUCUCUCUCUAUUUUUUUUUUUUUUAAUAAUGGCCAUCAAACAUGGGCUAAAAGUCAGACUUAAUUUAAUUUUUAUGAUAAAUAUAUUGUGCAUUUCAUUGUAAUUAGCAGUGAGUUCAUUUGCAAAACUUUGCAAGCAUUGUCUGUAUCACUAGAAAUGAUUAUUCAAUUACGCAGUAAUUAAAUUUUAUUUUAUUUUAGAAUUUGAAACUAUUUUCAUCAUAAUAUUUGAAUUUUAUAACGAAGCACAUAAUGAAUUUGUUUGUUGUUAAAUAAAAUUAAAUCCAAAUAAAAUUAAGGGGCUAUUUGAGCCCCAUUUUUCUCAAAAAAUGCAUUUUGAAAUAGUGUUACGAUAGAGAAUAUGAGAUUAAAAAAUAAGGAAUAGUUUUGGAUUGAAGAACAUUGAUAGAAAUAACUAUAGAGGUUGAAGAACAUUGUUAAUAGUAUGGUCGAUUCAUUCCAUAGGCUUUCAUAAUUUGAUAAAAGCUUCACAAUUUACCUUCGUUAUUUGCAUUGUUCAUCCUAUUUGCGUUAGAUUGUUAUAAAGACGUUGUUUCAAAAUUUGAUUUUCUAAAUAAAGAGAAAGCAAAAAUAAUUAUAGUAUUCAAUAGGAUUCGAAUAUCAAUUCAUAUGGGUUCGAGAAACAUUAUAGAAAACGAGUGGCAGAGAUGGUUGAGUUUUGGCCACUAAAUUUUGAAAAAUAUCUUUUAUUACUCACUAAACUUUGAGGUGGUUUAAUUUUGGGUACUCAACUUUGAAAAACAACGAGCUUUGGUCACUAAAUUUAGAAAAAAUCUUUUAUACAAUAAAAUAUUUUACACGUAAAUUUAAAUUUUUUUCCAACUAUUUAACCGCGUAUUCUCUAAAAAAUCACUAUUUUUAAAACUCUUUUUUUUUUUUAAAUAAUCACCAUCAAACAUGGGCUAAAAUUCUAAUUUAAUUUAAUUUUUAUGAUAAAUAUAUUGUGCGUUUCAUUGCAAUUAGUAGUGACUUCCUUUGCAAAACUUUGCAAGCAUUGUCUGUAUCACUAGGAAUGAUUAUUCAAUUACACAGUAAUUAACUUAUUAUUAUUAUUAUUUUUUUUUUUUUUAGAAUUUGAAACCAUUUUCAUCAUAAUAUUUGAAUUUCACAACUAAUCACAUAAUGAAUUUGUCUGUUUUUAAAUUAAAUUAAAUCUAAAUUUUAACAACAAAUUUUAAAUAAGGGGUUGUUUGAGCCCAAUUUUUUUUUCAAAAAAUGCAUUUUGAAAUAGUGUUAUGAUCGAGAACGUGUGGUUAAAAAUAUAAUAAAAUUUUUAGAUUUAUGUAUAAUAUUAUUUUAUUGAAAAUGUGUGGUUGAAAUAGUAUCAAAUCACUGUUGAAAAAUAUAUUUUGUUGAAAAAAUUGGGCUCAAACAAGGGCUAAAUCCAAAUUUAUUGUGAGCCAUAGAAGACGUUUUUCAGAGUUUUGUGGCAAGAACUUGACCAUUCUUGCUAAACUUUGAGCUGGUUGAAUUUUGUCUAUUGAACAUUGAGAUAAUUGAAUUUUGGCCACUAUCGAGUCUUUAAAUAGCGAUUUUUUUUUUUUGAGAAUGUGUGAUUGAAAAGUUAGAAAAAUUUUGAAUUUACAUUUAAAAUAUUUUAUAGUAUAGAUGUGUGGUUAAAUAUAAAUUUAUAGUGACCAAUAGAAGACUUUUUUUAAAGUUUAGUAGCCAAAAUUCGACCACCUCAAAGCUUAGUGAGCAAUAAAAGACAUUUUCAAAGUUUAAUGGCCAAGAUUCGACCAUCUCAAAGUUUAAUAGUGUGACGGGGCGUCACGUUUACAUUCUUUCUGUCACGUCACCAAUUCCGUUAUAGGUUUGAGAUGAAAGUUAUGCUAUUCUGUCCAUGUUUGUUUUUUUGUAGAUUAUAAAGUAUGGGCCUCACAAAAUGCAUGAAUUUUGGAUAAUUAAUUUUUUUUUAAUAUAGUUUAUAUAAUCACACAUAGUUCCUGUUUGAAGACUUUUUUUUAUUAAAAAAAAAAAAAAUCAUUUUUAUAAUACAUUUAUGGGAUCCAUAACCUUUAUCAACUUAUUAACCAUAUAUUUAUUAUUUUUUAUCAAAAUUUACUAAAUAUCUAUUUUUAGCAAAAUCGAACCAAAUUUAGUGAGCUGCAAAGACGAUACAUUAGGUAUUGAAUUAUCUUCUGAGAGAGAAUUUUAUGUACAACAACUUGGAUGGCGUAAAGAAUUGCAAUUUUCAGCCAUCCACAAAUAAAGGGUCCAUGGGCGAGAAUUCAAAGCACACAACAAUUAGUUGACGGAUUUUAUAGUGGAAAUUACACAAAAUCAUACAUUGAAAAUCCAACAUUAUAAAAUCAGAUGGCAAGUUUAACAAUUCAAAAAUCAGAAAUUUUAUUUUAAUAUAAAAUAAAUAUAUAUACUAUACACACCACAAUCCUAAUCAUUUUACUUGAUUAAUAAUAUUAUAAAAUUAAAUUAAUUUAUAUACCCUAAUUCACCUAACUUGACCCAACCCUAUUCAUCUACAGUCGUCUCUCUCUACCCUCUCCUAAAAUCGACCACUGAGACCAUAAUUUUCAGAUCGCUCCCACAAAUUGACCAUUGUCGGUCAAGCAGUCGGUACUACAGAUUGAGUAGAAGAAGAAAAGGGGUGGAGGUGUUGGUGUGAGACAGAGGCGAAGGCGAAUCGCGAUCGUUGUUUGUGGCAACGACGAUGGUGCGAUGCGGUAGCAAUGGGAUGUGUGGUAGGGGUCGUUGGUGGAGGUUUGGUGUGGUUUCUAGUGUUCGAUCGUCACAGUGGUGUAUUGUGCAGUAUGAGUAGUGAUUUUACAGUUACUAUGGUGGUGUUAUACCGUGCGUUGGAUCUAAUGGUGGUGGCGACGGCGACUCUGUUCAAUGGUAGAGGCUUUUUGUGAUGGUGAAUCUGUUGGUGUGCUGUGUUGAUCGGUUUGUCAUAAGUUGGCCAGCGCCGUGACAGGCACAUAUGCAGUGACCUAUAAACUGUGGUGCGAUCUCUGUGGCGAUGGAGCGAUCUGGUGUCCCUCCAUUGGUGCGAUCUGGUGGCGGUGGCAUGAUGGGGAUGAUGGUGGAUCUGGUGGCUACGGGAGGUGAGAUUUUUUUUUCUUGGUUGUUGGACGCGGCGCCGGCGAUGGCGGCAUGGUGUUGGUGGCAGCGGCAUCGGCGUCGGUCGGGGGAAUCAAUAGUGCCUUUGACCAGUAAAUUGCUUGAUUUGAUUGUGUAGUGUAGUGGGCCGUGUGAUGUGGUUGUGCUGGUGUUGUGCCGUGGGCUGUGGAGCGGUGGUGGUGCGCGGUGGUGUAAGGGUGCGGUGGUGACUUUGGUGGCGUGCGGUGCUACUGUUGAUGUGUUUGGUGGCUGCGAUCGUGGUCGUUUUUUGGCGACAGUGGACGUUAUUGGUUUUCGAGUUUGGUGUGUGAUGGUGUGGUUACUGUGAUGGUGAUUUUACAUUGACGUGGUGUGGGUGGUUGCUGUGAUGGUGGUUUUGCAUACCGGUGAGAUGAAGGCGGUUGUGGCAGGUGUUGAUUGGGGGUCGACGGGAUGGGACGGGGUAUUUGUGACCAAUUUUUUGGUUAUUUGUGACCAAUAAAUUGAUUUGUGACUUGUAAUUUAUUAAUUUGUGACCAUAAAAUUAAUUUUGACCAAUUAUUUUGAUAUAAUUUGUGAUUGACAAAUGAAUUGUGACUAAUUAAAAUUUUGAUUUUGUGACUAAUCAAUGAAUUGUGACCUAAGAAAUUUUUGAUUUGUGGCUGACAAAUUAGAUGUGACCAAUAACAAUUUUGAUUUCGUGACCUAUAAAAUUUUUGAUUCGUGAUCGAAAAAUAAUAUGUGACCUAUAAAAUUUGUGUUUGUGACUUAUAAUUUAUUGAGUUGUGAUCGAAAAAUUAAUCUGUGACCUAUAAAAUUUUUUAAUUCGUGAUCGAAAAAUAAUAUGUGACCUAUAAAAUUUGUGUUUGUGACUUAUAAUUUAUUAAUUUGUGACCGAAAAAUAAGUUGUUACCAAUAAUAUGAUAAGUCGUGACUAAAAAUUAAUCCGUGAUUAAUUAUUUUUGAAUUUGUGACCAAUAAACAAACUGUGACUUACAAAACUUUUGAAAUGUGAUCGAAAAAAAUUUGUGACAUAAAAUUUUUGAUUUGUGACAAAAAAAUAAUAAGUGACUAACUAUAUUGUUAAUUUGUGACCAAAUUGUAUAGAUCUGUGACCUAAAUAUAUUUAAUUAAUAAAAUAAUUAAUUAACUAAUUAAAUUAUAAAUAAUUUUUAAUAAAAAUCUGAUUUUAGAAAUUUGAAACUUAUUUUCUUGUUUUUGAAAUGUGCCAUAAUUAAUUUCUUAGUUAUGAAAUUUUCCCGAUUUUAUAUGUGGGUUUGUUUGGCACAAAUUGAGUCCCGUCUGAUUUAGUUAAAAAUUUGAUAAAAAUUAAAAUUAACAAUUAAAUUUAAUUAUAUACUUUACGGGAUUCACAAUUUUUAUUAAUUUUUAAUCAAACAUUCCAUCAACUUUUAUCAAAUUCUACUUAAAAUCUGAAUUUUAAAAAACCAAAUAGGGCUAACUAACAGGUCCCAGAGUUUGUUUGAAAGAUUAUUGUGGUGAGGUACCCAAAUUGCGGUACAGUAGAAAUAGACAAAACAGAGACUGCAAUUUAUCAAGAUUGGUUUAGAGAUGAGAUCAAAGACACAGAAAUGUGUGCGUUUCACCAACUUUUCUGCUAAAGAGUGAAGACCAGACCAUACUGGUGGCAAUAUUAUUAUUAAAAUAAAGCCACUUGUUCGAAUUUAAAAACAUAGAGAGAAUAGACAUACUGAUGUGUCAAAAAUGGAUUGUGUGUUUUUGUUUUAAUUUUUCAAACUGUCAAAUCAAGCGUCGACAUGUGUCCCAUCUGGAUUUGAUUCUGGAUGUGUAGCAUGAUUGUAGUUAUUAUUAUUAAUUUAGGAAAUUUUCAGUCGACACCCUUGAUUUAUCAUAUUUGUGCAAAUGGGGUCUCCAGUGUUUCUUGAUCUUCAACCAUAUCAACGAGUUAUUGGACAAGUAGAAUAUAAUCAGCAAUAAAGUGGUCCGACACAAGAUUAUUUUGGUUAGGUGAAAUGAUUUUGGGAAAAGUUUUACUCGUCAAUCAGUUGGCAAGAAUUAUGGGAAUAUGCACAACUCAACUACUUAAUAAUAACAAAUGUGUUGACAAAUUUGAAAGAGCAUGGUAAUUUGCUAUAUUUACGGUUUAAAAUUUUAAGCACACGUUCGUUGAAUUUUUGAUUUAAAAAAAUGAUGAACUAUGUAGUUAAAAAGAUGUGAUUUUAUAGAAAAACGUGUCUAAAAAUUAAUUGUUCACUUUAAUUUAGAUUUUAAUUCCUAUCGAAAAGGGGACCAAGAUUCUCAUAAUCACAUAUUAUGUGCAUAUUACAUGGACAUUAUUUAAAUAAAUAUUUUCCAUCAUCGGAUGACAAACUCUCAUAGUAUUAAAAGGUUAGGGGAAAUGAAUGCCACGAUUGAAAAUUUGGGAUAUGGUUAUCACAAUUAUUUUGUCACUUCUUAUGAAUUCUUUCAAAAAUUCAUUUUUCCUCGAAAUCAUUUUUAAUCACACAUUUUUCUAAAAAAAUAAUUUUAUACGUGCAUCUAUAAUGUUUUCUUACUUUAUAACUAUACAUUCUUUAAAAAUAUUACUUUUCACAAAAUCGAUUUUCGAAAAUCUACAUCAAACGGGCACCAUACGAUCCGAAUCCCCUGAAGAAACUUACUGUUUAAGAUAUUCAUCAUUUUUCAUACUCAAAAACGUUAUUGACAGAUAAAUUAUUUUUAAUUCUUAUUUUAUUUUCAAUGUUAAUAUAGAUUGCAUAGAAUAAAGAGUUUGAUAUGGAGAACUCACCGAACAUAAAUUAACAUCAAUAUGUUGUUUUAAAUGAGGAACGCCGACUAAUGUUAUUUUCUAAUUAAUAUAUUACUCAUUAAUUGAUCAUAUGAUCUAUAGCUCGUUCCAAUAAUAUAUUUGAUUUAGACAGUUUUUAAUAUAUUUUUUUAACCAAACCGUUUAUAAGAAUUUGACAUAUCUCAAACGAACCAUUCCAUAACCCCAAACAAGCCGUUAUAAAAUUAUUAUUAUAUUAUUUUUAGUUCUUAAAGAGUAGCUCAUGAAUUUUUAAAUGCAUUAAUUCCAAGUAAAGGAAAUAAAGCAAUUAUAUAUCAAUGCCAAACAAAAUGUUUACGAAGUGUUCUAUAUAGUACAGGGCUACACCUACCAAUAUAAAGUUAAGAAUAAUGUUAUUUACUAUUGAUUAGCACUCAUCAGUGUGGAAGUUGGAUCAUUAUAUUGUUUUAAAGCUCAAUAUCAACAAAGUCUCUAUAAAUGUCCCGUAUAAAUUUUUAAGCCAAAUCCCUACUAAAUAAUGUUGAAUUUAACGAGAAUCAUGUUAAGAAACAAGAAUCGCAGAUUAAUAAAAGUUCGUUAUAACACAGCUUUACGUUAGAAUUUUACAAUCAAAUAGGAAGUCGACAUUAGAAUUAUUCCAACAAAUAAAAGUUCUUCGUAGUACAACUUUACGUUCUUUAACAAGAUUUUAGCAUGAAUUAAUGAUCAAAAUGAUGGUUUCAUAAAAUUGAGACUACUAGUAAGUGACUUGCUAAUUAGGCCAUAAUUGCUAUAUAUAGAUAAUUAGAUUAAUCUUUUAAUACUUUAUUACCUUAAUUGGAGGUUAACAUUGUUAUUCCAAGUAUGGCCCACGUCCAAUUCAAUCGAACCAAUUCUUGAUUUGAGCUUAUUUGAAAAUUUAUUUACUUUUCAUUUUAUUUUUCUAAAUUUUAGACGAUUUGAUUUGGUUUCAAUUCGUAGUUAAAAUAUCGAAAUUUAAACUAAACUAUUUUGUCGUUAACAUGUCCCAUGACACCAAAUUGACAGUUUAAAAAGACAAUUCAAUUUGACGAUUUUUCCUUAGAGCCCUACUCCGUAAAAUAUAAUUAAAAUGGCUGAUACCUUAACAGUCGGUUUUUAGGCCAUAAAAACUACAACUUACCUUAAAACAAUGCAAAUUUACGACCAAGUCUGUCAGGGAUGUCUGUUAUAUGGGCCUGGCCCACCUAGCUUAGAGGCCCAAUAUGGAAGCACACGAGAGAGGUGUCAGGAUUAACAAAGAGUUACGAUAAAUAAUGUUAUUUAAUACCAAUUUAUGUGGCUAUAUUUGAAAGGGAAAAUUUCAUAUCCCAGAUGGUAAUAAAUAUACAAUUCAAAUUUAAGAAAUAUAGUUUGAUCUUUCAAAUAUUAGAGAAUCUAACCUACACACACAUAUAUAUAUAUAGAAGGAGAGACAGGGAGAUCGGAAAGAGAGAAACCUUUACAAUCAUUCCCUGAAAUCAAACUUCAGUUUCCUUAUGUGACCGGACUCUUUCAUAUAUAGAAUUUCUGACGUAAAAUCAUCACCGUUUUCAAGGUCAUAGUUUUUUCGGUCACAAUUAUCUAUUUAAUUAGUCACAGAUUAGUUUUUAGUCACAACUUACCAAAUUAUUGGUCGCAACUUAUUUCUUGGUCACAAAUCAAAAUUUUUAUAGAUUACAGAAUAUUUUUUGUCACAAAUUCAAAAUUUUAUAGGCCAUAGAUUAUUCAUCGGUCAUAGAUUCAAAAUUUUUAUUGGUCACAACUUAUUUACUUAUUGCAAAUUAUUUGAUUAGUUGGACAUGAUUAAUAUUUCAGUUUCAAUUGCAUCAAUUGUGAGUCACGGUCAAAAUUCUCAGGUCAUAUAUAUCCAAUUAUUAGUCACAAAUCAACCAAACCGCCACGACUACUGUCAUGACCACCAUAACCACCAACUGUGAAUCCCAAUUUUCAGCUCAUGGGUCAAAUUAUUUGUCACAAAAUCAACUAAACAGUCUAAACUGCCACCAACUAAACCGCCAUGACCAUCGUCAAUCCACCAGAACCUCAGAGCAUCGCAAACACCACUUCCACCACUGGAUAGCGUCCAGAUCGUGACCAAACUUUCCCCAUAUCGCAACCAACAAAACUCUUGCCAAAACCACACACCUCCACAGAUUUACAGAUCGAUCGGUGACGAGAGCUACCCCAGUGCUCCCCACAUUUCCAUUCCACUUGGACCUGCCAAGCUACAUAUCAAGGGAAAAAAAUUCAUUUGGAAUCAUUUAUAAAUAGAUAAUGGACGACAGACGCCAAGUCAACGCCACCACAGCCGCCACCGCACACCAACACCAACAUCACAGUCGCUGCUGCACACCAACAACACAGAUCGAUCGGCGACGUUGCAACGAACCAUCACAGAUCCACGAUCGCCACAGAUUGACGAUGUGAAUGGUUAGCUCGGUGCCAUAUUUGAUUUCUGAUCUUAGAUUUCUAGGUGAUCAGUUCAUUAUCAGUUGAGGUGGCUUGGGAGGGCGAUUUGAGAGAAGACGAAGAUGUAAAGAGAAAAUGGCAGGAGAAAUAAUGGAGAGAGAAGGAGAUUGGAGGCGAUCUGAGAGAAGAAGAAGAGGGAGAGAGAAAAUGGCAGGAUAAAUAAUGGAGAGAGAAGGAGAUUGGAAAGAGAAUAAAUUUGUGUGGGAGAGAGAGAAAACGUGUAGAAGGAGAGAGAAUUAGAUUGGAAGGAUAAUGAGAUUGGAGAGAGAGGAAAUAUUUCUGAUUUUUGAAAGAUGAAACACCUCACCUGAUUUAAGAAUUGAGAUCUUCAAAAGUAGGGUGGAGUGUAAUUUCCACUAUUUGAAAGGUUCAAUUAAAUAGGUCAUGUGAUUUUACAUUUAAAUAAAUAUAUAAUGUCACAUAACUGUCACCUAAACUAUACUAGAAAAUAAUUGUUUUAAAAACACCAACUCAUCUUUGGUAGUUACUCAAUUUUAAAUUUACUGGAAACUGUUAAUAAGUUUAUAUAAUUGAGUUCAAAUGCCAACCAGAACUCGCAAUAGACUCCUUCUUUUGCUACUAACAUGAGUAGGUUUCAGUGCACAACUAAUUGAAUAAUGUUUCUGAACCAAAUUUACCUCAAUUUUAACCUUUUUGAUAUUACUUAAGGCGUUAGGUAUUGCAUUAGCUACACGAGACGUUGAAGAUAAGCUCUUUCGUAAAUAGUUUAAUUAAUUUUUUAUUGAAGAGAGAAAAUGCAAAUAAUAUUAUUAGUACAUUUAUAUAGCAAGAAGAAAAUAUUUAUAUAUUAUGGUUGGUAGGAUCUAAGAGUCCAAGGGCAGAUUAUUCAAAACCAUUCAAAAUUGAUAAGAUUUCAGAUUGAAUUAAACAUUGACUGACGUGGAGAUGAUGGGGAGAUCCUCUCUUCCACUAUGGAAACAAUACCUUUACACUUGCAACAAUUUUCAUUUAAAGAAAGGAUUUGAAAAAGAAUAGUUAACCAGAUAAACCUUUAGACCACUAAUUCAAUAAAGAAGCAAACAUCCCACCUCAGAAAGCAUGGAUUCCACAUCUGCAUGCAAUUAAAGAACCAGUCUGUGUGAGGAUUCAAUAACUAAACUACUGACCAACCAACCCCACCCCCUAUACCAAAUUUUCUGUAAUUAAGUUUUGUCGAAACCCCACAUCUUUUUUCUUUUGACACAGACAUGACUCAUGCAACUAAAAUUCAAGAUCCAACUACUACUCUUGUCCUCUAUAUAAAGGGUGAAGAUGCAUUUUUGGAUCCCAGAAAGCUUCUUGUAUCUGACUCAUCUUUGGUGUCUUUGAACAUUUCAUUACUUACAACCAAAGCAAGGAGGUAGAACAUCGCAGCAAAUCGACAUUUAUGAAGAAAUCAAAUGUUAUUGGAAUUCCAAUCAACUGCAUGGACAGAUAUCCAAAAGGACUUUUAUCCGAUCCUGCUAGUCAAUACAGUUUUGCGCCUUCUCCUUCAAAUGAAUUUUUCAAAAUCAGAAAGAGUAAGUAUAUUUUCUGUCUUUAUAACUCGCCAGGAAGUCCCAGUUUCAAUAAUCACAGCCUUACUAGAUUUUCUUGGGAAUGCAGGCAGAGCAAAUUCAGCAAUCCUUGGGAUGAAUAAAUUUGGAGAAUGGAUGAAUAAUUUUUCGCAAGGAAUCCGAGAGCAUGGUAAAGCCUCAAACUAGAUUAUUUGUAGCAGUUGCUAUUAGACAUUGUUGGAUGAUGUUUGCUAUGCUCAACUAGACAGAGCUAGACAUAAUUAAGGAAGAGAUUUCCUAGUUAUUAAUCCUAUUUUAUCCUGUACAACAAAAUGGCUAUCAGUAAUUUUUAGAAACAAACUUCUCAAAACAAGAAAACAUUUCAAUAUAUCAUUGCAUUAUUCCUUCUCAACCAUCAAAUACAAUAGAAUUUCUCAAAUCAAGCAGUGCAAAGUGGGAUGAGGCCUAAUGUUCCGCUUUAUUUCUAUCCCUGCAGUGAAAUUAGGACCCAAAUUAACAGAAACUUUGAAAGGAAAAUUGAGACUGGGAGCAAGAAUCCUUCGAGUAGGCUGCCUGGAAAAAGUUUUCAAGCAGAACUUCAGUGUUAGCAAUGGCGAAAAGCUUUUAAAGGCUUCCCAAUGCUAUUUAUCGACCACAGCUGGGCCUAUAGCAGGCCUCUUAUUUAUUUCCACCGAUAAAGUUGCCUUCCGCAGUGAAAGAUCAAUUAAACUCGCUUCUCCAACUGGAAAACAGCUUAAAAUACAUUACAAGGUGCAUAUAUGACUCUGUUUCAAUUGUUUUGAAUCACAAAUUUACAUCCCAUCUUCUCUUCGAAAAUGAAAAUCUAACUGAUUUCAAAACCUUGCAGGUCAUGAUCCCACUAGGUAAAAUAAAGAGAGCCUACGACAGCAAAAAUGUGAAAAAACCAAGGCAAAAGUAUGUGCAGAUAGUAACAGAGGAUAAGUUCGAGUACUGGUUCAUGGGAUUUCUAAAUCAUCGAAAGGCUUUCAAGUACCUGCAGCAGGCAAUCUCUCAAACUCCAUCAGUAGCAGCUAUUGAUGCAUGGAUGAUUUCUCCAUAGAAGCUAUAUAUACAGUCACAACACAUCUGUACAAUUUGGUUAUUAAAAAUUGUUCACAAACAUAAAUUAGAACUACUGUAGUGUUGAUUGUAAAUACAUUAUGCAGUUUUGAAAGGAAAGUAUUAUUCAAAAUAUCAGUUCCCAUUGAGAUCGAGAUGUAAAACUACAAGUACAUUCCUAUUCUAUCUACACUUAACUAUCACUCAUUUGCACCAAUUGCAUGAAUUAUAAAAUGUAUAUUGACGCAGGAUGGAAACGUAAAUAAUAAUAAUAAUUGGUUCUUGUUCGUAACACAGGGUGUUUGUUCGAACAUUUGAACAGACGUGAGGUCUAUUUGGAAUCCACCAAUUAAUGGGAAAACUAAAAUAUCUUAUUAAUCAAUAAAAAUGAAUGUCUUAUUUUUACAACCUCAACACGUAUUUAUAGACACAAAAAUAAUUCUAAUCAAAGUGAAACCCUAAUUCUAUAAACAAAUUCAAAUAAACUAGGAAACGGCAAAACAAAUCCAUGUAAAACUUAAAAAACUAUUAAAAUGAUGAAAAUACCCUUAAAUUAAUAAAAAUAGAAAAGUCCAAAAAGGACACCUAAACGAUGAAAUUUAACCUCUAAAGUUUGAUAAGGUUGCAAAGUUGUGUAGAAUAAAAAGACACUUCUGGAUUGCAUGCACGGAAGAAAAUUCGACACCUGAGCUAAAAGUUAUGCAUGUUUUCGUAGAUCCUUCUUGUUCCUUAUCUUUCCUAAUUGGUUUAGAAUUUUCUUCUAUUUGAUCCGCAUCAUUUAUUAUACAAUAAUUUGUUUCCUUCUAUAAAAUUGUCUAGGUUGUUUCUCGGAAAAUGUUGGUCUUGUUAUGAAUUAAAAUACGUAUUAAUACAAUUCAAAAUCUCUACAUUAGAACAUGAGGUUUGUCGAAUUCUACACUAUAAUUUCCUUAAAAAUUUAAUGAUCAAAGUUAAACACCAACUUUGACCACACAUUUUAUAAGACUUGCAACUAAAAUCCAACUAUCCACCCUUCAUUUCCAUGAUAUUUUAAUUUUUGGUACUUAUAAUUUUACCCUAAUGUUUAUUCAUCAACAAGAUUUCUUUUUAACUUUAACGAGGUCUAUUUGGAAUCCACCAGUUAAUGGAAAAUUUGAAAUAUCUUAUUAAUCAAUAAAAAUGAAUUUCUUACUUUUACAACUUUAACAUGUAUUUAUAGACUCAAAACAAAUUCUAAUCAAAGUGAUAAUUCUAUAAACAAAUUCAAAUAAACUAGGAAACAGCAAAACAAAUCCAAUUGAAACUUAAAAAACUAUUAAAAUGAUGAAAAUACCCUUAAACUAAUAAAAAUAGAAAUAUCCGAAAAAAGGGACCCCUAAACAAUGAAAUUUAACCUCAGAAGUUUGAUAAUGUUACAAAGUUGUGAAGAAUUGAAAGACACUGCUGGAUUGUACUCACGGACGAAAAGUCGAUAUUCGAGUUAAAAGUUAUGCACAUUUUCAUAGAUCCUUCUUGUUCCUUAUCUUUUUAAAUUGGUUUAGAAUUUUUCUUCUAUUUGAUCCACAUCAUAUAUUGUACAAUAAUUUGUUUCCUUCUACAAUAAAAUUGUCUAGGUCAUUUCUCGAAAAAUGUUGGUUUUGUUAUGAAUUAAAAUACAUAUUCAUACAAUUUAUAAUCUCUACAUUGAAACAUGAGGUUCGUCGAAUUCUAUCUAGUGCGUGUUUGAUAAACACUAUAAUUUCCUUAUAAAUUUAAUGAUCAAAGUCAAACAUCAACUUUGACCACACAUUUCAUAAGACUUGCAACUUAAAUCCAAUUAUUCACCACUCAUUUCUACUACAUUUUAAUUUCCGCAACUUAUAAUUUUACCAAAAUGUUUAUUCAUCAACAACAUUUCUUUUUAAUUUUGAUGGUCUACAAGUUUUUUUUCCAAAUAUGUGCUGGUGCGAAGAAGGAAAAAAAAUAUCGUAGUCCAUCACCGUCUAGAAUUAUCCAUAUGAGUUGGCAAUGCCCAUGAAUAGGAGAUGGAUCAUUUGUAAAUCACCAUGUUCAAGUUGAACGAGUGUACACAAUACAAAAGCAUUCCCCCUAACUCUCUCGUGUUCUAAAUAUUUUUUGCCUUGAGUCUUGAUUUAGGUGGUUUUGAUACAUUUUGCCACUAUACUCGUAACAAAAGCUUAUAUUUCGUGUAAAUGUGAGGAACGAAAAGUUGUGAGACACUAAAAUUGCACUCACGAUAGUUGUAAGUGGAUACCAUCUAAUACUCCAUUCAUGGCUAUCUCAUAAAAUUCAAGCCAGGCGGAUGGCUAGUUUGUUUCUAAGACAGGGCUUGGCCUUUGGCUUCGGUUGGUCCCACAUUUUCGCUUUAUUUUUAUUAGUUAUUUAUUUUAAUUCGAAGACUUUAUUGUUCAUUUAUUUAAAGGUUGUUUGAGUCCUUUUAUUAGUAGGAGAAUGUUGUUCUAGUUUCUUGAUAUUUAGACACACUUUGAACAUAUUAUUUUAUGGUUUUUGAACCUUGAGGAUAAAAUUGCAGUGAAUUUGUUCCCCUAAUUCGUGUGUGAAUCUUGCUUGUUUUUGUUUUCUUCUUGAUUGUUUAGCUUCUAAUCACAUUAGUUGGUAUCAAAGACCCGCAUACGCUCCUGAAUAUGGUAAAAGAAUGGUAGGAAGUAGGAACUGUGGUAUUCGUGAAGGGAAUUUUAACCAGGAAAAUUCUCAGUGCACAUAGGAAAAUCUUACAGGAUCAGGACAAGUGUCCCCCUGGUUUGACUCUAUUUUUUUCUCCUGUACGUGUAGUGCAGUCCUUUUAAUCAAUUGUACUAGUAGGUGGACUCCUUGAUGGAGUAGGUUGCUAGACUAGUGACUAUCGCCGAUCAUUUUUGGAUGGGACAAGAGCUCCAUGGGGCAGCAUGUGGCUCUGGACCAAUAGCUCCAACCCUAGCAUUGGAUUUCUAGCUGUAGGCCAUAGGACAGGUGGUAAGCGUUGCUUUUCUUACGACAACUUAGGUCAUCUCCAACCUUGCACCAAAAAUUGAGGUAGGUUAUACACUAUUUUGUACCAAAUUAAAAAUCAUCUCUAACCCAUUACAUCAAAUGAAUAAUGUUCAAUCAUUUCUUCACUUUUUUAUCCUUCACAAUUUAUAUAUCUAAGAAAUUGUUAUUUAUUUAAUUUACUACUACAUAAAUAAUUAAGUUUCAUUAAUGAAAAUACUAAAUUCAUUAAUAAAUUUUACAAACGUAUUACAGUUAAUAAAAAUACCAUAACUAAGAAAAUAUUAAAUCAUAAUAAUAAAAAAUGAUUAAAGCUUAUUACAAGUAAUGGUAAUAAUUGUUGUGAUUCUCCGAUCAUGAGAAGAGAAGAUAAAAAGAGGAAAAAUAAUUCUAUUUCUUAUUUGAAUAGAAUUUUACAAUGGAGUAUUACAAACUCUUAAAAAACCUCUCAAAAGUCACUCUCUAAUCUCUCUUUUUUCUCUAUUCUAUACACUAUUUUUUUUCCUCUCAAUGGAUAUUUCCCUCUCUCUUGGGGCAUCAAAAUUUUCUUUGUGGUAGCAUAUUUUUAUAGAAAAUUUUUGGCUACAAACCUUCAUAAAAUUCUGGCCAAAAAACCUGCCACAUAGUUUAUUGUUGAAGAGUCAAAAUGGGUGGCUGCCUUCAAUUUGUCUUUUGCAUGGGAAAGACUUGCUCAUUAAGAAAUUGAUAACAAAUUGUGGCUGAUUUUCAAUGACUUCAAAAGGAAGAAACUGAUUAAAAAAACUAGCUGGAUUGCGGCUGGGCUUAUCAAUUCUCCCCAUAUAGUCGCAUUGAAAUCAAUUGUUAUUUGACACCAUCCCAACUAUGUCUCUACAUAGCUCUAACUUUUCUCUUAAAACGACCUUUGUUAACAUAUAUGCUGGAUUCUUAUUUGUGUGAAUCUUCACUAGUCUCAGCAGUUGUUGAUCCAUCACUUCUCUUAUCCAAUGAUAAUGGACGUCGAUGUGCUUUAUCCGAGAAUGGUACAUUGAAUUCUUACUUAAGUCAAGAGCACUCUGGCUAUCACAGUGUACUUUGUAGUCUUUCCGUUUGAUCCCUAAUUCUUGGAGAAAUCGCUUUAACGACAACAUUUCUUUACCUACUUCCACCGCUGCAAUAUAUUCUGCUUCUGUUGUAGACAAAGCAACACACUUUUGUAUUCUUGACUGUCAUGAAACAGCUCCCCCUGCAAAAGUGUAGAGAAAUCCUGAAGUAGAUUUUCUAUUAUCAUGAUCUCCAGCCUUAUUUGAAUGUGUAUAACCUUCCAAGAUUGUAUCAGCUCCCCCGCAGCACAGACAUAUCUUUGAUGUAUCUUUAAGGUACCUGAGAAUCCACUUGACUGCCUCCCAAUGUUCAUUUCCAAGAUUUGAAAGAAAACAACUCACCAUGUCUACUGCAUGAGCAAUAUCUGACCUUGUACAUACCAUGGCAUACAUCAGGCUUCCAACUGCUGAAGAAUAAGGAGUCAAUAACAUCUUCUCAAUCUCUUUCUUAGAUGAAGGGCAUGAAUUUUUGCUCAAAUUGAAGUGGUUGGCCAAUGGAAUGCUGACAAGUUUGUCAUUAUGCAUGUUAAAUCUCUUGAUCACUCGUUCAACAUACUUCCCCUGAGAUAGCCACAGCCUUCUACUCUUUCUAUCUCGAGUUAAGUAUAUUCCUAAAAUCUGUUAAGCUGGGCCUAAGUCCUUCAUAUCAAAGGACUUGGAAAGUUCCUUUUUUAGUUGGCUGAUUUUUGUUGCAUCUUGUCUAACGAUUAACAUGUCGUCUACAUACAAUAGAAGAGCAACAAAGUUGUCAUCUGGAAACCUCUGGAUAUAAACACAUUGAUCUGCAACGGUUCUUUUUGUAGCCUUGGCUUACCAUGAACAAGUUAAAUUUUUUGUACCAUUACCUUGGUGCUUGCUUAAGGCCAUACAAGCUCUUUUUCAACUUGCAAACGAAGUUCUCUUUUCCUGAAACUUCAAAACUUCUGGUUGUUCCAUAUCAAUUUCUUCAUAUAAUCACCAUGAAGAAAUGUUGUUUUGACAUCUAUCUGUUCAAGCUCUAGAUUCAAACUGGCUACUAAUCCAAGGAUAACUCGAAUUGAGGCCAUUUUUACAACAAGUGAAAAAAUCUCAUCAAAGUCAAUUCCCUUCUUCUGAAGAAAUCCUUUCACUACCAAACAGGCUUUAUGUUUUACCACCUUUCCACUGCCAUCUUUCUUGAGCCUGAAAACCCAUUUAUUCCUUAAUGUCUUCUUUUCCUUCGGAAGCUUAAGCAAGUUAUACAUUUGAUUUUUCUGCAGUAACUUCACUCAUCCCGCAUUGCUUGUAUCCACUUGUCCUUGUCCACCUGAGUUUGUGUUUCCUGAAAGCUCUCCGAUCUCCUUUAUCAGUAAGCAAAAUGUAUUCUGAUUUCGGAUAUCUGGUUGAUGAAAUCCAUCCUCGUUUAGAUUUUCUUAUCUGUGGAUCGUUAGUUUUAGGAGGUGCAUCAUCAUCCGAUUGAUGUGAUGGUCCGACAACUUUUGGUGAAGAGGAUUGUGACUCCCCCUGAUCAAUAUCCUCUUCUUUAUCCUCCUAUUCUGCUUCCGGCAUUUCCAUAUGCACAUCGUCAUUAUCUAUGGUGAAUUGUGCUGGUGCUGGAUCUGGAGCAAUAUUCAGGGUACCAAAAUUGGAAUUAGAAGAUAUUGUGCGUUUUUCAAUGUCUUCCAAUGUCCGAUUUUCAUGGAACACUACGUCCCUGCUUCUCAUGAUCUUCUUUAUUUUUAGGUCCCAUAAUCUGUAUCCAAAUUUCUCAUCUCCAUAGCCUAUAAAGAUGCAUGGAGUGUUCCUUAUAACUAGCUUUUGUCUUAGCUCCUUAGAUACAUGUGCAAAGGCUAAACAGCCAAAUACUCUCAGGUGAAAGUAGGAGGGAUAUUUACCAGACCAUACUUUCUCCGAAAUUUCAAAAUUCAACGGUACUGAUGGUGAUCUUUGAUCAUGUAGCAGACGGUUCGAACAGCUACUUCCCAAAAUGGCUUUGGCAGCUUAGCCAUACUUAUCAUGCUUGUGACCUUUUCCAUAUCAUUCGUUUCAUCCUCUCGGCGACUCCAUUAUGCUGUGGAGUGAAUUGGACCGUCUUCUCAUGUCGAAUGCCGUAUCUUCUGCAAUAAGCAUCGAACUCUUUGGAAGUGUACUCGCCUCCAUUAUCUGUGUGGAGACACUUCAAUUUUUUUCCUAUUUCACACUCUACCAUGGCAUGAAAUGAUUUGAAGUAAUCCAAUACUUGGUCCUUCAUCUUCAAGAAAUAUACCCACAACUUUCGAGAAGCAUCAUCAAUGAAUGUAAAAAAAUACUUGUUAUUGCCUAGUGAUUUAACCUCCAAGGGAUUACAAACAUCAGAGUGUACCAAAUUGACCAACUCUGAUCGUCUUGUCGAAGAGAAUGAUUUUCAUGUCAAUUACAACAAUAGAUUUUCGUUCUCAAGAUUAACAACAAUUCGAGAAUAAUUACAAACUCAAUUACCACAAUCUCUUCUUACAUGUUAGUCAAAUAAAACAAGCUCUUUACUCAACCCUAUUCAUUAAACAACCUAGAACAAGCUCUCUAGAUUUAAUUUGACAAACGCAUUACGACAAAAGAAAUGAAUUGAAUUAAGGGUAGACUCGCAAGCUCGAUUUACAAACUUAAGUGUUAAUCCACAUACAUUCAAUUGAAAAUUCUUCAUAAUCUAUCAAAAUGUAAUUGCUACUAGGUUUUAGAAUCAAUAGCUAUUACGUACUACUAAUUCCAUAAUAGCAUUAUUGAAACAACUUAACCAUUUAGUUGUACACCUAAACAAUCAAGAAGAACAAAAUAAAUAUUUAACACAAUGGAUUAAACACAUUAAUCAAGAGAAUUAGAAAGUACAAAUUAAUUGUAAAUCAUAACUCGGGUUUGAAAUAAUCCCCAAUCACAAAAUAUAAUUAGUUACCCAUGAAAUAUCCACAAAUAACUAACAAUUUCUUACAAAAUAUUGAUGGAAAAAGUGAAAAGAAAAACUUAUUGAUGAAGAGAGAAAUGGUUGAAAAUCCUUCAAUAUCAAUGGUCAUCUUCUCCAAGCUAAUGCACCAUCUCUAUAUUCCAAUCUUCCCCAAAAUAUCUUAGAAAAUAAAGGUGAAAGGAACAAGAAAAAAGAAAGAAGACAAGAAGAAGAAGAAGAAGAAGAACCACAUGCCCCUCAAGUUGAAGAAUUUUUUUUUUUUGUUUGGUUGAAUGUUUUAACCUAAAACCUAAUGAAAAUUGCAGCAUCGGUCCCUAGAACUUUUAAAACAAUUAAAAAAGGCCCGGGUGGUUCCUAGGUGCCGAAAUAGUGGCGCCUAGGCGCCACAGUUUCUGUUUCUGCUCGGCGCCCAGCUUGUUGAAAUUAAUUUUUUUUUUGAAAUCUUCUUUCGGCGGCGUCUUAGGUUGUUUUCUUCGUUUGCCUUCAUUUUUAACUCGUUUCUUGUAUAAAUUCCUUCAAUUCAUCGUUUAAUCUUGAGUUUUCACCUAAAAAUAAAAAUAAGAAAAUUAAGUAAUAAAUCGCUAAUAAAACUCGCAAAUAUUUAAGUAUAAUGGUCCGAAUAAGCGCAAUAAACUCGCAUUUAUCACACCCCCAAACUUAAAUCUUUGUUAGUCCUCGAACAAAGCAAUACAAACAAGCAUACAAACACACAAGUUAAAACCAAAUGAUAUAACUAUAAUAAUAACAAACACUCCAAUUGUUCAAUAUUUUGCCACUUUGCCACAAUUCUUACAUUAUGCAAAUAACUUAUGAAAUAUUUACAAAAAUGCUACAACAAACACUUUUAAACUUACACCAUGCUUGACUCGUGUGUGUGUCUGGUCAUUCCAAUUCAUCGCAAUGGAUAAGUUGGUAAUUUUCCCAACCCUCAAUGGUCAAACUUUCCUUUCUCACUCGUGGGAUGCACACUCCCCCAAACUUGAUAUUUUCACUCUAACCCAAGGUAUCAAAAACUUAAGGUUGCCCUCAAAUCACUCAAUCUUUCCCUCUCAAAUUUGGUUGGUUUGAACCGAAAAAAUAGACCAUCUAGUCAUGUAUUAAUUCACCAAAAAUUUUGAGUGCUUAGACCACAACUCAUGUUAGGAAAAUUACUCACAAUCCAUCAAUUCUUCCACAAAAUCACCCCUAGAUGCUUAUAGCAUCCCUUUUAUUUUUCUUCAUUUUUCCAAUGUAGGUAAUUCUCGCUCUGGUCCCUAAGGGUAGCCUUCUUCAUUCGUAGAUCGUCUCCUACACAUUAGUGAUGCAUAGGGCUAGAUUACUCAAUCCUGACUCACACUCCUUACGGUAGGCAACUUUUUCCUACAGAUUUUUUUUUUUGAAAUAUAAAACAACAUCUAACUUUCAUUUGAAGUCUAAGAACAUUCCACAAAAUCAAUCACUGAGUCAGGAAUUAAUACAAUUCUAAAUAAUUUCUUUCACCGGUUCAACCACUCCCAAACUUAUCCUUUCAUUGGUUUAGUAAUUGAAGAAUUUCUAAUAGCAUGGUCAUUUAAGUUCAUUAACAACCUACAAGUGGAACCAACAAGUGCAUGUGAUGAAUCUCAUGACCCAAGUGCUCAAUAAAGAGUCAAUCAUGGAAUAAGUGGAUGAAAAUAAACAGCACUUAGCAUUCAUGUUCCCAAUUCAUAAAUCAAUGCAAUGUAAUACUCAAAAUGCAAUUGGCAAAACUAUCAAACAACACAAAGAAGCAUAAAAAUAAGUGUUUAACUUGAAUUUUUAAGUUUUUAGUGAGAACAAAAUUAGCACAAACCACAAAAUUCCACAAAAAAUUUAGCACAUACCACCUCACCCCCAAACUUAAAUUGCACAUUGUCCUUAACGUAAAAGCAAAAAGAAAUAGAAAGUGCAAGAGGUUCAAAUACUCCCCUAGUGGUGUUGACGGUGAUGAUGGUUGGGGACCACUGACGACAAAAAUUCACAAAAACAAAAAUAAGUGUCCUCUUUCAUGCUUCUUCAAUUGGAUCCUCCAAUCGCAUUUUCUCCAUGUUUUGUGGUACGAAGGGUUCAAAAUAUAGCUUUAAUCAAUGCCUAUUCACCUUAAACUCUUUCUCAAUCCAAAGGUUUUUUAUUUAUACUACACCAUGAGGAAAGACAUUAGUAACAACAAAAGGGUCAAUCCAUCGAGAAUGUAAUUUACCUGGAAAUAACUUGAGGCGCAAAUGGAAAAAAAGAACUUUUUGUCCAACAACAAAAGCCUCUCUUGAAAUCAUUUUAUCAUGGUACGCCUUAGUUUUUUCCUUGUAAAUUCUUGAACUUUCAUAGGCGUCAUUUCGAAUUCCCUCAAGUUCAUUGAGUUGAAGCUUUCUUUGAUCACCCGCAGCAUCUAGGUUCAUGUUGCAUUGCUUCACUGCCCAAAAUGACUUGUGUUCGAGUUUAACCGGGAGAUGAAAAGGCUUACCAUAAACUAACCGAUAAGGGGACAUGCCAAUCGGUGUUUUGUAUGCCGUCCUAUAAGCCCAAAGUGCAUCAUUGAGGUAGAGAAUCUAAUCCUUUCUACUGGGAUUCAUAGUUUUUUCGAGGAUGGAUUUGACCUCUUGGUUAGACACUCCGACUUGCCCACUAGUUUGCGGAUGGUAAGGUGGGCGAUGUUGUAUCUUUUCAAUAGAGCCCAAAAGGAACGGUUGCAAAAAUGUAGUCCUCCAUCGUUAAUAAUAGCUCUUGGUGUUCCAAACCUUGCAAAAAUGUUGGAUUUAACAAAAUCUACAACCACUUUAGAAUCAUUAGUUCGAGUGGCCCUUUUUUCCACCCAUUUUAACACAUAAUCAAAGGCAAAAAUGAUGUAAAGGUUACCAUAAGAUAAAGGGAAAGGUCCCAUGAAGCCAAUACCCCAAACAUCAAAAAUUUCAACAAAAAAGUAUAGGUGUUUGUGACAUUUGAUUUCGGGUUCCCAAUGUACCUACCCUUUGACAUCGAUCACAAGAUUUGCAAAAGAGAAAUGCAUCUUUGAAUAAGGUGGGCCAAUAGAAUCCACUUUCAAGCACCUUGAGAGUAGUCAUUUUUGCUCCAAAAUGUCCACCACAUGCAUAGGAGUGACAAAAGGUAAGUAUUGACUGAAAUUCAUUUUCAUGCACGCACCUUCUUAUCAAUUGAUCCGGACAAUGUUUCCACAAGUACGGCUAAUCCCACGCAAAAUACUUGGCCAUAGCCUUGAGUUUUUACCUUUGAGCGGUGGUCAAGUCAUUUGGAAUUUUCUUAGUGACUAAAUAGUUCACUAUAUCCGCAAACCAAGGAGAUGUAUCCAUAACGAGAAGCAAUUGUUCAUUGGGGAAAAUGGGAGAGUUUCUCUCUCAUGGGUAAGGCGACUCAAGUGGUCGGCCACAGAAUUUUCACUCUCCUUUUUAUCUUUAAUCUCAAGGUCAAACUCUUGUAAGAGGAGUAUCUAUCUAAUGAGCCUUGGUUUUGCCUCUUUCUUGGCAAGCAAGUACCUAAGAGCUGCAUAAUCAGAAAAGACAGUUACUUUAGUGCCAAUAAGAUAUGAACGAAAUUUCUCUAAGGGAGAAAUAAUUGCUAAAAGCUCUUUUAUAGUUGUAGAAUAAUUGAGUUGGGCAUCAUUCAAAGUUCUUGAUGCAUAAUAUAUAACAUGAGGUAUCUUUCCAACUCAUUGCCCUAAAAUGGCUCCCAAUGCAAAGUUACUUGCAUCACACAUCAACUCGAAUGGCCUGUCCCAAUCUGGUGGUUGAAUGAUGGGUGCCGAAGUCAAAAGUUCCUUCAAGCUUUCGAAUGCCUUUUUACAAUCUUCAUCAAAGUGAAAUGGCACCUCCUUUUGCAACAGCCUGCAUAGUGUUCUUGCACGUUUGGAAAAAUCAUUGAUAAACCUUCGAUAAAAUCCUGCAUGUCCAAGAAAAGAACGAAUCUCCCUCACGCUUGUUGGAGGAAGUAAAGAACGAAUUAGAUCAAUUUUAGAUUUAUCAAUUUCUAUUGCCUUGGAAGAAAUGACAUGGCCUAACACUAUGCCUCGAUCAACCAUAAAAUGGCAUUUUUCCCAAUUAAGUACUAAGUUAGCAUCCAUACUCUCUUAAGCAUAAGUGUGAGAUUUUCCAGGCAACUAUCAAAGGUAUUACCAUAAACACUUAAAUCAUCCAUAAAGACCUCAAUGAUGCUUUCAAUAUAAUCGGAGAAUAUACUUAUCAUUCAUCUUUGAAAGGUUGCGGGAGCAUUGCAAAGGCCGAAGGGCAUGCGCCGGUAAGCAAAGGUGCCAAACGGGCAAGUGAAUGUUGUUUUCUCUUGGUCUUUCGGAGCAAUUACAAUUUGGUUAUAACCUGAAUAACCAUCAAGAAAAAAAUAAUGAGAAUGACCUGCUAACCUUUCCAACAUUUGAACAAUAAAGGGUAAAGGAAAGUGAUCUUUUCGAGUUGCACAAUUAAGUUUUCUAUAAUCAAUACAAACUCUCCAACCCGUUUGGACCUAAGUUGGUACAAGCUCAUUCUCUUCAUUUGUCACCACUGUGAUUCCGAAUUUUUUUGGAACAACUUAGAUCGGGCUUACCCACUUGCUAUUGGAGAUGGGAAAGAUGACACCAACGUCUAGCAAUUUCAAAAUUUCUUUCUUCACCACCCCCAUCAUGGGAGGAUUCAAACAAUGUUGUGUUUCUCUUGAUGGCUUUGCUCCAUCUUCGAGCAAUAUCUGGUGCAUGCACAUAGAAGGGCUUAUCCCCUUGAUAUCGGCUACUGUCCAACCAAUAGCUAUUUUGUGUUCCUUGAACACAUGGAUAUGCCUAUCUUCUUGAAGUGUUGUGAGAUUCUUUGCAAUGAUCACCGAUAGUGUUUCUCCCUCUCCGAAAUAUACAUACUUCAAAUACUCGGAAAGAGGUUUGAGUUCCAAAGUGGAGGCCUGCAUCAUCGAAGGUAAAAGUUUCUCUUUAGAUAUCGAAAGAGUAAUAUAGGAGAGAUUAUAACUUGGUGGAAUAUUUGGUAGUGACUCAAGUGAUGCCACGGUUUCAACAACAUCCUUUCACACUUAUAAAUUCUUGCUCAACCCGGUGAGAUUUUUAGCAUCAAUGCUUUUAAUCGAAGUGGUAACCAAUGCAUCUUCAUUUGAUAAUUCAAAAACUUUUUGUACUAAUGAAUCUAUUAUAUCAAUUGAAAAACAAGCAUGAACAUCACUAAGAUACCUCAUUGCUUCAAAGAUGUUGAAGCGAAUAAUCUCAUCAUCAAACUCCAUUGUCAAUGUACCAUCAUGCACAUCUAUCUUUGUACCGCAGUCCUCAUAAAUGGUCUUCCCAAGAGCAACGAUGGCGAUAAAGUUGUUGGUUCAUCUUGCAUGUCAAGAACGUAGAAAUCUGCUGGAAAAAUCAAUUGAUUUACCUACACCAAAACAUCCUCCAACACACCCUUUGGAAAUGCAUUAGAUCUAUCAGCAAGUUGAAUAAUAACACCGGUUUCUUUAAGUGAUCCUAGAUUUAAGGAACCAUAAAUAGAAUAUGUCAUGACAUUAAUAGAUGCUCCUAAAUCUAGCAUUUUCUUUUCAAACCUAGUGUUACCAAUAAUGCAAGGGAUGGUAAAACUUCCAGGGUCCUUACAUUUUGGUGGAAGUUUUUUUUGCAAGAUUGCUGAGACAUUUUCUCCUGCACUUACCACUUCAUUACCUUUCAAUCUAUGCUUGUUAGUACACAAAUCCUUGAGGAACUUUGCAUAACGAGGCACUUGAUAAAUUGCAUCCAAAAGUGGUAUGUUUACUUGAACCUUGUGAAAAGUCUCAAAUAUUUCUUUCUCAUGUUCAUCCUUUUUAGACUUUGCAAACCUGCCAGGAAAUGGAAGGGGGGGGGGGAACAUAAGUAGGAAUAGAACUUUUAGAUUCUAUCUUAGAUCCCGCAGUGGAGUCGUAGCUUCAUCUUUUUCACAUGCUAAAUUCUUCACUUGCAUUGACUCCUCAAUUUGAUCUUUCAUUUUCUUUGAUGCCUCUUCCAGAAUUUUUCCACUUCUUAGUGUCAAAGCACUAGCAUUUUCUCUCAAGUUGAUUGCUUGAGAAGGAAGUUUUCCCAAUCCUGAGCCUCCAAUUUACCCACCGUGUUGGUCAAUUGGCUCACUUGUGUCUCCAAAUUCUUGAUUGAGGUCUUUGUCUCUUAUUGAAAUUGUAUAGUACUAGAAGGCAAGGACUUAACCAUAUCCUCAAGAGAUAUCUCUGAACUUUGAGGCGGAGUUUGUUGAUGAGGUUGAGGGUGUUGUGGUUGCCUUUGUUGAUUGAACCCUAGGGGAUGAUUAAAUUGUGAUUGUGGAGUUAUGAAAUGAUUUCCUCCAUAACUGAGAUUAGGAUGAUCUCUAAAUCCAGGAUUGUAUGUGUUAGCAUAUAGAUCAUAUCUCCGUCUCUGUUGCAUUGGAAACCCCCUAAUGGCAUUCGCUUGCUCUGACGCUCCUUUUUGUAGUGUCGGGCAUUCCUCAGUAGGAUGUCCCACAAUAGAACAAAUCCCGCACACUUUUGCUUGUUGCAUUGUCCCAAGUGCCAUUUGCUGCACAAGCGAUGUAAGACCAGCUAAUUGUCGUUCAAUUUGAGAGGUUGCUCCUAGCUCACUUGCUUGUUUAACUGGUGCCACUUCUCUACUACCAAAUUGUUGUGAGUUGGCGGCCAUGUUAGCUAUCAAAUCCCUAGCAACCGUCGGUGUUUUAUCCAUUAAAGCUCCUCCACUAGCCGCAUCAAUCAUACUUCUUUUCAUCGAGAGCAAUCCUUCAUAGAAGUAUUGUAGAAGUAAUUGCUCACUGAUUUGGUGGUUUGGGCAACUAGCAAAUAGCCUUUUGAAUCUCUCCCAAUAUUCAUAGAGAUUUUUCCCUUGAGAUUACCGAAUGCUACAGAUUUCUUUUCUGAUGUUUGUAGCCUUUGAAACUGGGAAAUACCUCUCCAAGAAGAGCUUUUGCAUUUCAUUCCACAUGGUAAUAAAAUCGGUCAGCAAAUAAUAGAGUCAUUCCUUAGCAGUGUCUGCAAGAGAAAAAGAGAAUGCCCGCAAUUUCACUUGCUCUUCCGGUAUACCCACAGGUUUCAUACUUGAGCAAACCACAUGAAACUCCUUCAAAUGCUUAUUUGGAUCCUCUCUGGCGAAUCCAUGAAAUGAGGGAAGUAGAUGAAUCAUCCCAGACUUAAGUUAUCAUCUUGGACUUAAGUUCAAAUCCCACCUCCACUUGAGGAUAUUGAAUGCAUAGAGGUCGUUGAACAAAAGUUGGAGCUGCAAGUUCCUUUAAGGUCCGAUUUGCAUCCGCCAUUUCGGGCUCUAUGUAUUCGGAGUCACUUGAGGAUUCAAUGCUCAAUCGCCUUAGAUGUCUAGUCGAAGAAAUGUUUUCUCCACUUUUCGAUGUGUCAGCCUCUUUUCUUGAUCUUAGGUUGUAGUGUGUUAUAAGAUUUUUGCUCAUUCACAACCUAAAUGACAAAGCAAAAAAAAAAACAAAAAAAACAAAAAAUAGAAAAACUACAAAAAGAAAAAUAUUGCAAUUAACAAAUUGAUAAAACAAUUCCAGGCGACACGGUGCCAAAAUUGAUACGUUGCAUAUCACAUUCCGAUUAAUUUUCCUUACUUAACUUAAAUGUGUCGUUUUAAAUAGUAAUAUGGCAAGUAAGGGUCAUUUCCCGCAGAGGAUUGAUUCAAUUAUGUCAAGUGCACACUAAAAAGUAAAAUUAAUAAUAAUAGACGAAAUAGAUUAAAUGGUUGAACUAAGGAAAGCGUAAAUUUAAACUAGAAAAGACUUGAAAUCUGAAAUAAACAAAGUGGUUCUUGAUUGAAUGCGAGAAAAUGUGAUUGGGGGAUGUUUCGUCGCCACGAGAAUGAUUUUCAUGUCAAUUACAACAAUAGAUUUUUGUUCUCAAGAUUAACAACAAUUCGAGAAUAAUUACAAGCUCACUUACCACAAUCUCUUCUUACAUGUUAGUCAAAUAAAACAAACUCUUUACUCAACCCUAUUCAUUAAACAACCUAGAACAAGCUCUGUAGAUUUAAUUUAACAAACGUAUUGCGACAAAAGAGAUAAAUUGAAUUAAGGGUAAACUUGCAAGCUCUGUUUACAAACUUAAGUGUUAAUACACAUACAUUCAAUUGAAAAUUCUUCAUAAUCUAUCGAAAUGUAAUUGUUACUAGGUUUUAGAAUCAAUAGCUAUUACGUACUACUAAUUCCAUAAUAGCAUUAUCGAAACAACUUAACUAUUUAGUUGUACACCUAAACAAUCAAGAAGAACAAAAUAAAUAUUUAACACAAUGGAUUAAAUACAUUAAUCAAGAGAAUUAUAAAGCACAAAUUAAUUGAAAAUCAUAACUCGGGUUUGAAAUAAUCCCCAAUCACAAAAUAUAACUAGUUACCCAUGAAAUAUCCACAAAUAACUAACAAUUUCUUGCAAAACAUUCAUGGAAAAAGUGAAAAGAAAAACUUAUUGAUAAAGAGAGAAAUGGUUGAAAAUCCUUCAAUAUCAAUGGGUCAUCUUCUCCAAACUAAUGCACCAUCUCCAUAUUCCAAUCUUCCCCAAAAUAUCUUAGAAAAUAAAGGUGAAAGGAAAAAGGAAAAAGAAAGAAGACAAGAAGAAGAAGAAGAAGAACCAGCCGCCCCUCAAGUUGAAGAAAAAAAAAAUCUUGUGUUUGGUUCAAUGUUUUAACCUAAAACCUAAAGGAAAUUGCAGCAUUGGUCCCUAUAACUUUGAAAACAAUUAAAAACGGCUCGGGUAGGGCCCAGGCGUCGGAACAGUGGCGCCUGGGAGCCACAGUUUCUGUUUCUACUCGGGCUGGGCAUCGCGGCGCCGAGCUUGCUGAAAUUUAUUAUUAUUUUUUUGAAAUCUUCUUUCAACGGUGUCUUUGGUCGUCUUCUUCAUUUGCCUUCAUCUUUAGCUCGUUUCUUGCAUAAAUUCCUUCAAUUCGUCGUUUAAUCUCGAGUUUUUGCCUACAAAAUAAAAAUAAGAAAAUUAAGUAAUAAAUCGCUAAUAAAUUCGCAAAUAUCUAAGUUUAAUUGUCAAAAUAAGCGCAAUAAACCUGCAUUUAUCCAUUAUUAUUAUUUUUUUUAGAAUUUGAAACCAUUUUCAUCAUAAUAUUUGAAUUUUACAACUAAUCACGUAAUGAAUUUGUCUGUUAUUAAAUAAAAUUAAAUCUAAAUUUUAACAACAAAAUAUAAAUAAGGGGUUGUUUGAGCCCAAAUUUUCUCAAAAAAUGCAUUUUAAAAUAGUGUUAUGAUCGAGAACGCGUGGUUAAAAAAUAAGUAAAAGUUUUGGAUUUAUGUGUAAUAUUUAUUUUAUUGAAAAAUGUGUGGUUGAAAUAGUUUCAAAUCACUGUUAAAAAAUAUAUUUUAUUAAAAAAAUUGGGCUCAAACAAGGGCUAAAUCCAAAUUUAUUGUGAGCCAUAGAAGACGUUUUUCAGAGUUUUGUGACAAGAACUUGACCAUUCUUGCUAAGCUUUGAGGUGGUCGAAUUUUGUCUAUUGAACUUUGAGAUAAUUGAAUUUUGGUCACUAUCGAGUCUUUAAAUAGCGAUUUUUUUUUUUUGGAGAAUGUGUGAUUGAAAAAGUUAGAAAAAAUUUUGAAUUUACAUUUAAAAUAUUUUAUAGUAUAGAUGUAUGGUUAAAUACAAAUUUAUAGUGACCAAUAGAAGACUUUUUUCAAAGUUUGAUCUCACUGUACAUAAAUUAACAUCGAUAUGUUGUUUUAAAUGAGAAACACAGACUAAUGUUAUUUUGUAAUUAAUAGAUUACUCAUUAAUUAAUCAUAUGAUCUAUAGCUCGUUCCAGGAAUAUAUUCGAUUUAGACGGUUUUUAAUAUAUUUUUUAACCAAACCAUUUAUAAGAAUUUGACAUAUCUCAAACUUAAAUCGAACCAUUCCAUAACCCAAAACAAGCCGUUAUAAAAUCAUUAUUAUAUUAUUUUAAGUUCUUAAAGAGUAGCUCAAGAAUUUUUAAAUACAUUAAUUACAAGUCAAGGAAAUAAAGCAAUUAUAUAUCAAUGCCAAACAAAAUGUUUACGAAGUGUUCUAUUUAGUACAGGGCUACACUACCAUGAAAUAUAUAAUCACUUUCUACCAAUAUAAAGUUAAGAAUAAUGUUAUUUACCAUUGAUUAGCACUCAUUAGUGUGGAAGUUGGAUCAUUAUACUAUUUUAAAGCUAAAUAUCAACAAAGUCUCCAUAAAUGUCCUGUUUAUAUUUUAAAGCCAAAUCCCUACUAAAUAAUGUUGAAUUUAACAAUAAUCAUGUUAGGAAACAAGAAUCGCAUAAUAAUAAAAAUUCGUCACAACACAGCUUUACGUAAUAAUUUCACAAUCAAAUGGGAAGCCCACAUUAGAAUUAUUCGAACAAAUAAAAGUUCGUCAUAAUACGGCUUUACGUUCUUUAACAAGAUUUUAGCAUGAAUUAAUGAUCAAAAUGAUGGUUUCAUCAAAUUGAGGCUACUAGUAAGUAACUUGCUAAUUAGGCCAUAAUUGCUAUAUAUAGAUAAUUAGAUUAAUAUUUUAAUACUUUAUUACCUUAAUUGGAGGUUAACGUUGACCUCGAUAUUUGGACCCUCCACGUGGCCAACGGGUAGCUACUCCACGUAAUCCUCCUUGUGCACAACAAAGCACGGUCAUAAGCACACGACCGGAUCAGCGGUGGUGGCGGCGGCCGCAUACACUUCGACUGUCAAGUCAGCAUUGAGUGGUUGGAACACUGCUCUAGUUGUGUAAGAGAGUGGGGAGGAGAAUAUAUGUUUCAUAGUAUGGAGAGCUAAAUUAUGAGAGCUUUCAUUACCUUUGUCUCUUGCUAAACCUUGGAUAUUUAUAGGUGUAGAGUACCGUUGGAUGUGGGACACGUGUAUGCAUCUGACGGUGUAAGGCGUCUGCUCAUAGACGUCACUUAGCCGCGUCCAGCGUGGGUGGGCAAUUAGUUCUUCUGAGUUGAGUUGACAUAAAGUCGAUGUGUCAUGUCAACUAGAUCUAUGGAGACGUCACGUCAAGAUCCUGACAAAUAUCUUUCUAACAGUGACGAUGGAGGGAUCUAUUAAGGGAGUGCAUCGGGUCCUUCAAAGCUCCGUCAUCGAAUGACACUUUGGUUGCUUCAUUGGAUCGCGCGUCAUGUUGAGGUCGUUAGGAAUUGGCAUCGCUCCGGAACCACUCCGGGAGGAUGUGUGGAGUUUCAGAGAGUGAUGUGACUUUGUGUCGAAGUGGUUUUAGUGCCGAAGUGGAAGUGGCUUGGUUAGGUGCGUAACAGUGGUCACCCCAAGUUCAGGCUUGAAUAUUCAUAUCAUGGAUGGACUUGUUUUCUCGACUGUGUAUGCCGGCCUUGGUGUAAGUACUGUGAAUUCUAAUGAGGUACUGGCGUAAAAGGGUGAAGUGAGCAGAUGUGCCGAACACUUAUUGGUUGAGGCAAGUGAUAACUGAGGUGACGUGGGUGGGACAUCCUCUAGGUCGAUCAUUCGUUGUUUAGUGAUGAGCUUUUAGUGUUCUACUAAGUCGUAUGAGGUGAUUCCACUAGGAAAAUAUCACAUUCACCAUCGAUGUUCCGACCCAAAUAGGACGACGUGUUGGGGAAACGCACUUCGUAAAGCUUAAGGGAACGUGCGACCGAGCUGGUUACCCAUAAGAGACCACGCGUCAGUAGCACUGAAGCUUAUCAAACUGGGUAAAGAUCUCAUCUUCCAACUGUGCGCUGAUCCACAGGGGAUGAUGCGUUGGGAGAUGACUAAAAUCUGUGAAGCUAAGGAAACGUGUGAUCAAGGCGGUGACCGACCAGGGACUCCGCGUCAGUAGCGCAGAGUCUUGUAAAGUUAGGUGAAGAGCUCAUCUGCCAUCGGUACAAUGACCCAUAGGGGACGACGCGUUGGGAGAUGGCUAACGCCUUUCAAAGCUGAGGAGUCGUGCGACUAAGGCGGUGACCUGCAGGGGACUUCGCGUCAGUGGCGUCGAAGCUUUUAAAGCUAAGAGUGCAUUCAUCUGAGGUGAAUAGGGAUGGAUUAUCUCUGAUCUGAAGUGCCUUAUUAUGAUAUUAAUCGAUGUGACAGCUGUCGCAUAUUUCCAAGGCAACAGUUGGAUGUGAUGCCCGUCCCCAGAAAAAGGGCUGCUAUGACCGCUUAUUGCUGACGAGUGUUGCUUGUCCGAGGCGACGCAUUUUAUGCAUGUGUGAGGGGCAUCGUAAGAUCUUGGACGUUGAUCAAAUAUGGCGAUUCAUUUCAACAAUCCAGAUUUGUGGCAAGAUGAACGGUCUAGAUGGACAUCAUUUGAAUUCAACGGUGGGGAUCAUUUGGGGUUUCCUAUAAAAAGGGGACUUAGUGCCAUUCAAAGGUUUUUACCUUUGCAAACUCAGAAUCUGUAUUGCUCUUAGAUUUGUUGGCGAUUUUCGGUGAUAUUCUCAAUUUUCGGCGAGUACACAGGGCCAUCCGUUAUUGUCUGACCUUAGAAAACACCAACCCAUUCAUUUCAGUAAUUAUUUUUCUAGUUUUUCGCGUUAUUUUUGAAUUCUAAAAAUGGCUUCUGAGAGUAGUAACGCUUUGGAAAGGGAACUGGGCAUAGUUCGAGUGGAUGAGCCUAUAUUGGCGACGUCCGGUGAGGUGGAUGAGGCCACAAUAAGGGGGAAGAACAUCUAGCGGAGGCCUGAUAGCCCAGUAGAUAUGUUAAAACAUUGGGGGGGCUUCUGACUACCCAUCGAAGUUAAGAGAGGUCGACCUGGAUAGACUUAGAGCAGAGUAUAGGAUCCCUGAUAGCGUAGACCUGAUAUUGUCGGAGCCUGAUGAGCGAGCCUGUUGCCCUAGGCUGGGGUGUGUAGCUGUGAGCGAAGCGCUCUUUAGGGCUAAACGUAGGUUGUCGAUCCACCCUUUCAUUCGCUAUGUCUUGAGGACCUAUGGCUUGGCCCCGACCCAAUUGAACCCCAAUUCUUGGAGCCAAAUUGUGGGGUCAUGGAUGUUAUGGAAGGAGGCGUCGUUUAGAGUAGAGAUGCAAUUCUCAGUAUUUCAAACUUUGUAUAUUCCUAAGGUAGCGGCUGGGGGUGGUAAGACCAGGGGGUGGCACUAUCUGACUUCAUGGGGUUCCCACACUCCAUUUGUGCUCGAUCUGUCGAGCUCCAUCAAGGAAUGGAAGAGCUCAUGGUGCUGGGCCCCAGGGAGAUGGGAUACAAUGAAGGGGGACCCCCUGGCGCCUCUUACAAUCCCUACAAAGUAUUCUACACUUAGUGAGUAUUCAGCUUUGUGACUUUUUGUGUCUCUCAUUAGCUUAAAAAUUAACUAUUUGUUAUUCUUGCAGAUACUCUUCCUCGGUGCGAGCUUUCUGCCGAGGAGUUCGACAUAAUCUGUAUCAUUUAUCAGCUACCGUUGAAGAGGAGGUCUUAUAACGAGCUCAUCGGGAAGAACAUUUACUUUAUUAUACACGAACUGAUGGCCUCCCAAGGUAACUAUCUGGAGUGCAUCUAUUGUAAUUUGUUUCCGAACUCAUUGUACUUGUGCUAAUCCAUUUUGUUUUACUGUAGACAAUUUUAAUAAGAAGAGGUCAGAAAGGCCCGACUUUAAAACUAUCCAGCGGAUGAUGGCCAAGGCAACGGCCCUGAAGACCUCCUCUUCUGCUUAUAAGAAGCAAACAGCGGACCUAGUGGCUGCGAGCAAGUAGCAGAGGAGGAGGAUCCAAAGACAGCUCUCCAAAGAAAGGGGAAGAGGGCUGCCAGUUCAUCGAAGGGGCCCAUAGUGGCGAGGGCUACCCCGUUCCUUCGCCAAACAACAAUCCCCACCGCGGUAGCUAUAAAGGAGAGGACGGUGGCCCCUGUUGCCACUGCUACUGCUACUGCACUGACCGCCCCCUGUUGUUGCCAUUUCAGUCACACAAGUGCCGAGAUAGCAGAGGAGGAAGAGGGCUCGCCCAAAGAAGAAGGUAGACUUCCUGGGCACCAAUAAAGAGGAGCCGGUGAGGAAAAGUGUUAGAGGCCUUGCCUCCAAAGACGGCGGCCGUUGUCUUGGUCUAUAACAAGUAUUGGACUGAGGAGUGGAAAGACCACACGACCUCUUGCACUGCCGAAGACCUGGUGGCUGCCAAUAGUGCUUGCAUCGCCCGGGCUCUGAGCACGCGCGUUCAACUUUAGAGCUUGGUCAAGGACCUCGACGCCAGGAGGGAGGAUCUGGCUAAGCGCCUGGAGGAGGCGCUGCACUGUAGGGAUGCGGUGCGAGCUGCCCAGGCAAAGGCGGAGGAGGCGAGGCAAAAAGCGGAGAGCCGGCUGGUGAGGUCCAAUGCAGAGGUAGAAAGACUAAAGAAAGAACUAUAUGAAGUGGAGUGCAAGGUGGCUGCUGUGUCGAGGAGGGUUGAUCAUGCUAAUGAGCACUGCUAGCUCGCCACUGAGGCUCUAGAGGCCUCUAACAAAGAGAAGGCCGAGCUGAGGCAAUGGGCGGAGGCCCAGGCCGAGGAGAUCGAAUCUCUGAAGGUCGAGGUGAAGAUGACAGAGGAAUUACAGUGCAGAACUUCAUCGAUCACUUUGAAGAGCAUCUACUGUACGAAGACUUUGCCAACUUCUGGGCCUUGUGGAACGCCAGGCAAUGUUGGAUCGCCUAAGGGAGGUCCAACCUACUCUGGACUUAACUUCUUUGGAAGCAGAGUUCGGUGGGCCUAUCGAAGGUCGAUCUGACAGGAUCGUCGAGGAAGCUACUGAAGCCCUUCCAGAGGCCGGGACCGAAGCCCCUCUAGUAGAAUAGGAAAACAUUAUAAUGGCUUUGGCCCUCAUUUUGUCAUUUGUUUUGAUAUCAAUGAAAUCAAUGUUUUCCCAAGUGUUGUUGCUUCUUCUUACUUUGCUUUUACGUCGAACUAUUUCUAUCUUGAUGAGUAAUGGACAAAUAAAUAUUAAGCAUCACUUACCCAGAGUAACCAAUUGAUGACAAAGAUUGACACCCAAAAUCCACUGAAAAAUUGAGGUACCAAUUGAUUAACCCAUAUAACAGAAUGGAUGAUUGAGUCGUUACAACAUUAUAUUUUACUAUGGCAAUUCUAGCACUUAGCAAGAUAGGAACAUUACAAUAGACUGAAUAAAAUGGAGAUCGGAUUAGAACAUACACUUAUCACUGAUAGUAUUUUCUCAAGUGUUCUAUGUUCCACCGAUGAGGCAAUGCCUUCCCUGCCAUGUCUUCUAUUUCAUAAGUACCGGGUUAGGACUCUUUGCGGAUGCAAUAAGGUCCUUCCCAGUUCGGUCCAAACACUCUAGACCUAGUCGACUUUGAUGAUUGGAAGACCCUUCUGAGGGUGAGGUCUCCCAGACGGAGAGUUUGGUUCCGGACCUUAGAGUUGUAAUAACGAGUCAUCUUUCUUUGAUACUUUGCCAAUUUUAUUUGAGAGGAAUCGCUCCUUUCUUCAAGGAGGUAAAGCUUGUGCACUCGAGCUUCAUCAUUGUCGAUCUCAUUGAAAUGUAUCCGACGAUGGGAGGGGACACCCACCUCGAUAGGACUCAUGGCUUUGAAUCCGUAGGUCAUGGAGAAGGGUGUCUCACCUGUUGCAGUUCCACUGGUUGUUCGAAUGGCCCAAAGGACAUGGGAAGUUCAUCGACCCAUGCCCCUUUUGAGGUGUCAAGCUUCCUUUUCAGGGUAUGCUUGAUAGUUUUAUUUACUGCCUCAACCUGUCCAUUUGCUUGGGGGUGAUGAGGUGUUGAGAAGUCCUUCCUUAUGUUGAGUUCGUCACACAAGUCUCGCAUCUUUUUGCUGUGGAACUGCUUGCUGUUAUCAGACACUAGAGAGUGAGGAAUGUUGAACCUGCAAAUGAUAUUUUUCCAGACGAAUUUUGUGGUGUUCGCUUCAGUGAUUUUUGCUAGAGGUUCAGCUUCCACCCACUUGGUGAAGUUGUUAAUGGCAACAAUGGCAAAAGUAGCGCUUCCUCUUCCUUUUGGUAGCGGGCCAAUGAAGUCUAUGCCCCACUUGGCGAACGGCCACAAACUGGUGACCACAGAGAGGUUUUGAGAAUGCUGCCUUUGAAUGAUUGAAAAACAUUGGCACUUGUCACAUUUGUUAACAAACUGCCAAGAGUCCAUUUUCAGGGUCAACCAGAAGUGGCCUUGUCGAAGAACUUUGUGUGCCAGAGUUGUUCCUCCGGAGUGGUUACCGCAGAUUCCCUCAUAGAUCUCCUUGAGUAUGUACAUGGCUUCUUCCCCUCCCAGGCAUCGAAGAAGUGGCGAGACGAAGCCCCUUUUGUAGAGCACAUCGUCCUGGAGAACAAAGUGAGCAGCCCUUCUUCUCAAUUUCUUCGCCUCGCUUUUUGAGGCUGGCAUCGAUUGAUCUUUGAGGUAGGCUACGAUGGGUUACAUCCAAAGUAGGGUGCCUUCAAUUCAUAGUACCUCUUCGCCUUCAAAGAUGGAAGGCUUCGGCAGGCGCUCAAUUGGGACAAUUUUUAGCAACUUCGAGUCCAUGCUGCUGGCCAACUUGGACAGGGCGUCGACGUGUGUAUUUUUGAGACAUGAGACUUGAACCAGUUUGAAUCUCUUAAAGUGAGGGACCAGGUUCAUAACCAAUUUCAGAUAUGUAGCCAUGUAGGUCUUUGGCUGCAAACUUUUCGUUGACCUAACUUACCACAAACUGCGAGUCGCUACUUGCUAGGAGCCUUUUCAGUUGCAUUUCUUUCGCUAGUCUAUGGCCCGCUAGGAGGGCCUCAUAUUCUACAGUGUUGUUCGAGGCUUUGAAGCUGAACCUGACUGUGCAGUUUAGUUUAUGGCCCUCUAGACUUUCCAAAACAACUCCUACUCCGGAACUAGUCUUUCCUGAUGAUCCAUCCACAAAUAAGCUCCAUGUUGGGGGCUCUGCUGGUUCCAUUGUCACUUCCAUUUCUAGGGCUUUGGAAAACUCUGUCACAAAAUCUGCGAGGGCUUGACCCUUGAUGGCGCUUCGGGAUCGAAAAAGUAGGUUGAACUCGCUGAACUAGAUUGCCCAUUUUAGCAAACGGCUCGAAGCGUCUAUUCUUUGCAAUACUUGUUUCAAGGAAAAGUUGGUGAGAACUUCAGUUGAAUGGGCCUGGAAGUAUGGCCUCAGUUUCCUCGAUGCUGUAACUAGGGAGAGUGCAAGUUUCUCCAUAUCUGGGUAGCGCACCACUGUUGGGAGUAGUGCCUUGCUAAUAUAAUACACCGGUAGUUGAUACAUGUUUUUCUCUCUGACAAGGACUGCACUGAUAGCCUCAUCUGAUACUGCCAAGUACAGCAGCAGUGGCUCUUGUGGUUGAGGCUUGGAUAGUAGGGGUGCCUCUCCCAGGUACUUCUUCAACGCCUGGAAGGCUUCCUCGCACUCGCUUGUCCAUUGAAAUUUCUUUCUAUGCUUCAAGACUUUGAAGAGGGGUAGGCUCUUGUUAGUGGCCUUGGAAAUGAAGCGACUGAGUGUAGCUAUUCGGGCAUUGAGGCUUUGUACUUCCUUUGGCUUAUGAGGUGACCUCAUUUCCAGUAGGGCCCUUAUCUUUUUCAGAUUCACCUCGAUUCCUCUUUGGUUCACAUUAUAUCCUAGAAACUGACCCGAAGCUACCCCAAAGAUGCACUUGAGGGGGUUCAAUUUCAUUUUAUACUUUCUAAGAAUCUGAAAGGUCCGAUCGACGUGACUUACGCGUUCUUCCGCCUGGAGGCUUUUAACUAGCAUGUCAUCUACUUAGACUUCCAUAGUUUUACCAACGAGUUUGAUAAGCAUCAUGUUGACCAGCCUCUGAUAUGUGGCUCCGGCAUUUUUCAAUCCGAAGGGCAUCACCUUAUAGCAAUACAAUCCUCUGUCUGUGAUGAACGAUGCGGAUUCCUCAUUAGGUAGGAACAAAGGUAUUUGGUUGUACCUGAGUAUGCAUCCAUGAAGUUCAAGAGCUCAUGCCCAACAGUGGAGUCUACCAGUUGGUCUAUCCUUGGGAGAGGGAAGUUGUCCUUAGGACAUGCCUUGUUCAGAUUUGUGAAGUCUACACAUACCCUCCAUUUCUCACUGGAUUUCUUUAUGAGAACCAGGUUGGAUGUCCACUUCGAGUAGAUAGAUUCCCUAAUGAAGCCGCUGCAGCUGACUUUAUCGAUUUAUUCUUUGAGCGCCUCAUAUCGCUAUGAGUUGAGGGGUCGUCUUUUGUGCCAAUGUGGGGGCGCAAGAGGAGUUGAUGUUAAGGUGGUGACAACUGAUCCUUGGGUCUAUUCUACAAUAUCUUCAUACUUCCAGGCGAAGACAUCCAGGUUCCUUUUCAGGAAGUUCAUCAUUUCUUCUAUCAUCCCGGGGGAUUGUGCUUUCCCUACCCGCAAGAACUGAGUGGGGUCUUCAGGGUUGACAGGGAAAGUUUCCAGCUCUUCCACUGAAGUCGCAUUCGGUUCAGACUCGAUAAUUUGGGGGGUCCAACUCAUCAAGAGGGUGCCCUUCGUCAGAGGCCUCCAUCAUGUCGACGUCUUCCUCCUAUUUGGAGGUGUACUCUUGUUCAGGGGCAUCGAGCAUUUCAAUGUCCAUGUCGGCUUCGUUGUCGGCCUUUGUUAUAAUGACAUUAAUAGUACAGGGCUUGAAUUUUCGUAGAGAAUUGAAGUAACAUGCCCUUGAGCCCAUUUGGUUGCCUCGCACAGUGGCAGUUCCAUGCUCAGUUGGGAACUUCAUACACAAAUAAUGGAUGGAGGUGACCGCCCAAAGAUCUUUCAAUGCGGGUCGGCCCAAUACUCCAUAAUAAAUUGACCUGUGGUCCACCACCAGGAAUUCCAUGAAGUGGUGGGCCACUAUGGGGCUGACCCCAUCUCGAUAGAUAGAGUACUUCGCCCUCGUGGGACGAUGCUGUCGCCAGUAAAUCCAAAUAGCGGGUCGAUCAUGAGGAUCAACCCAUGUUUAAUUUGCAUUUUAUCAAAGGUGGAUCUGAAUAGUAUAUUCACCGAGCUACCAUUGUCGACGAGCAUGCGUUUGAGUCCGUUUCUAGCCAUUACGGCUCUUACCACUUACGCAUCACAAUGGGGGUGGUGAACUCCUUGUGCAUCUUCUUGAGAGAAAGUGAUCGGGGCCAUCCCGUUGGCCUCUUGGGUCUGGUUGACGGUGUAAGUAAUCAUGGGUGGAUCCUUCGCUUCCCUUGUGUAAUUCCUCUAGGCAUUCCUAAUGUUGCCCCCGAUAUGAGGUCCUCCAAUGAUUGUAUCAAUUUUCCUGAUAACUUGGCCUCCAGAUGGGACUUGGUCCUUAUACCUGGAUUCUCCUCUGUCUCUGGAUUCUCUCCUCCGGGGUGACUGGUCUCUAUAUGGCCUCUCUCCCCUAUUCGAGGAGGUGGCCUUGUAGGUGUAUUCACCUCUUCUCAAGGAGUGUGGAUUACUCCGAUUCGAUGAUCGAGGAGCAUCCCUACAUUCGCUGGUGUCGUGUCCAUAAAGUUGGUGAAAGGUGCAGAACCUCGUCCCUUUCAGGGGCUGUUGGAUCGCUUCUUCUUCUUUCGAUUGUUUGUUCUUCCGGAUGGUCCUGCUUCAGCAGGAGCAUUUUUGUAUGCUAGCAGUGGCACUGUAUUUAGCGUGGUGAAAGUCAACGCUUGUCCGGAUGUAGGAGCUAUUGUGUGUACUGCUUGGGUCCAUUGCUAGGUGAUGUGGUGGGCUGCUGGUCCUCGACUUACCUGCCUCUGAGGCGGAAGGAGUCCCUGUGCUGCACGAUUUCUGUGGUCAAUCAUCUCUUCAUUGACGAUCUCAACCCUCAUCAUUUUUACCAGUUCGUCAUAGGUGGUGGGAUUUUUACUGCGUACAUCCCUCCAGAACGGUGUGUUCAUGUUGAGGCCACCCUUCAAGGCUGAAAGGGCCUCCCUAUCAGUGACUUGCUCGCAGUACGUGAUUUCAUCGAUGAAUAUGGCGAGAUAGCUUUUCAGCCUCUCGUCAGGAGCUUGCCUCAUAUCUUGUAGGCGGUGUACUGGGGCCUUCCCUUUCCUUCGUGAGAGGUAUUGGUUCAGAAAUUUCUUCUUCAAGUCCUACCAGCUUCUGAUGCUCAAGGGUGGUAUUCUACUGUACCACACUUCCGCAGCUCUAGUGAGGGUUAGAUGGAAGGCUCUACAUUUCAGUGCUGUCAAGGCUCAUCUGCGUCAUGUAUUUAGUAAGAUGUUUCUGUGGGCCCCCAUUUCCUUCAUACUUUAGGAUUUCAGGGGGCAUGAAGUUUGCAAACAUUGGGAAGCUUCGAAUUUCUCUAGAGAAGGGGAGGUUGUCAUCAUCGUCAUCAAUUUCGUAGGAGCGGCAUGUCCCUUCAGAGCCUUCCUCUUCUGAUGCAUUUUGAGGAGGUGGGGGUGCCUCUUCCUGAUUACUCCAAUCCACUAGGCUUCUCCUCUUGCGUUUAUUUCUAGGCAGAGGAGGUACUUGUCCUUGUUCCUACUCUUGUUGAACUGAUCUUUGCAUGGAGCGAACCCUAUUGCUAAGGUUCUUUCCUAUUCUGUCGAAGACACCAACAGAACUUUGGGGCUCGUAUUCUGGUGGAAAGUUCUCUCCUAGUGGUGGUUAUGUCGAUUGGCUCCCCCGUACGUAGGAUGUGACAUCAAUACCCAUUUCUCUUUCAAUGGGAUGUUCCUGGUGCUGGCUCGAAUGACCUUGGCCAUGAGGCGUAGGAAUUUCUUGGGCUGGAUAUGGUUCUUGAUGCAUCUGGAAGCCCUCAUGACCUCGGGCCUGCAUGAAGAAUUCACGCAUCACCCCGUUCUGAGCAGCAAUAUCCCUCAUUCCAACAGCUAUUUGGGUCAUUCCUUCACUGAGCGCUGCUAUCCUAUUGCCUUGGUGACGCCGGUGAUGGGGUCUCCGAUGUGUGACAUUGGUCCUGAUUACCUCUUCUUCAGAGGCAUCCCUGUGCCCUUCAAAAUUUGCAUCUUCAUUAUUAUAACUCAUCUUGUCCACUCCUUUUUCAAGGGUGUUUAGAGAUGGGAUCGUAGAUUGACUGUUCUUUUCUGAAGAAUGUGCCCUUUUCAGGGUAAGUCAAUGGCUUGUCGGUGGCUUUUUUCGGUGGAAAAUGUGGCAAUUUUGGACAGAAAGUUUCCCACAGAUGGCGCCAAUUUGUUGACUCAAUAUUUGGACCCUCAACGUGGCCAACGGGUAGUUACUCCACGUAAUCCUUCCUAUGCACAAUAACGUAUGGUCAGAAGCACACGAUCGGGACCAGCGGUGGUGGUGGCGACAGCAUACACUCUGACGGUCAAGUCAGCGUUGGGUGGUUGGAACAGUGCUCUAGUGGUGCAAGAAAGUUGGGAGGAGAAUAUAUGUUUCUUAGUAUGGAGAGCUAAAUUAUAAGAGCUUUAAUUACCUUUGUCUCUUGUUAAACCUUGAAUAUUUAUAGGUGUAGAUCACCAUUGGACGUGGGACACAGGUAUGCAUCUGACGAUGUGAGGCAUCUGCUCAUAGGCGUCACUCAGCCGCAUCUAGCAUGGGCGGGAAAUUAGUUCUUCUGAGUUAAAUUGACAUAAAGUCGAUGUGUCAUGUCAACUAGAUAUAUGGAGACGUCACGUUAAGAUCCCAACAGAUAUCUUUCUAACAGUGGCGACGGAGGGAUCUAUUGAGGGAGUGCCUCAGGUCCUUCAACGUUUCGGCGUUGAAGGACACUCCGGUUGCUUCAUUGGAUCUAUUCACCUUGUAGCACGUCAUGUUGAGGUCGUCAGGAAUUGGCAUUGCUUUGGAACCACUUCGGGUGGACGCGUGGAGCUUCGGAGAGUGAUGUGACUUUGUGUCGAAGUGGUUUUAGUGCUGAAGUGGAAGUGACUUGGCUAGGUGCGUAACAGUCAAUAUGUUGACCUUGAUAUUUGGACCCUCCAUGUGGCCAACGAGUAGCUACUCCACGUAAUCCUCCCUGCGCACAACAACGCACGGUCAGAAGCACACGGUCGGGACCAGCGGUGGUGGUGGCGGCCACAUACACUUCGAUGGUCAAGUCAGCGUUGGGUGAUCAGAACAGUGCUCUAGUGGUGCAAGAGAGUGGGGAGGAGAAUAUAUGUUUCAUAGUAUGGAGAGCUAAAGUAUAAGAGCUUUCAUUACCUUUGUCUCUUGCUAAACCUUGGAUAUUUAUAGGUAUAGAGCACCGUUGGAUGUGGGACACGUGUAUGCAUUUGACGGUGUUAGGCGUCUGCUCAUAGGCGUUACUCAGCCGCGUCUAGCGUGGGUGGGCAAUUAGUUCUUCUUAGUUGAGUUGACAUAAAGUAUAUGUGUCAUGUCAACUAGAUCUAUGGAGACGUCAUGUCAAGAUCCAGACAAAUAUGCUGCCUUCACCUCGACCUUCAGAGAUUCGAUCUCCUCGGCCUGGGCCUCCACCAGUUGCCUCAACUCCACCUUCUCUUUGUUGGAGGCCUCUAGAGCCUCAGUGGCGAGCCGGAAACCCUCCUCAACAUAGCAGCCACAUGGCACUCCACUUCAUAUAUCUCUUUCUUCAGUCUCUCUACCUCUGCAUUAGACCUCACCAAUAGGCCCUUUGCUUCUUACCUCGCCUCCUCCACCUCCGAGGCCUUUGCCUAGGCGGCUCACACCACAUCCCCGUAGUGCAGCGCCUCCUCCAGGGGCUUAACCAGAUCCUCCCUCUUGGCGUCGAGGUCCUUAACCAAGCUCUGAAGUUGAACGCUCGUGCUCAGAGCCCGGGCGAUGCAAGCACUGUUGGCAGCCACCAGGUCUUCGAUAGUGUAGAAGGCUGUGUGGUCUUUCCACUCCUCAGUCCAAUACUUGUUAUGGACCAAGGCAACGGCCACCAUCUCCGAAGGCAAGUCCUCUAACACUUUCCUCACCGGCUCCUCUUUAUUGGUGCCCAAGAAGUCCACAUCUUUCUCCGGGCGAGCCCUCUUUCUCCUCUGCUGUCCCGGCAUUUGUGUGACUGGAAUGGUAGAAAUCGGGGGGCGAUUGGCGCAGCAGCAGGGGCCACUGUCCUCUCUUUUAUAGUCACUCUGGUGGGGAUUGUUGUUUGAAGAAGGAUCGAGACAGCCCUUGCCACUGUUGGCCCCUUCGAUGAACUGGCAACCCUCUUCCCCUUUCUUUGGAGAGCUGCCUCUGGAUCCUCCUCCUCUUCCUCUGCUACAGGCUGGAGCUACUUGUUUGCAACCACUAGGCCCUCCAUUUGCUUCUUAUAAGCAGAGGAGGAGGUCUUCAGGCCCUUACCUCGGCCAUCAUCUGUUGGAUAGUUUUAAAGUCGGGCCUCACCGACCUCUUCUUGUUAAAAUCGUCUACAGUAAAACAAAAUGGAUUAGCACAAGUACAAUGAGUUCGGAAACAAAUUAUAAAAGAUGCACUCCAGAUAGUUACCUUGGGAGGCCAUCAAUUUGUACGUAACAAAGUGAACGUUCUUCCUGAUGAGCUUGUUAUAAGACCUCCUCUUCAGCAAAAGCUGAUAGACGAUACAAUUUAUUUUGAACUCCUCGGAAGAAAGCUCGCACCGAGGAAGAGUAUCUACAAGAAUAACAAAUAGUUAAUUUCCGAGCUGAUGAGAAACACAAAAAGUCACAAAGCUCAAUACUCAUUAAGUGUAGAAUACUUUGUGGGGACUAUAAGAGGCGCCAAGGGGUCCCCCUCCAUUGUAUCCCAUCUCCCUAAAGCCCAGCACCAUGAGCUCUUCCAUUCGUUGAUGGAGCUCGACAGAUCGAGCACAAAUGGAGUGUGGGAACCCCAUGAAGUCAGAUAGUACCACCCCCUAGUCUUAUCACCCCCCGCCGCUACCUUGGGGAUAUAUAAAGUUUGAAACACUGAGAAUGACAUCUCUAAUCCGAACGACGCCUCCUUCCAUAACAUCCAUGACCCCACCAUUUGGCUCCAAGAAUUUGGGUUCAAUUAGGUCGGGGCCAAGUCAUGGGUCCUCAAGAAAUAGCAAAAGAAAGGGUGGAUUGGAAACGUAAGUCCAGCCCUAAAGAGCGCUUCACUCACAGCUGUACACCCCGACCUAGGGUAACAGGCUCGCUCAUCAGGCUCUGACAAUAUUAAGUCUAUGCUAUCAGGGAUCCUAUACUCUGCUCUAAGUCUACCCAGGUCGACCUCUCUUAACUUCGAUGGGCAGUCAGAAGCCCCCCAAUGUUCUAACAUAUCUACUGGGCUAUCAGGCCUCCGCCAGAUGUUCUUCUCCCUUAUUAUGGCCUUAGCCACCUCACCGGACGUCGCCAAUAUAGGCUCAUCCACCCGAACUACGUCCAGUUCCCUUUUCGAAGCAUUACUACUCUCAGAAGCUAUUCUUAGAUUUCAAAAAUAACGCGAAGAAUAAGAAAAAUACUUACUGAAAUGAAUGGGUUGGGGUUUUCUAUGGUCGAAAAAUAACAGAUGGCUGUCUGUACUUGUCGAAAACUGAGAAUAUCAUCGAAAACGCUCGAAGCUCGCCGAAAAUCGCCAACAAAUCUGAAAGCAAUAUGGAUUCUGAGUUUACAAAGGUGAAAACGUUCGAAUGGCACUAAGUCCCCUUUUUUAUAGGAAACCCCAGAUGAUCUCCACCGUUGAAUUCAAACGAUGUCCAUCUAGACCGUUCAUCUUGUCACAAAUCUGGAUCGUUGAAAUGAAACGCCAGAUUUGAUCAACAUCCAAGAUCUUAAGGUGCCCCUCACGUACGCAUAAAACGCGUUACCUCGGACAAGCAACAACCGUCAGCAACAAGUGGCCACAGCAGCCCUUUUUCUGGGGACGGGCAUCGCAUCCAACUCUCGCCUUGGAAAUACGCGACAGCUGUCACAUCAAUUAACGUCAUAAUAAGGCACUUCAGAUCAAAGAUAAUCUGUCCCAAUUCACCUCGGAUGAAUGCACUCCCCAGCUUUAAAAGUUUUGGUGCCAUUGAUAUGGAGUCCCCUACGGGUCAUAGCCUUGGUCGCACAACUCCUCAGCUUUGAAUGGCGUUAGCUAUCUCCGAACUCGUUGUCUCUUGUGGGUUAGCGUACUGGUGGCAGAUGAGCUCUUUACCUAGCUUUACAAGCCUCGGCGCCACUGACGUGGAGUCCCCUGUCGGUCACCGCCUCGAUCGAACGUUUCCUCAGCUUCACAAGGCUUUAACCAUCUCCCAACACGUCGUCCCUGUGGGUCAGCGCAUGGUUGAAAGAUGAUCUCUUCACCCAGCUUUAUAAGCUUCGGUGCCACUGACGCUGGGUCCCCUGUGGGUCACCUCCUCAAUCGCACGUUCCCUCAAGCUUUACGAAGCGCCUUCCCCCAACGUGUCGUCCCAUUUGGGUCGGAACAUCGAUGGCGAAAGUGCUAUUCCCCUAGUGAAAUCACCUCAUACGACUCAGCAGAACACUGAAAGCUCAUAACUAAACAACAAAUGAUCGACCCAGAGGACGCCCCGCCCACAUCACCUCGGUUAUCACUCACCUCAACCAACAGGUGUUCGGCACAUCUGCUCACUUCACCCUUUUACGCUAGCACCUCAUCAGAAUCCACAAUACUUACUCCAAGGCCGACAUACACAGUCGGGAAAACAAGUCCACACAUGAUAUGAAUAUUGAUGCCUGAACUUGGGGGGACCACUGUUACGCACCUAACCAAGCCACUUUCACUUCGGCACUAAAACGACUUCGACACAAAGUCACAUCACUCUCCGAAGCUCCAUGCGUCCACCCGAAGUGGUUCUGGAGCGAUGCCAAUUCCUAACGACCUCAACAUGACGUGCUGUAAGGUGAAUAGAUCCAAUGAAGCAACCGGAGUGUAUGUGAUCGCCACCACCACCGCUGGUCCCGGCCGUGAGCUUCUGACUGUUCGUUGUUGUGCGUAGGGAGGAUUACAUAGAGUAGCUACCCGUUGGCCACGUGAAGGGUCCAAAUAUCGAGGUCAACAGUUAACAUUGUUAUUUGAAAGUAUGGCCCAUGUCCAAUUCAAUCGAACCAAUUCUUGAUUUGAGUUUGCAAAUUUUAUUUUUUUAUUUUAUUUUUCUAAUUUUUAGACGAUUUGAUUUGGUUUCAAUCCGUAGUUAAAAUAUCGAAAUUUAAACUAAACUAUUUUAUUGUUAACAUGUCCUAUGACACCAAAUUGAUAAUUUAAAAAGACAAUUCCAAGUUGACGAUUUUUCCUUAGAGCCCUACUUCGUAAAAUGUAAUUAAAAUGGCUGAUACCUUAACAAUCAGUUUUUAGGCCAUAAAAACUACAACUGACCUUAACACGAUGCAAAUUUAUGACCAAGUCUGUCAAGGGUGUCUGUUAUAUGGGCCUGGCUCACCUAGCUUAGAGGCCCAAUAUGGGAGCACACAAGAGAGGGGGUGUCAAGAUCGACAAAGAGUUACAUUGUAAAAUGAAUAAUGCUAUUUAAUACCAAAAUUUCAAUUAAAUGAGUUAUGUGACUUUACAUUUAAAUGAAUAUAUCAUUUAAUGUCAUGUAAUUGUCACCUAAGCCAUACCAGAAAAUAAUUGUUUUAUAAACACCGACUCAUCUUUGGUCGUUACCAAAUUUUAAAUUUAUAGGAAACCGUUAAUAAGUUAAUAUAAUUGAGUUCAAAUGCCAACCAGAACUCACAAUCGACUCCUUUUGCUACUAAUAUGAGUAGGUUUCAGUACACAACUCAUUGAAUAAUGUUUCUGAACCAAUUUUACCUCAAUUUUAACCUUUUUAAUGUUACUUAAGGUGUUAGGUGCUGCAUUAGCUACACGAGACGUUGUAGAUAAGCUGAAACUCACAAGCAAGGGCAUAAGCUCUUUCGUAAAUAGUUUAAUCUUUUAUUAAAGAGAGAAAAUGCAAAUAAUAUUAUUAGUUCAUCUUUAUAGCAAGAAGAAUAUAUAUAUAUAUUAUGGUUGGUAGGAUCUAAGAGUCCAAGGGCAGAUUAUUCAAAACCAUUCAAAAUUGAUAAGAUUUCAGAUUGAAUUAAACAUUGAUUGAGGUGGAGAUGAUGGGGAGAUCCUCUCUUCCACUAUGGAAACAAUACCUUUACACUUGCAACAAUUUUCAUUUAAAGAAAGGAUUUGAAAAAGAAUAGUUAACCAGAUAAACCUUUAGACCACUUAUUCAAUAAAGAAGCAAACAUUCCACCUCAGAAAGCAUGGAUUCCACGUCUGCAUACAAUUAAAGAACCAGUCUGUGUGAGGAUUCAAUAACUAAACUACUGACCACCCCACCCCACCCCACCCCAUAUCAAAUUUUCUGUAAUUCAGUUUUGUCAAAACCCCACCUUUUCUUUUGACACAGACAUGACUCAUGCAACUAAAAUUCAAGAUCCAACUACUACUCUUGUCCUCUAUAUAAAGGGUGAAGAUGCAUUUUUGAAUCCCAGAAAGCUUCUUGUAUCUGACUCAUCUUUGGUGUCUUUGAACAUAUCAUUACUUACAACCAAAGUAAGGAGGUAGAACAUCGCAGCAAAUCGACAUUUAUGAAGAAAUCAAAUGUUAUUGGAAUUCCAAUCAACUGCAUGGACAGAUAUCCAGAAGGACUUUUAUCGGAUCCUGCUAGUCAAUACAGUUUUGCGCCUUCUCCUUCAAAUGAAUUUUUCAAAAUCAGAAAGAGUACGUAUAUUUUCUGUCUUUAUAACUCGCCAGGAAUUCCCAGUUUCAAUAAUCACAGCCUUACUGGAUUUUCUUGGGAAUGCAGGCAGAGCAAAUUCAGCAAUCCUUGGGAUGAAUAAAUUUGGAGAAUGGAUGGAUAAUUUUUCGCAAGGAAUCCGAGGGCAUGGUAAAGCCUCAACCUAGAUUAUUUGUAGCAGUUGCUAUUAGACAUUGUUGGAGGAUGUUUGCUAUGCUCAACUAGAUAGAGCUAGACAUAAUUAAGGAAGAGAUUUCCUAGUUAUUAAUCCUAUUUUAUCCUGUACAACAAACUGGCUAUCAGUAAUUUCUAGAAACAAACUUCUCAAGACAAGAAACCAUUUCAAUAUAUCAUUGCGUUUUUCCUUCCCAACCAUCAAAUACAAUAGAAUUUCUCAAAUCAAGCGGUGCAAAGUGGGAUGAGGCCUAAUGUUUCGCUUUAUUUCUAUCCCUGCAGUGAAAUUAGGACCCAAAUUAACAGAAACUUUGAAAGGAAAAUUGAGAAUGGGAGCAAGAAUCCUUCGAGCAGGCGGCCUGGAAAAAGUUUUCAAGCAGAACUUCAGUGUUAGCAAUGGCGAAAAGCUUUUAAAGGCUUCCCAAUGCUAUUUAUCGACCAUAGCUGGGCCAAUAGCAGGCCUCUUAUUUAUUUCCACCGAUAAAGUUGCCUUCCGCAUUGAAAGAUCAAUUAAACUCGCUUCUCCAACUGGAAAACAGCCUAAAAUACAUUACAAGGUGCAUAUAUGACUCUGUUUCAAUUUUUUUGAGUCACAAAUUUACAUCCCAUCUUCUCUUCGAAAAUGAAAAUCUAACUGUUUCCAAAACCUUGCAGGUCAUGAUCCCACUAGGUGAAAUAAAGAGAGCCUACGACAGCAAAAAUGCGAAAAAACCAAGGCAAAAGUAUGUGCAGAUAGUAAACGAGGACGAGUUCGAGUUCUGGUUCAUGGUAUUUCUAAAUCAUCGAAAGGCUUUCAAGUAUCUGCAGCAGGCAAUCUCUCAAACUCCAUCAGUAGCAGCUAUUGAUGCAUGGAUGAUUUCUCCAUAGAAAUUGUAUAUACAGUCGCAACACAUCUGUAAAAUUUGGUUAUUAAAAACUAUUCACAAACAUAAAUUAGAACUACUGUAGUGUUGAUUGUAAAUACAUUAUGCAGUUUUGAAAGGAAAGUAUCAUUCAAAAUAUCAGUUCCCAUUGAGAUCGAGAUGUAAAACUACAAGUACAUUCCUAUUCUAUCUACACUUAACUAUCACUCAUUUGCGCCAAUUGCAUGAAUUAUAAAAUGUAUAUUGACGCAGAUGGAAACGUAAAUAAUAAUAAUAAUUGGUUCUUGUUCGUAACACAGGGUGUUUGUUCGAACAUUUGAACAGACGUGACAUCGAUUUGGAAUCUACCAAUUAAUGGGAAAACUGAAAUAUCUUAUUAAUCAAUAAAAAUGAAUGUCUUUUUUUUACAACCUCAACACGUAUUUAUAGACCCAAAAAUAAUUCUAAUCAAAGUGAAACCCUAAUUCUAUAAACAAAUUCAAAUAAACUAGGAAACGGCAAAAUAAAUCCUAUUAAAACUUAAAAAACUAUUAAAAUGAUGAAAAUACCCUUAAAUUAAUAAAAAUAGAAAAGUCCAAAAAGGACACCUAAACGAUGAAAUUUAACCUCAAAAGUUUGAUAAGGUUGCAAAGUUGUGUAGAAUCAAAAGACACUUCUGGAUUGCACUCACGGACGAAAAUUCGACACCGGAGCUAAAAGUUAUGCAUGUUUUCGUAGAUCCUUUUUGUUCCUUAUCUUUCCUAAUUGGUUUAGAAUUUUCUUCUAUUUGAUCCGCAUCAUUUAUUAUACAAUAAUUUGUUUCCUUCUAUAAAAUUGUCUAGGUUUUUUCUCCGAAAAUGUUGGUCUUGCUAUGAAUUAAAAUACGUAUUAAUACAAUUCAUAAUCUCUACAUUAGAACAUGAGGUUUGUCGAAUUCUACACUAUAAUUUCCUUAAAAAUUUAAUGAUCAAAGUCAAACACCAACUUUGACCACACAUUUUAUAAGACUUGCAACUAAAAUCCAACUAUCCACCCUUCAUUUCCAUGAUAUUUUAAUUUCUGGGACUUAUAAUUUUACCCUAAUGUUUAUUCAUCAACAAGAUUUCUUUUUAACUUUAACGAGGUCUAUUUGGAAUCCACCAAUUAAUGAGAAAUCUGAAAUAUCUUAUUAACCAAUAAAAACGCAUUUCUUUCUUUACAACCUUAACACAUAUUUAUAGACUCAAAACAAAUUCUAAUCAAAGUGAUUAUUCUAUAAACAAAUUCAAAUAAACUAGGAAACGGUAAAACAAAUCCAAUUGAAACUUAAAAGACUAUUAAAAAGAUGAAAAUACCAUUAAAUUAAUAAAAAUAGAAAAAUCCAAAAAAAGGGACCCCUAAACGAUGAAAUUUAACCUCAAAAGUUUGAUAAGUUUGCUAAAUUGUGGAGAAUCGAAAGACACUUCUGAAUUGUACUUAUGGACGAAAAUUCGAUACCCGAGCUAAAAGUUAUGCACAUUUUCGUGGAUCCUUUCUUGUUCCUUAUCUUUUCUAAUUGGUUUAGAAUUUUUCUUCUAUUUGAUCUGCAUCAUAUGUUGUACAAUAAUUUGUUUCCUUCUACUAUAAAUUUGUCUAGGUCGUUUCUCUAAAAAUGUUGGUUGUGUUAUGAAUUAAAAUACGUAUUCAUACAAUUCAUAAUCUCUACAUUGGAACAUGAGGAUUGUCGAAUUCUAUCUAGUGUAUGUUUGAUAAACACUAUCAUUUCCUUAUAAAUUUAAUGAUCAAAGUCAAACAUCAAUUUUGACCACACAUUACAUAAGAUUUGCAACUUAAAUCCAAUUGUCCACCACUCAUUUCUACGACAUUUUAAUUUCUGCAACUUAUAAUUUUACCAUAAUGUUUAUUCAUCAACAAUUCUUUUUAAUUUUGAUGGUCUACAAGUUUUUUUUCCAAAUACGUGUUGGUGCGAACAAGGGGAAAAAAAAAUUCCUGGCUUCAUCACCAUCGAGAAUUAUCCAUAUCAGUAUGCUAUGCCCAUAAAUAGGAGAGGGGUCAUUUGUAAAUCACCAAGUUCAAGUUGAACGAGUGUAUACAAUACAAAAGCAUUCCCCCUAACUCUCUCGUGUUCUAAAUAUUUUUUGCCUUGAGUCUUGAUUUAGGUGGUUUUGAUACAUUUUGCCACUAUACUAGUAACACAAGCUUAUAUUUCGUGUAAAUGUGAGGAACGAAAAGCUGCGAGACACUAAAAUUGCACUCAAGAUCUGUAAGUGGAUACUAUCUAAUACUCCAUUCGUGGCUAUCUCAUAAAAUUUAAGCCAGGCGAAUGGCUAGUUUGUUUCUAAGACAGGCCUUCGCCUUUGGCUUCAGUUGGUCCCACCUUUACGACAACUUAGGUCAUUUCCAACCUUGCACCAAAAAUUGAGGUAGGUUAUACACUAUUUUGCACCAAAUUAAAAAUCAUCUCUAACCCAUUACACCAAAUGAAUAAUGUUUAAUCAUUUCUUCACUUUUUUAUUCUUCACAAUUUAUAUAUCUAAGAAAUUGUUUAUAUAUUUAAUUUAUUACUACAUAAAUAAUUAAGUUUCAUUACUGAAAAUAUUAAAUUCAUUAAUAAAUUUUAUAAACGUAUUACAAUUAAUAAAAAUACCAUAACUAAGAAAAUAUUAAAUCAUAAUAAUAAAAAAUGAUUAAAGCUUAUUACAAGUAAUGGUAACAAUUGUUGUGAUUCUCCGAUCACGAGAAGAGCAGAUAAAAAGAGGAAAAAUAAUUAUAUUUCUUACUUGAAUAGAAUUUUACAAUGGAGUAUUACAAACUCUUAAAAAACCUCUCAAAAGUCACUUUCUAAUCUCUCUUUUUUUCUCUUCUAUACCCUCUAUUUUUCUUCCUUUUAAUGGAUAUUCCUCUCUCUUGGGGCACCAAAAUUCUCUUUGUGGUAGCAUAUAUUUAUAGAAAAAUUUUGGCUACAAACCGUCAUAAAAUUCUGGCCAAAAAACCUGCCACAUAGUUCAUUGUUGAAGAGUCAAAAUAGGUGGUUGCCUUCAAUUUGUCUUUAGCAUGGGAAAGACUUGCUCAUUAAGAAAUUGAUAACAAAUUGUGGUUGAUUUUAAGUGACUUCAAAAGGAAGAAACUGAUUAAAAAAACUAGUUGGAAUUGCAGUUGGAAUGUGGCUGGACUUAUCAAUUCUUCCCUUCCAUUCGCAUUUAAAUCAAUUAUUAUUUGACACCAUCCCAACUAUGUCUCUGCAUAACUCUAAAUUUUCUCUUGGAACCACCUUUGUUAACAUAUCUGUUGGAUUCUCAUUUGUGUGAAUCUUCACUAGUGUCAGAAUUUGUUGAUCCAUCACUUCUCUUAUCCAAUGAUAGAGGAUGUCGAUGUGCUUUGUCUGAGAAUGGUACAUUGAAUUCUUACUUAAGUCAAGAGCACUUUGGCUGUCACAAUGUACUUUGUAGUAUUUCUGCUUGAUCCCUAAUUCUUGGAGAAAUCGCUUUAACGAUAACAUUUCUUUACCUGCUUCCGUCGCUGCAAUAUAUUCUACUUCUAUUGUAGACAAAAUAACACACUUUGGUAAUCUUGAUUGCCAUAAUACAGCUCUCCCUACAAAAGUGUAGAGAAAUCCUGAAGUAGAUUUUCUAUUAUCAAGAUCUCCAGCCAUAUCUGAAUGUGUAUAACCUUCCAAGAUUAUAUCAGCUCCCCCGUAGCACAGACAUAUCUUUGAUGUAUCUUCAAGGUACUUGAGAAUCCAGUUGACUGCCCUCCCAACGUUCAUUUCCAGGAUUAGAAAGAAAACGACUCACCAUGCCUACUGCAUGAGCAAUAUCUGGCCUUGUACAUAUCAUAGCAUACAUCAAGCUUCCAACUGCUGAAGAAUAAGGUGUCAAUGACAUCUCCUCAAUCUCUUUCUUAGAUGACGGGCAUGAAUUUUUACUCAACUUGAAGUGGUUAGUUAAUGGAAUGCUGACAGGUUUGUCAUUAUGCAUGUUGAAUCUCUUGAUCACUCGCUCAACAUACUUCUCCUGAGAUAGCCACAACCUUCUACUUUUCCUAUCUCGAGUUAUGUGUAUUCCCAAAAUCUGUUGAGCUGGGCCUAAGUUCUUCAUAUCAAAGGACUUGGAAAGUUCCUUUUUCAGUUGGCUGAUUUUUGUUGCAUCUUAUCUAACAAUCAACAUGUCGUCUACAUACAAUAGAAGAGCAACAAAGUUGUCAUCUGGAAAUCUCUGGAUAUAAACACAUUGAUCUGCAGCAGUUCUUUUGUAGCCUUGGCUUACCAUGAACAAGUUAAAUUUUUUGUACCACUGCCUUGGUGUUUGCUUAAGACCAUACAAGCUCUUCUUCAACUUGCAAACGAAGUUCUCUUUUCCUGAAACUUCAAAAACUUCUGGUUGCUCCAUAUCAUGCUCCAUAUCAAUUUCUUCAUAUAAUCACCAUCAAGAAACGUUGUUCUAACAUCCAUCUGUCCAAGCUCUAGAUUCGAACUGGCUACUAAUCCAAGGAUAAUUCGAAUUGAGGCCAUUUUUACAACAGGUGAAAAAAUCUUAUCAAAGUCAAUUCCCUUCUUCUGAAGAAAUCCUUUGACUACCACACGUGCUUUAUGUUUUACCAUCUUUCCAUUACCAUCUUUCUUGAGCCUGAAAACCCAUUUAAUCCUUAAUGUCUUCUUUUCCUUCAGAAGCUCAAGCAACUCAUAUGUUUGAUUUUUCUGCAGUGACUCCAUCUCAUCCUACAUUGCUUGUAUCCACUUGUCUUUGUCCAAGUGGGUUUGUGCUUCCUGAAAGCUCUCCGAAUUUCCUAUAUCAAUGAACAAAAUGUAUUCUAAUUUCGGAUAUCUCAUUGAUGGAAUCCAUCCUCGUUUAGAUCUUCUUACAUGUGCAUCGUUAGUUUCAGGAGGUGCAUCAUUAUCUGAUUGAUGUGAUGGUCCAACAACUUCUGGUGAAGAAGAUUGUGACUCCCCCUGGUCAACAUCCUCUUCUUCAUCCUCCUGUUCUGCUUUCGACAUUCCCUUAUGCACAUCGUCAUUAUCUAUGGUGAAUUGUGCUGGUGCUAGAUCUGGAGCAAUAUUCAGGGUACCAAAAUUGGAAUUAGGAGAUAUUGUGCAUUUUUCAAUGUCUUCCAAUGUCUGGUUUUCAUGGAACACUACGUCCCUGCUUCUGAUGGUCUUCUUUGUCUUUGGGGCCCAUAAUCUGUAUCCAAACUCUUUAUCUCCAAAGCUUAUAAAGAUGCAUGGAGUGGUCCUUACAUCUAACUUUUGUCUUAGCUCCUUGGAUACAUGUGCAAAGGCAAAACAGCCAAAUACUCUUAGGUGAGAGUAUGAGGGAUAUUGACCAGACCAUACUUUCUCUAGAAUUUCAAAAUUCAACGAUACUGACAGUGAUCUAUUGAUCAGGUAGCAGGCGUUUCCAACAACUACUCCCCAAAAUGGCUUUGGCAGCUUAGCCAUACUUAUCAUGCUUGUGACCUUUUCCAUAUCAUUCGAUUCAUCCUCUCGACGACUCCAUUAUGCUGUGGAGUGCGUGGGACUGUCUUCUCAUGUCGAAUGUCGUAUCUUCUACAAUAUGCAUCGAACUCUUUGGAAGUGUACUCGCCUCCAUUAUCUGUGUGGAGACAUCUUAACUUUUUUCCUAUUUCACGCUCUACCAUGGCAUGAAAUGAUUUGAAGUAACCCAAUACUUGGUCCUUCGUCUUCAAGAAAUAUACCCAUACCUUUCGAGAAGCAUCAUCAAUGAAUGUCAAAAAAUACUUGUUGUUGCCUAAUGAUUCAAGCUCCAAGGGAUCACAAACAUCAGAGUGUACGAAAUUAAGCAACUCUGAUCAUCUUGUCGAAGAGAAAUUGAAGGAGACUCUAUGUUGCUCACCAAAUAGACAAUGACUGCAAGGAUCCAGCACAGUUUCCUUGGCAACCGUGAUUAGCUCCUUCUUGGUCAAAGUAGACAAUCCUUUCUCACUCAUAUGGCCAAGUCUCUGAUGCCACAAAUUUUGAGAAGCUUAACGUUCUACUGUGUUGAGGCUAUCCACAUGCAUUUUCACACGAGUCUUGUAUAAAGUGCCACAUAUAUGUCCUCGAGCAACAACCGUGAAACCUUUCAUCAUUUUCCAUGUGCCAUUACUAACGUGAUUGACAUAGCCCUAUUUGUUAAGGGCUAUCCCGAAAGUAGAUUUAGCCGAAGAUCUAGUACAUGUCGAAUAUCUUUCAAGGUUAUUUUACACCUGAGGUUUGUUUGUAUCUGGACAUCACCAAUUCCCACGAUCUUAGAAGAACUGGUAUUUCCCAUCUUCACCGCACUAAAGUCGCCAGCUUUGUAUGUUGUGAAGAAAUCUCUACGUGGAGUGGCGUGGUAAGAUGCUACAAUGUCUAUUACCCACUUAAUAUCUUUGUUUGAGACAGGAAGACAUGUUUCCUUAUGGAUGGAGCAGAUAGCCACCUCCCCAAAAAUAGUGACUAGUGUCAUUCCUUCCUUAUUCUUCAGCUGUGAACUGUUGUGGCUUUGCUCUCGUAGCAAUUUUAUGCAGUUCUUCUUCAAGUGGCCCUCCAUACCACAAUAGUAGCACUUGUAAAUAGGCUUCCUACCAUCUCUGAAUCUACCUCUACUUUUGCUUCUGCCUCUUCCCUUGCCUCGAACGCCUCCUUGCUGUCUUCCUCGGUUCAUUGUGACAAAGGCAUGUGAUUUCUUCGUGUGUACAUUUUUUCUCCUAGCAUCUUCAUUAAAUAGGGCAUCCUUGACCAUAGACAUGGUAAGUUUGCAAUCGGGGGCUGAGUUGUUAAGAGAUAUUACUAAUGUCUCUCAACUAUCAAAAAGAAAAUUUAAAAGUAGUAAGGCUUGUAUUUCAUCCUCAAGCGGCAUCUCCACGGAUGACAAUUGGUUUACCAAGCUCUGAAAUUCACUGGUGUGCUCAGCAACUGAAGUUUCACUCUUUAGCUUCAGAUUCACCAAACACCUCAUCAACGGGACUUUGUUUCGAGGGGUCUUGGCCUGUAAAUGUCCUCCAGAAUCUUCCAGAAGGCACAUAUAUCUGUCUCCUGUGGUACAUGGUGAAAAACAUUAUGAUCAAUCCAUUGUCGAAUUUGACCGAUAGUUUUUCUAUUUAACUUCUUGCACUCUGUCUCCUUGGUAGGAUCAAGGUUUACACCUUUGAUUUCUAGGGGGUCAUACAAAUCCUUACAACUGAGAAGGUCUUCCAUCCGAGGCUUCCACAGCGUAUAAUUGGUGGCGAUGAGCUUGAUCAUAGCUCCCGAUGAAGAUUCCUCCAUUGACAUCUUGGCUUACAAAUGCUUUACCAAAAUCGAAGCUGUAUCAAAAACUACGAGGGCCAAUUGAUAAAACUCGAUUUGUACCACUUUUUGUGAUUCUCCGAUCACGAGAAGAGAAGAUAAAAAGAUGAAAAAUAAUUCUAUUUCUUACAUGAAUAGAAAUUUACAAUGGAGGAUUACAAACUCUUAAAAAACCUCUCAAAAGUCACUCUCUAAUCUCUCUUUUUUCUCUCUUCUAUGCACUCUAUUUUUCUUCCUCUCACGGGAUAUUUCCCUCUCUCUUGGGGCAUCAAAAUUCUCUUUGUGGUAGCAUAUAUUUAUAGAAAUUUUUUUGCUACAAAUCGUCAUAAAAUUUUGGACAAGAAACGUGCCACAUAGUUGAUUGUUGAAGAGUCAAAAUAGGUGGCUGCCUUCAAUUUGUCUUUUGCAUGGGAAAAACUUGCUCAUUAAAAAAUUGAUAACAAAUUGUGCCUGAUUUUCAAUGACCUCAAAAGGAAGAAACUGAUUAAAAAAAUCAAUUGGAAUUGCAGCUAGACUUAUCAAUAAUAAUAAUAAUUAAUUAGGAAUUAAAAUUUAUGUAUAAUAUAAAAUGACACAAAUACCCUUAACAACAUUUGAUGCUAAAUGCGAAAAGGGCAAAUAGGACUUUAAUCAAAUAUGGUGCAAAAUUUAGUGUUGGGUUGGAGUAAUAUUGCACCAAAUAUUUGGUGCAAAAUAGGGAAGAAUGGUGUUUUGAGCAAGGGUUGGAGUUGCCCUUAGAAUACCGACAAGCCUAUUGUCUAUUACAAGAACGAGAGAGUAUUCGACCAUGGCUAUUUGUAGAUGAUGUCACUGGGGUGCAAGUUUAUGAUGUUUGUGUUGUCAAAAUUAAUGACUUUUACAAUAAAAGAAAUAAAAAUUAAAAACGAUGAUGAAGAAAGGUAUGCCCUAGCAAAUCUACUUAAGACAGAUUUUGUCCCUUCACAGCUACCAAUAAGAUUAUCGAAUGUCUGUCUUCAAAGAUACAAUAAUUCUUUCAAAGUCAGCACCGUACUCUACCUUAUCGGUCGAACCAAAUAGUUAAUAGUAUUUUUCUCAAAAUGGAAUAAAUUCGAACAAAACUUUCUCGGACAAAAUUUUAUUUUUAAAAUAAAAUCGAACGAAAAUUUAUUUAAGCAAAGGAAAAGUAUCAAAAUAUUUUAUAAGAAAUGAAAAAAGUGUUAAAAAUUAGUUUUUCUUGAAUUUAGGUAUAAAAAUUAAGAAUUGGAGAUCUGUAUUUAUAUAUUUUCAACUUGUACAAGUGAAUGAGUACACCAUUUGGUCCGGAUCAAUCUGAGCCCUUAGAUCACACCACUUGAUAUUGUAUGGUCCAAAUGCAUCCCUUACGAUGGUCCAUGACUCACCUGUACACCUACUAUAUUGGAACAAACGCAUCUAGGCAUCACGCCUAAGUCAUGCAGACACCAGACGCUAUAUUGUCAUUGACACAUGAACGCAACUCAUAGAGCCACUUGCUUGCCACGUAAUUGAACCAUGGUUUCAUUUCUAAAAACUGUAAGGCUUCCUAGCUCCUCAUGGCGAUGCAUACGUGUAAAGUGCAAAGUGCACCUCUUAAGCACCCAGUAUGACCUUAGCAAACAGAGAUUUGUUAGAAAAACAGGGCCACGUUGACCCUAUUUGAGAAGAAUUAUUCUUGCAAGCAACGGUCCCAGGACCCCGUGACUAGUGGCCAGUCAUGAAUUAGACAUAGGCUAGCCAUUAGGGUCGUAGGCUGGGUGGGCAAGUCUGCCCUCGAAUCCCAUUAAAAUUUGAAUUUAUAUGUAUCAAUCUAUUAGACCUUUAUUUAUUUAUUUUUAUUAUUAUUUUUCAUUUUGGGGAUUGGGUGUGGUUUUCCAUCUUGACUCCAUCCCUGCUAGCUAUGAUGUAGGUGGAUUAAUAGUAUCAAAUUACUGACCUAAGAGCAACUUCAACCACAACACCAAAUCAUUCCCUAGGAUUUCAUAAUUUGAUGAAAACUUCACAAUUUGCCUUAGUUAUUUGCAUUGUUCAUCUUAUUUACAUUAGAUUAUUAUAAAGACAUUGUUUCAAAAUUUGAUAUUCUAAAUAAAGAGAAAGCAAAAAUAAUUAUAGUAUUCAAUAUGAUUAGUAUAUCGAUCCCUAUGGGUUUGACACUCUUCACUUCAUUACUAUAUUACAAAACUUGAAAUCGUUCACUUGUGGUAAUUUCACAUUAUAGAAAACGAGUGACAGAGAUGGUCGAAUUUUGGCCACUAAACUUUGAAAAAUAUCUUUUAUUACUCACUGAACUUUGUGGUGGUUUAAUUUUGGGCACUGAACUUUGAAAAACGACAAGCUUUGGCCACUAAAUUUCAAAAAAAUAUUCUAUACAAUAAAAUAUUUUACACGUAAACUUAAAUUUUUUUUCCAACUUUUUAACCAUACAAUCCCCAAAAAAUCACUAUUUUUAGAACUCUUUUUUUUUUUUUUUUUUUUUUUAAUAAUGGCCAUCAAACAUGGGCUAAAAUUCAGAUUUAAUUUAAUUUUUAUGAUAAAUAUAUUGUGCGUUUCAUUGCAACUAGUAGUAAUUUCAUUUGCAAAACUUUGCAAGCAUUGUCAGUAUCACUAGAAAUGAUUAUUCAAUUACACAGUAAUUAAAUUUUUUUUUUUUUUUUAGAAUUUGAAGCUAUUUUCAUCAUAAUAUUUGAAUUUUACAACGAAGCACAUAAUGAAUUUGUUUGUUGUUAUAUAAAAUUAAAUCCAAAUUUUAAUUAAGGGGUUGUUUGAGCCCCAUUUUUCUCAAAAAAUGCAUUUUGAAAUAGUGUUAUGAUAGAGAAUAUGAGAUUAAAAAAUAAGGAAUAGUUUUGGGUUGAAGAACAUUGAUAGAAAUAACUAUAAAGGUUGAAGAACAUUGUUGAUAGUAUGGUGGAAUCAUUCCAUAGGCUUUCAUAAUUUGAUAAAAACUUUACAAUUUGCCUUCGUUAUUUGCAUUGUUCAUCCUAUUUGCGUUAGAUUAUUAUAAAGACAUUCUUUCAAAAUUUGAUUUUCUAAAGAAAGAGAAAGCAAAAAUAAUUAUAGUAUUCAAUAGGAUUUGAAUAUCAAUUCCUGUGGGUUCGAAAAGCAUUAUCGAAAACGAGUAGCGAAGAUGGUUGAAUUUUGGCCACUAAAUUUUGAAAAAUAUCUUUUAUUACUCACUUAACUUUGAGGUGGUUUAAUUUUGGGCAUUGAACUUUGAAAAACAACGAGCUUUGAUCACUAAACUUCGAAAAAAUCUUCUAUACAAUAAAAUAUUUUACACGUAAAUUUAAAUUUAUUUCCAACUAUUUAACCACACAUUCUCUAAAAAAUCAUUAUUGUUAAAACCCUUUUUUUUUAAAUAAUGACCAUCAAACAUGGACUAAAAUUCAAAUUUAAUUUAAUUUUUAUGAUAAAUAAAUUGUGCGUUUCAUUGCAAUUAGUAGUGACUUCCUUUGCAAAACUUUGCAAGCAUUGUCUGUAUCACUAGGAAUGAUUAUUCAAUUACACGGUAAUUAAAUUAUUAUUAUUAUUAUUUUUAGAAUUUGAAACCAUUUUCAUCAUAAUAUUUGAAUUUUGCAACUAAUCACAUAAUGAAUUUGUCUGUUAUUAAAUAAAAUUAAAUCUAAAUUUUAACAACAAAUUUUAAAUAAGGGGUUGUUUGAGCCCAAUUUUUCUCAAAAAAUGCAUUUUGAAAUAGUGUUAUGAUCGAGAACAUGUGGUUAAAAAAUAAGUAAAAAUUUUGGAUUUAUGUGUAAUAUUAUUUUAUUGAAAAAUGUGUAGUUGAAAUAAUAUCAAAUCACUGUUGAAAAAUAUAUUUUGUUGAAAAAAUUGGGCUCAAAUAAGGGCUAAAUCCAAAUUUAUUGUGAGCCAUAGAAGACGUUUUUUAGAGUUUUGUGGCAAGAACUUGACCAUUCUUGCUAAGCUUUGAGGUGGUCGAAUUUUGUCUGUUGAACUUUGAGAUAAUUGAAUUUUGGCCACUAUCGAGUCUUUAAAUAACGAUUUUUUUGGGAGAAUGUGUGAUUGAAAAGUUAGAAAAAAAAUUGAAUUUACAUUUAAAAUAUUUUAUAGUUUAGAUGUGUGGUUAAAUACAAAUUUAUAGUGACCAGUAGAAGACUUUUUUCAAAGUUUAGUAGUCAAAAUUCGACCACCUCCAAGCUUAGAGAGCAAUAGAAGACAUUUUCAAAGUUUAAUAGCCAAGAUUCGACCAUCUCAAAGUUUAACGGUGUGACGGGGUGUCACAUUUACAUUCUUUCAGUCACGUCAUCAAUUUCGUUAGAUGUUUGAGAUGAAAGUUAUACUAUUCUGUCCAUGUUUGUUUCGCAAAAUUUUUUGUAGAUUAUAAAGUAUGAGCCUCACAAAAUGCAUGAAUUUUGGAUAAUUAAAAAUUUUUUUUAAUAUAGUUUAUAUAAUCACACAUAGUUCCUGUUUGAAGACUUUUUUUUAUUAAAAAAAAAAAAAACUCAUUUUAUAUAACACAUUUAUGAGAUCCAUAACCUUUAUCAACUUAUUAACCAUAUAUUUAUUAUUUUUUAUCAAAAUUUACUAAAUAUCUAUUUUUAACAAAAUCGAACCAAAUGCAGUGAGCUGCAAAGACGGUACAUUAGGUAUUGAAUUAUCUUUUGACUGAGAAUUCUACGUACAACAACUUGGAUGACGUAAAGAAUUGCAAUUUUCAGCCAUCAAUAAAUAAAGGGUGCAUGGACGAGAAUUCAAAGCACACAACAAUUAGUUGACGGAUUUUAUAUGUGGGUUUGUUUGGCACAAAUUGAGUCCCAUCUGAUUUAGUUAAAAAAUUGAUAAAAAUUAAAAUUAACAAUUAAUUUUAAUUAUAUGGGAUUCACAAUUUUUAUUAAUUUUUCAUUAUACAUUUCAUCAACUUUUAUCAAAUUCUACUUAAAAUCUGAAUUUAAAAAAACCAAAUAGGGCUAACUAACAGGUCCCAGAGUGAGUUUGAAAGAGUAUUGUGGUGAGGUACCCAAAUUGCGGUACAGUGGAAAUAGACAAAACAGAUUGCAAUUUAUCAGGAUUGGUUUAGAGAUGAGAUCAAAGACACAGAAAUGCGUGCGUUUCACCAACUUUUCUGCUAAAGAGUGAAGACCAGACCAUACUGGUGGCAAUAUUAUUAUCAUUAGAAUAAAGCCACUUGUCCGAAUUUAAAAACAUGGAGAGAAGAGACAUAUUGAUGUAUCAGAAAAUGAUUGAAUGUUUUUGUUUUAAUUUUUCAAACUGUCCAAUUAUGUGUCGACACGUGUUUCAUCUGGAUUUGAUCCUGGAUAUGUAGCAUGAUUGUUGUUGUUAUUAUUAAUUUAGGAAAUUUUCAGUCGACACUUUCGAUUUAUCAUAUUUGUGCGAUCGGGUCUCAAGUGUUUCUUGACCUUCAACUAUAUCAAUGAGUUAUUGGACAAGUAGAACAUAAUCAGCGAUAAAGUGGUCCGACACAAGAUUAUUUUGGUUAGGUUUUCUGAUUUUGGGAAAAGUUUUACUCAUCAAUCAGUUGGCAAGAAUUAUGGGAAUAUGCACAACUCAACUACUUAAUAAUACAAAUGUGUUGACAAAUUUGAAAGAGCAUGGUAAUUUGGAAUAUUCAUGGUUUAAAACAUUAAGCACAUGUUCGUUGAAUUUUUUAUUAAAAAAAAUUAUGAAAUAUGUAGUUAAAAAUAUGUGAUUUUCUAAAAAAACGUGUUUACAAAUUAAUUGUUCACUUUAAUUUAGAUUAAAAUUUUAAUUUUAAUUUCUAUAAAAAAGGGACCAAGAUUCUCAUAAUCACAUGUUAUGACAGUUAUGCGCAAUAACAUGUAACAUGGACAUUAUAUAAAUAAAUAUCUUUCAUCAUGGGAGGAUAAACUCUCGUGGCAUUAAAAGGUUAGGGGACAUGAAUGCCAUAAAUGAAAAUUUGGGAUAUGGUUAUCACACUUAUUUUGUCCCUUCUUACUUUGAAUUCUUUCAAAAAUCCAUUUUUCCUCGAACUCAUUUUUAAUCAUAUAUUCUCUUAAAAAAAAUAAUUUUAUACGUGCAUCUAUAAUAUUUUCUUAUUUUAUAACUAUACAUUUUUUAAAAAUAUUACUUUUCACAAAAUUGAUUUUCGAAAAUCUACAUCAAACGGGCACCAUAGGAUCCGAAUCCCUGAUGAAUCUUACCGUUUAAGAUAUUCAUCAUUUUUCAUACUCAAACAACGUUAUUGACAGAAAAAUUAUUUUUAAUUCUUAUUUUAUUUUCAAUGUUAAUAUAGAUUGCAUAGAAUAAAGAGUUUGAUAUGGAGAACUCACCGUACAAGAAUUAACAUCGAUAUGUUGUUUUAUGAGGAAUACAGACUAAUGUUAUUUUGUAAUUAAUAUAUUACUCAUUAAUUAAUCAUAUGAUCUAUAGCUCGUUCCAAGAAUAUAUACGAUUUAGACGGUUUUUAAUAUAUUCUUUAACCAAACCGUUUAUAAGAAUUUGACAUAUCUCAAACCUAAAUCGAACCAUUCCAUAACCCAAAACAAGCCAUUAUAAAAUCAUUAUUUUAUUAUUUUUAGUUCUUAAAGAGUAGCUCAUGAAUUUUUAAAUACGUUAAUUCUAAGUCAAGGAAAUAAAACAAUUAUGUAUCAAUGACAAGCAAACUAAAUGCCAAACAAAAUGUUUACGAAGUGUUCUAUAUGGUACUGGGCUACACUACCAUGAAGUAUUAUAAUCACUUUCUACCAAUAUAAAGUUAAGAAUUACGUUAUUUACUAUUGAUUAGCACUCAUCAAUGUGGAAGUUGGAUCAUUACAUUAUUUUAAGGGAAAAUUUCAUAUACAAGAGAUUAAGUAUAGGGCAUUUCAAAAAUAAGAAAAUAAGUAUCAUAUUUCAACAAUUAGAAAUUAGCCUAAAAAUAAAUACAAAUAUUAAUAUAAUUUCAUAUGAAAAACAAUCCUGAAAAAAUAGGCUGAGAUACCGUACAAGCGGGAUUCUCCAAAAAAAGAAUAAAUCAUCUCUCAAACUGAUUCCAAUAGCCAGAAGAUCUGAAAAUACAUCCAAAAAUUACCGCCGGCUCUUGCGGAAGUGACGGUGAAACCAAUUUCUGGUCACAAAUUGAAGUCGCAGGUCGUAUUACAUCGGAUUAAAACACGGUGUCUCGAACAGUCACUGAUUACAUUAUUCAGGUGUGUAAUUACAUUGAUCAGGCGUGUAAUUGCGAUUUAUUCAUUAUAAUUUGUCAUUUAUUCACGUUAGACAAGCUUCAAUUGAUCAAAAAUGUGAUUUUUAACGGAACUGUGAUUAUGAAUAUCGAACAUUGCUGUUCGAAACUGUUGUGACUGUUAUGGAAAAUAUGUAACCCUGGAUACAAGAUAUAACCUCAUGUAGUCAAUACGCAUGGGUUUUUGUGUCUCGAAAUGUGUGACGUGUGACAUACUACAUCUGUGUUUUAUGACACUAAUGCUCUUGUUUGAAUCUAAUCAUAUACAACAGAUCUAUACUUAGUUACCGUGACUGAUUAUUGCAUGUAAUUGUGAUUUAAUACGUACAUGUGACCUGCAUGUAUUCAAUAUGUGACCAUGACAUUCAAGAUACGACAUGCGUUUGCUUUGACCUGUGAUCAUUUAACAGAAUUGUGACCGACAUGCAAUUAACUGUGACCAAUAUACAAAAACUUGUGGCCACUCUUCAACUGCAUGUGACAAAUAUGCAAUGACCUGUGACCUCUUGUAAAAAAAAUAUGGGAAAUAAAAAUAUGUGACCUGCAUGUAUUCAAUACAUGACAAUGAUACUUGAGAUUCGAGAUAUGAUUGUUGUAACAUUUGACCAUUAAUGUAAUUUUGACCCAUAUGCAAUUAGAUGUAACUAUAAUUGGAUGUUAGGCUGAUCAUGUUUUUGCUAAUUUUGCAAAAAUGGGGUUAAUUCACAUGUGUCUGUUAAAUGGAUCACAAGUGUCACUGGUGUUAAUUGAUCGUAGUUGCGGGUAUUUGAGACUUGUCGACACAGUUAUGAAAGAGUUUAGCUUUGACCCAGCAAAAGUUGCUGUGACAAUGAAAUAUGUCUUGAAUAGUGAUCUACCUCCAAUAAUAAUCAAAAGUGACGAGAAUGUCUUGUCUUACAUGGUUUUGAAGGAUAUGAGUCGUGACCCUACCAAAUAUCCAAUUCACAUCGAGGUCACAACUACAGAUAUCGAAAAAACAACCUAUUACGCUAUUAGUUGAUGUUCAAUCAAAUGAACAUGGGUUUUCAUUAACAGAUAUGUCAUCAGACAUAUGUGGAGCAAUAAUAGAUCCAUCUAGUGACAAUCUUGAGCAUGAGAUCACAGUUGUGGCAGUGGCAGAUGCUAGGGAGGUAGAGUAAGGAAGAGUUUUUCGUAACAAGGAGAUAAUGAAAUUGAGCUUGUCGUUUUAUGCAAUCCAAAACAUGUUUGAGUACGUGGUUGUUCGGUCUGAUAAGAAAGACUAUCUCGUAAAAUGUUCACGUGAUGAGUGUAAUUGGACAUGUAGAGCAUCAAAGUUAGCCAGAACAGAUAUGUUUAAAAUUAGACACAUUGUAGAAGGUCACAUAUGUGCUUCAAACAUCGUACUCAGUACUCAUAGGCAAGUAACAAAGACAGUUGUGUCAACCUGCAUUAAGUACAAGUACACAUCAUCGCGCACCAUAUACACACCGAAUGAUAUACGCAACAACAUGCUGCAUACAUAUGAAGUAUCUUUGAAUUAUGUCAAAGCUUGGCAAUCUCGAGAGGAAACUCUAAAAAUGCUAAGGGGUGAUCCAACUUAUUCAUUCAAUAAGAUACCAACCUUUUUUUUUGUGCUACAACAAACAAAUCCUGGAUCAGUCACAAGUCUAGAAAUUGAUGCUCACAAUAGGUUUAAAUAUUGCUUCGUGGCACUAAGUGCAUCUAUACGAGGAUGGAAACAUUGUAGGCUAGUUGGUGUGGUUGAUGGCACAUAUCUAAAUAGACACUAUUGUGGCACCUUAUUCACGGCAUGUACACAAGAUGCAAAUAACAGCAUUUAUGUACUUGCUUUCGGGAUUGGGGAUAACGAGAAUGAUAGCUCCUGGACAUGGUUUUUUAGACAGUUGAGGAAAGAAUAUGGGGACAGAGACGGUUUGUGCUUGUGUCGGAUUGUCACAACAGCAUCAAAAAAGCGAUUUAAAACGUGUAUCCGGGAGCAUGUUAGGGGAUAUGUUCGUACCAUCUACUACAAAAUCUAAAAUCACGAUACGGGAGAUCAGGACAAAACAUAACAUAAGCAUUCAAUACAGUUUUUCGUGCCCACACACUGUUGGAAUAUGAAUAUUACAUGCAACAACUCGGCUCGAUUAAUAAGAAGAUAAGGGGUUAUCUGGUACUAUACUAUACGUUGUCCUAUGAUGAUAUUCACAUAAAUACGUUUAACAUGGUAUUGUACACUAAAUUAUACACAUUUCCAUGUUUUUGUUUGUAGGACGAAGUUGGACCUGAGAGAUGGUCACAUUUCCACAUGCCUUCAAACCGGUAUUCCACAAUGACAUCGAAUAUUGUGGAGUCGGUUAAUGCGGUCACAAAGUCUGCCAAGAACUACCCUAUUCUAGCUUUGUUGGAGUCAUUGAGACAAAUUCUACAAUCUUGGUUCUGCAGACACAAGGAAGACGCCCAAGGCACUUUUACAACCUUGUCAAGCAAGUAUGAGAAGAAGAUGAGGGAAAUGAGCACAAAUAUGAGAAACUUGAGGGUAAACUUAAUUACUGUGACCUAAUGUAUAAUCUAUGACUUACCUGAACUGAUCUGUGACAUGUGCUGUGACUUCUGCUGUGAUCUGUACCAUUGUGUUUCAGUAAUAUUUGUGCAAUAUUAUAUAUAACUACAUGACAUGCAAUUUCAUCUGUGUCCUACUUUUUAAUUACGUGACUUAUUAUGCCUAUAACUUGAGUCUAUAUCUGUAGGUUUUCCCUAUUAAUCAGGCAAUGUUCUCAGUUAGAGGUGAACGUUCCCCUUUCAUUGUUGAUAUAGAAAAUCGGACAUGCACAUGUAGGAUGUUUCAAGUUGAUCAACUACCUUGUCCACAUGCUUUGGCUGUGUUUGCGAGUAUGAAGAUGGAUCCAUAUGAAUACUGUUACUACUACUACACAAGUGAAGCAUUCAGAAAUACAUACCAAGAAACCAUUUUUCCUGUAGGAAAUCCAGCUGAAUGGAUAGUGCCAAAUGAUGUCCAUGACAUAGUUGUAAUUGCACCUAAUCAAAAGCGAAGUUGUAGAAGACCUACUGAGAAGAUAUUCAGACCAGAGUAUGAGGAAAACAUAACCGUCAAAUGUGGUCGAUGUGGUGAAAGUGAUCACAAUCGUAGAACAUGCAGCAGCUUAGUUCCGUUAAGUCAAAGCAAUAAGAAUAAAGAGAGGAAGAGGACGAAGACUGGAAAUACACAUUGAUAUAUUUUUUAUAAUUCCCUCGUUUUUUCAUUCAUUGAUUUUUUUGUAAAUGUAGGAUGCACAACAUUGGAUGACACAUAUUGACCAUAUCAUAACCAAUACAAUGCUAAGAUUUUUUGCAAUGCACUUUGGAAGUUCGGCAAGAAUGUGUGACCACUAGCACAUAUGAGAAACUCAACGUAUGAGAGACUCAACGAAUGUGUCACACAUGAAAAUCUGUAGGAAAAAUUGAUAUACAAUCAUCAUGCAGUGAACUGUGACCAACAUGGAAUUAGCUGUGACCAAUAUGAAAUGAUCUGUGAUCAUUCUUCAAUAACCUGUGACUAGUAUGCAGUAACUAUGAUCAUUAUUAAUCACAUGUGACCAGAAUGCAGUGACUUGUGACCAAUAUAUAAUGAUCUGUGACCAGAAUGCAGUGACCUGUGAGCCCUAUGCAAUCAACUAUGAAUAUAUGAAAAUGAUCUGUGACUAGACGUCAAUGAACUGUGACCAAUAUGCAGAGACCUGUGACCAUUUAUCAAGACAUGUGACCAGGAUGAAGUGACAUAUGAUCAAUAUUCAAUGACAUGUGACAAAUAUGCGUUAAACUGUGACCAACAAAAGAUGACCAGUGACAUAUUGCAAAGACUCAGGGAAAUGGAGGUGGUUCAGUUGCAAUUAGCUGUGACAAAAAUAUGAAAUGAUCUGUGACAAAUCUUCAAUGACCUGUGACCAGAUUGGAUUGACUUGUGAUAAUUCUUCAUGACCUGUGAACACAACACAGUUACCUGUGACCAAUAUACAAUGACCUGUGACCAGGGUGCAGUGACCUGUGACAAUGGGAAUUGGCAUGCGACCAAAUUACAAUAACCAGUGACCUGUGAACUGCAGAUAAUCCUAAAAACUGGUGACCUGUGAUAAUCCUAAAAACUGCAAAUAACCAGUGACCUGUGACCAGGGUGCAGUGACAUGUGACAAUGGGAAUUGACCUGUGACCAAAUUACAGUAACCAGUGACCUGCGAACUGCAGAUAAUCCUAAAAACUGGUGACCUGUGAUAAUCCUAAAAACUACAGAUAACCAGUGACCUGUGACUAGGGUAGAAUGACAUGUGACAAUGGGAAUUGACCUGUGACCAAAUUAUAAUAACCAGUGUGACUUGUGAACUGCAGAUAAUCUUAAAAAUUGGAAUGGGUCAAUUCCAGUGUCGGUAAAUCGAUAAACAUGUCUACCACCUGUGCUAAUAACAUGACACAAUGGCAAAAAUUUGUGCAUUAAAUUUUGAGACUUUCUCCUUGAUACAUUGUCAAUAUAGCAAAAUAUGAUAUAUAGUGACACUUCUGAAAAACAAUGUAAUAAAGUCCCUAAACACUAAUGAACUUUUUGAUAUAAACAGACAAAAGUAAGAACUGCGUUGUCAAUACAAACGAAUUUCCAAACACAAGAAAAUGUUUCCAUCUAUUACAACAUGUGACUUCUAAUUGUACUAUCACUCUAAAACAAUGCUUUCCCCGCCAGUAGGCUGCGUCGUCUUUCUAGCCUUCCCGAUUUCGCGAUGUUUGAACAACAAUGAAGCUACAUCCAACCAAGCUUUCCCGGCAUCAAACUUCAUGGGCAUGGAUCCUAUAUCGUCAUGUAGCAUGUACUUCGCAUACUUGACCACGUAAAUGCCACAAUCAUGUCUAGGAACGCAAAAAUCAUACUGUUAGCUAUGAAAUCCAGCAUGUUAUAAUAUGUUUAACUAUAAGUGGAGGGAAAAAAACUUACCCAUUUUUCUGUUCGGAAAGAGAGAAAUCAAAAUCCACAUUCAACUCCAUGGAAUCUUUUUUCCAUAUUCCAACACAUUUCAUGAGAUGCGGAAGCAUGCUGACAAAGGAUUCAAUUCCAGUACGGACUUUGAUAUCAUUGUAUGUCUUUCUGGACGAAUUCAAUAAACGCAACGUAUGUGCCUUUAUGUCCAACACUCCAAGCAUCCAAUGUGUUUUGUUGGUAGGCAGAAGUGGGAUAAACAUAAGGUCGACUUCAGCCCAUAGAGUGCUCAAUGGAAUUCGUGCACCGGUAAUGUCAUCAAUCAGUCUAUCAUUUGUGACAAGAACAUUUGCAUCAUCCUUGAACCUAGGAUACAUGUGCUUGAGCUUGGCCUGGAACAACGAGUCCAUUGUGGUAGCUACAAAUUUGAGAUCUCUCGCACUUUUUGGCACUUGACGUAUGUAGUAGACGCACACAUCCAUAUGCUACAGAGAUGAAAGUACAAUAAACAAUUAAGGAACCAUAUAUACACCAGAAAACAUGAUACAAUAAGCUGUUAAUUUGAUCUGUGACUCGGUUAGAAUGUGUGAUCAAUACAACCUGUAGUUAGUCAAUACAACAUGUAGUUAGUGACCAUUCAAUAACUGAACCCAGAUGUAAUAAAUACAUGUGAGCUAUACUGUUGCACCUGCAGAUAUGUGUUUUUCCGUGCAGCACGGAUUGUCACCUACUGUUCGCGUGAUUUGUGACCCAUGCAUCAGCUGUGACCUACUGUUCGCGUGAUCUGUGACCCAUGCAUCAUCUGUGACCUACUGCUCGUGUGAUCUGUGACCAAUGCUCUGUGUGACUAGUAUACAAAAACCUGUGACUAAUGUGACCUAUACUAUGACAUGCUCUUUAGAACUGUUACUUUUGUGUAGUAACUUAUUGAACUAGUCAACGUUACCUCCCUGGAUACAAGUUCGUACCACCAUGUCUUGUUUCCCACCAAGUACUGACAGAUGGAAAAAGGUGGACAGAUGGCACCAUCUUUAUCAUUGAACUUCUUCCUGCAAACGAGAUGUACGGAUCAUUAUUUGGAAAAUUAUGAAAAUAGGACAACAAUUUCGUACUUGUUAUGCGGUUUUUAUCCUCUUUGAAACCAAUUUUGAAAGUCAGCAACAUCUGCAUCUUGUACAAUCUGAUUGUAGUGUUCGAAGACCACUACGUUUCCUAACGAUUUCAUUUGUUUCAUUUCGUCGGCAACAUAAGGGGACUCAAGUGUUUUAGCUGGCUUUGGAGCCCUCUUCACCGGCAAUCCAGAACUUGGUGCGGCCUCAGGUGAGUGCUACGUAAUAAAAUGUGUUUUUUAAUAUGUGACAUGCAUUAAUCAACAAAUACAUAGAUUUUUUGAUACCUCUUGGUCAAUACAUUCCGUGUCCUUCAAAACAUUGGAUAUGACCAAUUCCACUUGCAUUUCAACUUCCAUAGAUGUUUUUGCAACAAUCUGGCUUGGUUGUGUAAAUUCAAGACCGAGAUCAAAAGAUGGAGGUUCAAUAGAACAUGGAAAUUCAAUUGCGCACGCAGAGUCAACUUUCGCUUUGCCUUUCGAAUCAACACUUUUUUCAACUUUUGCAACCUGAAAAUCAGAACAAAAAUACAUUUGAUGAGAAGUGUAUAUCAAAUGGUUUGUGCUAACAGACAAAUAAGAGGCAGUCACAGUUGGAAUACUGACUUCGCAUGUUGGUCCAGAUCCUACAACAGUUUCUAGUCCUGAGUUCUCUCUGAAUUUUUUCAUAAUUUCUUCCAUUGAACUAGAUAUCAAUGUAGUCACAGAAUUAGACAUACACUGCAUGUGUGCUUUGAUGUCCAACAUGUCAGUAUGGAUUUCACCUUGCAUGCGAACAAGCAGCUUCAAUUCCUUUGCUGACCAGACUUCAAAGAUGACACUUGUGACUGCAUUGCCUGAAGCUGUUUGCUUAGCAACCGAUUCUCAGACUAGGGUUCAGAUAUCCGUCCUUUGAAAUAAUUGAUCAAUUCGUCGAUCACCUGCAUCACAUGAAUACCUAUAAUCAGGUUACUUAUAAUGAUGAAAUAUAACAUUGAUCUGUGAUCAGCAGUGAAACAUGUAUUGGUAUGUGACCUAAUAACUGAAACUUGUGACCUAAAUUUUUAUGUGACCAAAUGGACUUGUGACAUGAUAGAUGAAAUUGGAAGAGUUUACAUCUUUUGACGGCAUAUCCUCUGAAUCAGUGGUGUCAUCUAACUUACGCUCCCCCACUUGGAGAAUCUUCAUGGAUUGAUGUCCCCUUCCAACUGGGUGGUGCGUCAACAAAGUCAUCAUCAUCAAUGGGGAGAUCAGAGUGUCCCAAUCGUCCAUCAGUUAUCAAAAGCAUGGGAGUAGAUUGUUUCAUUCCUGAAUUACUUGGUUUUGUACUAGUCCCAGCACGAUGAUCUGAUCGGUGUAUGCUACCACCCUUUCUCUUCUCCCCAUGUGACCGAUCGGGUAGGACAGGUUUCUCAUACUGCACUUGAACCAUGUAUGGCAUUGCCAUUUCAGCUGGUGGAAGGUCCAGGUCACAUAUUUCCAACUGCCAUUCAUAUCACAACAAAAAGUGCAAUGUCAACAAUCAAAAAUUAUGUAUGAACAAACAGAUAUAAUUUUGCACAUCACACAUAUUCAAUAUGUUUCCAUUAAUUGCGAUAUAACAAAGGUAAAUGGCGCCGUGAAAAUGUCUGUGACCUAUACUGAAAAUGUGUGACAUAAUGAAUAAAUCUGUGACUUCGUGAAUGCAAUUUGUGACUUGACGAAAUAUAUUUGUGACCUGAGAAAUAUGAUCUGGAACAUGAAAAAAAUGUGCAAGUUUAAUAUUUCGAAACCAGUACUGCUGCAUCAGUGGUCACUUACGUUCGGAUUGGAGAAGCAUUCAGGUCCCUCGAGCUUCGUAGCCGAAGGGUGAUCAUCAGCCGCCCAGUUCAUUAUCCUGGGGUAUCUCUGGAAAUCCUUCUCACUGUGUAUCCAUCGAGACUGGGAAUUGUUUCGUAAAUUCACACUUGAAAGGCUACAAGCAAGCCUCUGAGUCUGUAAUGUGUUGAUCUCUUACUCAACCCCUCCCUCAAUGAAUUUACUAGUGUGUCAAACAGCGAAUUACCCCAUGGAAACACAUUCAUCGCACUAAAAUCUUCAACUAGUACAAAUAAGAAGUGAUCCACAGCCUUCUUGUAGUCUCUUGGAUGCAAUGCACCUAGCAUGGAAACAUCUCAUCCGGAAUGUCAGUAGAACCAAGAAAUGCGUCCUUAAUAUUUUCAUGAGUAACAUUUUUCAACGUUGAAAAAUAUAAAUUUUUCAAUCGUGAUGGAGUCUUCUCCAUCCUACUUAUGUCAGCAUCACCGACAUAUCUCAGACCAGUCACCAAACAACUCACUCUCAUUAGGUUGUUGCACUUAUCUCAGCAGAAAGUAGUGUAUUAGCUGAGAUUGGAUAACAAUUUCCUCGCAUUGCAGGAAGUGGGAGAAACAAGUAUUCUGAAGGAUUCGACGUUGGGCUUCAUUGAGAUUGUUUUGGAAGUUCGACACCACACCUUUGACGGGGGUAAUUGUAAUUUUAGCCAGAAACCAACUCUUCUCAGGUAUAAUGUAUCUCCAGGCCUACAACAUCGGUCACAAUAAAACUCAUCAGUUUGGUCAUAGGUGGGAAUCCAGGUUGACACAAACAUCAACAUAUAGGUCACAGGUCCCCUCCACCAAAAAAGAAAUCAACAACACACAUACAGAAUGACACAAUAGCGUUCCAUAAUUCACAAAUGAACAACCACUUUUGAAAAAAACAUUAAAAACCCUUACUACAAUCAGGCAUUUCGAUUACAAAUCCACACAACAAAUUCAAUGCAAUAUACAUCACAAAUUCAAAAUACUUCAUCAAUACACAUUACCCAUCGAUUAAAAUGAACAUAGGUAUGCUCGAAAUAAGUGAACAAUUGAAAAAUAUCAAAAACACCUUCUUCGUCGACUGUUUUGCGAUCGAACUUCUGGAUUUGUGUCUUUUAGAGGAUGAUUCCUUCUGCACUUCAUCCAACUUCCUUUUACCUCUUUUUCCUGACUCGUGAAUUCCAAUUUUCUCCCCACGUCUCCCACUCCCUAAACGAGUCAUCCUUGAAGUUUUAGAAGAAUUCAGUUAAACUGUGAGACUUUUUCGGGAAGGAACUUAAAAAAUGUGACCGACAGUGGAAGAAGGUUGUCAAGGAAUCGCCGGAGAACGAAAAUGAUAAACGUCCAAAUAUGGGUUGGAUGAACACCGACUUAAUCAUAAAAUCGGAUACGUGAGGGACGUGGAUUUUAUGGGAAGGACGUGCAGGGAGUUUUUAAAGAAAAUAGAGUUUCUAAAAUUUGAAUUACAUGAUUUUAGGGAGAGACAGUUAUUAAAUAAUUUUAAAUUAAUUAAGAAAUGAAAAAAAUCUAAUUAGUGAAAUAUUAAACUUCCACUCGUAUUUGGGAACUAUGAAUAGAUAAACUAUGAUUUUGUGUAAUUACCACUUAUUUUAAAGCUAAAUAUCAACAAAGUCUCUAUAAAUGUCCAGUUUACAUUUUUAAGCCAAAUCCCUACAAAAUAAUGUUGAAUUUAACGAUAAUCAUGUUAAGAAACAAGAAUCGCAGAAUAAUAAAGGUUCGUUAUAACACAGCUUUAUGUUAGAAUUUUACGAUCAAAUGGGAAGUCCACAUUAGAAUUAUUCCAACAAAUAAAAGUUCUUCGUAAUACAACUUUACGUUCUUUGACAAGAUUUUAGCAUGAAUUAAUGAUCAAAAUGAUGGUUUCAUCAAAUUGAGGCUACUAGUAAGUGACUUGCUAAUUAGGCCAUAAUUGCUAUAUAUAGAUAAUUAGAUUAAUAAUUUAAUACUUUAUUACCUUAAUUGGAGGUCAACAUUGUCAUUUGAAAGUAUGGCCCAUGUCCAAUUCAAUCGAACCAAUUCUUGAUUUGAGUUUGAAAAUUUUAUUUAUUUAUUAUUUUAUUUUUCUAAUUUUUAGACGAUUUGAUUUGGUUUCAAUCCGUAGUUAAAAUAUCGAAAUUUAAACUAAAUUAUUUUAUUGUUAACAUGUCCUAUGACACCAAAUUGAUAAUUUAAAAAGACAAUUCCAAUUUGACGAUUUUUCCUUAGAGCCCUACUCCGUAAAAUGUAAUUAAAAUGGUUGAUACUUUAACAGUCAGUUUUUAGGCCAUAAAAACUACAACUGACCUUAACACGAUGCAAAUUUACGACCAAGUCUGUCAAGGGUGUCGGUUAUAUGGGCCUGGCUCACCUAGCUUAGAGGCCCAAUAUGGGAGCACACAACAGAAGGGUGUCAGGAUCGACAAAGAGUUACAUUGUACAAUGAAUAAUGCUAUUUAAUGCCAGUUUAGGUAGCUAUCUUUGAAAUGUUCAAUUAAAUGAGUCAUGUGACUUUACAUUUAAAUGAAUGUAUCAUUUAAUGUCAUGUAAUUGUUACCUAAGCUAUACCAGAAAAUAAUUGUUUUAAAAACACCGACUCAUCUUUGGACGUUAUUCAAAUUUAAAUUUAUAGGAAACCGUUAAUAAGUUAAUAUAAUUGAGUUCAAAUGCCAACAAGAACUCAAAAUCGACUCCUUUUGCUACUAAUAUGAGUAGGUUUCAGUACACAACUAAUUGAAUAAUGUUUCUGAACCAAUUUUACCUCAAUUUUAACCUUUUUAAUGUUAUGUAAGGUGUUAGUGUUGAAAUUUAUUUGUAAUCAUGCCAAGAAUCAAGAAUCACAUAUAAUUAUAAAUUGAUACAUCGAAUUCAUACAUGUGGAAGUCAUUGUUGAUAUGAAUAAUAGUUGUAAUAGUAGCCAGAUCUUCCCCUCAUUGCUCCUCACAAAGUAUUAGCCAUCAAUGAGGCAAGCUAAUAAAACAAUAUAGAGAGGAGAUGAGAUCUAACAUUUAUAUAUAGGAAAUAAUUUGAGCCGUCCCAUUACGACUAAAAUUCUAAUUAGGGUUUUAUUUUCGACCCACAUACUUAAAAUUACCACAUCAUAUUAAUCACAACUCGUAAGGUGUAAAAUGCCCAAUUGAUCACUUAAUAAAUUUGGCUCAAUUACAAAUAUCAUUAUAAGCCAUACAUCUAACCCGUAAAAUUGCAAUCAAAUGUGAAGCCCACAUAUGGAAUUAUUCCAACAGUUAGGUGCUGCAUUAGCUACACGAGACGUUGUAGAUAAGCUGAAACUCACAAACAAGGGCAUAAGCUCUUUCGUAAAUAGUUUAAUUAAUCUUUUAUUAAAGAGAGAAAAUGCAAAUAAUAUUAUUAGUUCAUCUUUAUAGCAAGAAGAAAAUAUAUAUAUUAUGGUUGGUAGGAUCUAAGAGUCCAAGGGCAGAUUAUUCAAAACCAUUCAAAAUUGAUAAGAUUUCAGAUUGAAUUAAACAUUGACUGACGUGGAGAUGAUGGGGAGAUCCUCUCUUCCACCAUGGAAACAAUACCUUUACACUUGCAACAAUUUUCGUUUAAAGAAAGGAUUUGAAAAAGAAUAGUUAACCAGAUAAACCUUUAGACCACUAAUUCAAUAAAGAAGCAAACAUCCCACCUCAGAAAGCAUGGAUUCCACGUCUGCAUACAAUUAAAGAACCAGUCUGUGUGAGGAUUCAAUAACUAAACUACUGACCACCCCACCCCAACCCACCCCCAUACCAAAUUUUCUGUAAUUCAGUUUUGUCAAAACCCCACCUUUUCUUUUGACACAGACAUGACUCAUGCAACUAAAAUUCAAGAUCCAACCACUACUCUUGUCCUCUAUAUAAAGGGUGAAGAUGCGUUUUUGAAUCCCAGAAAGCUUCUUGUAUCUGACUCAUUUUUGGUGUCUUUGAAAACAUAUCAUUACUUACAACCAAAGUAAGGAGGUAGAACAUCGCAGAAAAUCGACAUUUAUGAAGAAAUCAAAUGUUAUUGGAAUUCCAAUCAACUGCAUGGACAGAUAUCCAAAAGGACUUUUAUCCGAUCAUGCUAGUCAAUACAGUUUUGCGCCUUCUCCUUCAAAUGAAAUUUUUAAAAUCAGAAAGAGUAAGUAUUUUUUCUGACUUUAUAACUCGCCAGGUAUUCCCAGUUUCAAUAAUCACAACCUUACUGGAUUUUCUUGGGAAUGCAGGCAGAGCAAAUUCAGCAAUCCUUGGGAUGAAUAAAUUUGGAGAAUGGAUGGAUAAUUUUUCGCAAGGAAUCCAAGAGCAUGGUAAAGCCUCAACCUAGAUUAUUUGUAGCAGUUUCUAUUAGACAUUGUUGGAGAAUGUUUGCUAGGCUCAACUAGACAGAGCUAGACAUAAUUAAGGAAGAGAUUUCCUAGUUAUUAUCCUAUUUUACCCUGUACAACAAACUGGCUAUCUGUAAUUUCUAGAACCAAACUUCUCAAAACAAGAAAACAUUUCAAUAUAUCAUUGCAUUUUCCCUUCUCAACAAUCAAGUACAAUAGAAUUUCUAAAAUUAUGCAGUGCAAGUGGGAUGAGGCCUAAUGUUUCGCUUUAUUUCUAUCCCUGCAGUGAAAUUAGGACCCAAAUUAACAGAAACUUUGAAAGGAAAGUUGAGACUGGGGGCAAGAAUCCUUCAAGUAGGCGGCCUGGAAAAAGUUUUCAAGCAGAACUUCAGUGUUAGCAAUGGCGAAAAGCUUUUAAAGGCUUCCCAAUGCUAUUUAUCGACCACAGCUGGGCCUAUAGCAGGCCUCUUAUUUAUUUCCACCGAUAAAGUUGCCUUCCGCAGUGAAAGAUCAAUUAAACUCGCUUCUCCAACUGGAAAACAGCUUAAAAUACAUUACAAGGUGCAUAUAUGACUCUGUUUCAAUUGUUUUGAAUCACAAAUUUACAUCCCAUCUUCUCUUCGAAAAUGAAAAUCCAACUGUUUUCAAAACCUUGCAGGUCAUGAUCCCACUAGGUAAAAUAAAGAGAGCCUACGACAGCAAAAAUGCGAAAAAACCAAGGCAAAAGUAUGUGCAGAUAGUAACCGAGGACGAGUUCGAGUUCUGGUUCAUGGGAUUUCUAAAUCAUCGAAAGGCUUUCAAGUAUCUGCAGCAGGCAAUCUCUCAAACUCCUUCAGUAGCAGCUAUUGAUGCAUGGAUGAUUUCUCCAUAGAAAUUGUAUAUACAGUCGCAACACAUCUGUAAAAUUUGGUUAUUAAAAACUGUUCACAAACAUAAAUUAGAACUACUGUAGUGUUGAUUGUAAAUACAUUAUGCAGUUUUGAAAGGAAAGUAUUAUUCAAAAUAUCAGUUCCCGUUGAGAUCGAGAUGUAAAACUGUUUCGCGCGGGUUAGUCGCUAACAAUUAAAAAGGGUCAGACGAUUGUGUAAGGGACAAACCUCUUGAGACAAAGUUCCAAAAAGGGGUGUUCUUUUAUUGGCGAUGACUUUACAAUUGGAAAUGAAAAACAACGUGCCUCCAAGGGGCGCAAGCACACGAGUUAUUGAAAGGAAAGUGUUUAAGUCUAAAAGCUAUAGAAAUGAAAAUUACAUAUUCUCUGUUCGAGAGUUUUGGAUUCGGUCCCUGCUUCUAUGUCCUUUCUCCCUUUUAUACUUCAUAGACGAUCUCUUUGUGAUUAACUACUCUAAAAACUGCUUGAUCGUCCUAUAACUACCCACUUUCUUCGUAAUGGCCAUUUUGUCAUGAAAAUUGCCUUUUAAUUGCUGCCAUUACCUUUCAUCGUUCAACCGCUUUCGAUUGAAUUCCUUGAAUCGUGGAACGUGAUAAGGCUGCUUUAACAACUGCUUUGAUAACUGCAUUUCUUGAUAACCACGACGCGUUAUGUUUGUUGAUACUUUGGGCGACUUGAAGGUUUGGGCGAGAAUAGAGUAACAGCUCUGGGCGACCGUAUGACACUCCAUUCCUUCAGAUUCUGGGCGACUUGCAAACUUGGACGAUGGCGUUACCGCAUUCUUGGGCCUUCACCUUGAUUUGUUCGAUUGGACUUCGUUCUUUGGGCUAUCUGAUUUGGGGAUCCUCCAAUUGGGCUUUAUUUCUUGGGUUGUUCGUUUUGGGCUGAAUUUUUAUGUGUCAACAAUUACCCCCCAAUAUGGCAGAAUUAAUAAUAAUUAUUGAAUUUUUCCAUAUUCACUUUGUGUUUCCAGCAACUUUCGAAAUUCCCAGGAAUUUCAAUCAUUGUUUCCUUCUAUAACUUGAAAAGGUGCGUCGUUUUGCAAACCCUUAUAAACUCCAAACACGCCAUUUCACUGCUACCAAACCACGCCUCAUAUUUUUUGCGUCUCUUUCACGAUUCACUAUUCAUC
rnacentral:lncRNA from 1 species